rnacentral:lncRNA from 1 species
GCACUCCUGCUGUUUUCCCCAGUAUGAUAAGUAAGUUGCUCCUUUACGCUGCUGAGUGUCCUGGUGUCCCCACGGUCCCAUGCCCUUAAACCAACUCUUUAGCUGCUGUUGAUUUACUGUGUCUGGUAAACAAGCAAUGCCACCAUUAAAGUAAUCCCAUAUUUGAGGAAUCUCAUUGUUGAUCGUAAUGCUUCUGGUAACAUGAAGCAUUGCUGAUGUUUUAAAAUUUCUACUGUCCUUGCGUGAUUGCCAUGAACAUAAUUAAGAUGCUUCUUUUCAUUUUGUAUAUGUUUCGUAUAUUCUUAUUGACCAACAACUGUUUACUUUCUAUCUUUUUGUGCAGAUAGGGAUAUCCAUUUCACCUUGUUGCUAUUGUGACCUUUUGGUGAACUGCACAAAACACUUUUUGGAAUGAGUGUCUUGUGCAGUUCAACUAAAAUGUUACAUGGGCAACAUCUCUCAAUUUUGGUGGAACUGCACAAAAUGGUGAUUGGAGUUUCCAAAAUCUCCGUCAAAUUCUGCUGGUAAUCUCGUGCAACAUUUUAUUAGCCUUUGCAAGAUGAGCCGUAGCUGAAUGAUGCAAUCUUUGCUUCAUUUCAGGCGAACUGCAGAAAAAGUGGCAUGAAUUGAAUCAUCGAGUGGAGCUGCAGGUUGACUUCCAUUAGUGCCAGUAUUAUAGUAAUCAUGCUCUUUAUUAUCUGCGUUGUGCAAACAGGAAUACUCAACUACAGAUGUUGUGACGGUCAAGAGCAUUCGCCAAGUUCUUCGAUUGUAUGACAUAGUAGCCAAGAUGGAUUUAAUCCCGAUAUUCACUUUAUCAAAAGGCUCUAAUGGGUUGGUUCUGAAUCUUGCAAGCUGGGAAUCAGUGAGAUGUGUAGGCAUCUUUGUUGUACUUAUUAUUUGAAUCUUAUUUGUUGGUUCUGAAUCUUGCAAGCUGGGAAUCAAUGAGAUGUGUAGGCAUCUUUGUUGUACUUAUUAUUUGGAUCUUAUUUGUUGGUUCUGAAUCUUGCAAGCUGGGAAUCAAUGAGAUGUGUAGGCAUCUUUGUUGUACUUAUUAUUUGGAUCUUAUUUGUUGGUUCUGAAUCUUGCAAGCUGGGAAACACGGCAUGAUGAUGCAGAGGACAACAACCAUAACAAACAGUUCAAACUUGGUAGUAUUAUCUUUGUGAAAGUGCGACAAAUGUGCCGAUCGUGAGUGUCCUGAGAAUAAUAAUUCUAAUUGUUGUGCAUGUUGAUCCUGUGGCACUGAUAGAACGAGCGAAUGCAUUGCUUGUUUUAAGUAUAAAUUUCUAUUAAAGCUAAUUAAAUUUAAGUAAAGUGACCACUAACUCCUGUUAUUACAGUACCAAUACAGACCCGCUCAUGAACCGACGUGUGGCCGAGGGUGCAUCUUCUGCCGGGCGUGCAGCGGACGAGGGAGGGGUAGUAACUGUUGUCGCCUGUACACACUCAGCUCACUGUUGAAUCCAGUUCCCCAAGAGCUGAAAAACGAACUGUUGUCGCCGCCUACACACUCGUUCACUCGAAGAGACUCCAAUGGUGAUCCGAGGGGUGAGCCUGCUGGAUAUGGACUUCAGCAAGGAGUUCCCCUUUGAGUUUGCCGUUCAGUCCUAUGGCUGCACCAAGUUGAAUGUGAUGUGCACCAACGAUACGGACUCGGUGAAGCUCUGCCUCGCCUCAGUCCUAUGGCUGCACCAGGUUCUGGAGCAUUCGCCCAUUUCAUCAGCAGCACCGACUGCACCUUCGCUACGGUGGAGAGAAGGAAGAACGCGACGAUUCGGCCAUCUGGUGCAACAAGCUUGUCGACAUCCAGAAGCAAUACAAGAUCAUCAACAACGGGCAGGAGAAGGAUUCCGUGGUUGACCUCGCUGAGACCAUCAUCGACCCCUGAUACGCCAACAUGAAAGAAGACAACCUGAACACAUGGGAGGUACCUCUGAAUCUAGCCUACAUAACCUAUGCGGCCAAGGACGCAUACGCAUGCUACGACAUGUACAGGCAGAUCUUGGACAUGAGGGCGUGUCUGCUUCCUGUAACCGACGAGUACACGGACAGCCGCAACGUCGUGAUCAAGCGUGCCAGGAAGGUCUAGAUGUUGUACUUUAUCUGUUUAUAAGCACCUUUAUCAUCUGAGUGUUUCAUGCAUUAGCCUAUGUGUCGUAAUUAUCUGUUUUUUCCGAAAUAUUUCUUUUAAGAACCCAUUAACCUGAUUGCUUUUUUUAGUGGCUAUUUGCUUAUGUAUGUAAACUAGUUCACUUGUCCGUAAAAAUAAAACUAGUUCACUCGGCCGCCGUGCUUUGAAUCUCCUUCCUCCCAACAUAUUCCCCUCCUCAGGUGGACCCAGCAGGUCUCUGAAUUUUCUCCCACUUUCUUUUUCGAUGUAAACUGAGUUUUCUCCCAGUACUUUCCCCUAGAACCAACUCAACUGUCCCACAUCUAGCCUAAAAAAUAAUAAUACCCCACGUACUAUUAACUCAUCAAAUUAAAAUGAUAUUUUAUUUCGUAAGUUGAAAGUUCUUACAAAAUAAUAAUAAUAAUUGUUUAUAUAUAACUUGGCAAGUUAACUCCUAGUGAUUGCGUACAUAAGCUUGCAAAGAUUUUACUGACGUGCAAUCAUGUGUUUAUGUUUUUAUAACAUUUCUCCGUCUAGCCCAACAUGAUAUUUUCACCCAGCCCAGCAAGUCCGCGGAUUUCGAGAAAAAUGCAAAUGGGAUUUAAACGGGCUGCAUCGAUGCUACAUCAUUGUUUCACCAGCCCACCAAAUGGACUAAAAAACAAAUGGACUGGCUGACAUGUGGGCCAGUAGGUCGAAGCCUAAGAAGGCGUUGGAUUUACAUCCAACGGCCGGCAUUCUUCUUCAAUCUCUCAUCUUCUUCCCCUAGCACUGCCAGAACCACCUGCUCCAGCCUUCGGCGUCUAGCGGUGUUGUUUUGCGCUCCUCAGCGAAACGCUACCCCCCGACGGCCAGGCCAUCCCUCCACUCCGCACCUCCUGUUAUUCUCUGCCGAGUGUAGGCCCACCCCGCACCCGAACCAGUCAAGUUUCCCACUCCUCUCCGUCUGCGACUCCACUGCCGCGUCUUCCCCAUCUCCGGGUCGUUCCAGUCUGGGGCCUCGCCGUCGUCCACCGCCUCGGUGCGCUCGGCGCGGCGUGGUCAACAUACAAGAGUCAUCGGAAGAGGACUGUACGUGGAGAGCCUGGUGACUGGGACCCACGAGGUCCAUGGUCGCACGCAAGGAAAGUUCCUCCUUAUUACGCACUGUACAUGCACUGUACGUGGGAAGGCUUCUGUAUUUCGCGAAAAAAACGUUCCCCCCGCUGACAGGUCGGACCCACCAGCUAUAUCUUCGCACGCAAGGAAGUGCCUCCUUAUUACGCACCAAAAAAUGAAUACCCCGGCUGACUUGUGGGCCUACUAAGUUGACGAGGAUGGAGGGCUUUCUCAACUUAGUCAAUAUGAACGAUUCUAGCUCCAGUGACCGUACGAUGUCCAUCCAACGACCAUAGUGCUUCUUCAACCUCUGGUCUUCUUGCUCCAGCCGCCCAAAGCAGCGCCGGUCGUGCCGCGUGCUCCUGCCUCUUGUGGCCGGUUGUGAUGCCGCGGAGGCCUCACCGCCCCCUACUACUCCCACCGCUGGCCCAGGGUAUCCCUCUACUCACCCACACCCCCUGUUAUUCUGCGGCGACGGCAGCCUCACGUCGCAGCCGAACCAGUGAACCCUCGUACUCCUCUCCGCGUGGGCAUCCACUGCCGCGUCUUCCCCGGCUCCGCGUCGUCCCCUUCCUAGGCCUCGCCGUCGUCCACCGCCUUGGUGCUCUCGGCGCGGCGUGGUCAAUGUAGUCAACGACCGACUUCCAUCGGAAGAGUACUGUACGUGGAGAGGCUGACAGCUGGGUCCACGGCCACAGCCCAGUUUUUUUGUGAUUUGCCAAGUAAGUCGCUUUGUCGGGCCUGUUGGGCUGCAAAUCUUUCAAGACGAGGAGAGCUUCAUUCGGCUGGCCGAGAAAAUGGCCUAUCAGUAAUGAGAAAUGGGUUGUACAUUUUUAAAACACAUUAAACCGGCAAUUAGUUUCAAAUAUCUUUUUUUCAUUUUGAGAUUUUAAAUUACAUUAAUUUUUAUGCGUGGAGAAUUUGUUGGAUUUUAUAUUGAUAUACAUUUAUUUUUAAAAUCAGUUUGAAUGUGAGUCGAAAUUUCGGGAUUAAAAACAGUUUCGGACCGCACCGAAAUAUGCAAAAUUUCGUAUAACUUUUUAACCGUGGCCACAAUAUGGGCUGUAACGCUAACAAAAAGAAUAUGGGCUCCAAAAAAAACCUUAAAAAUUAGCAAAUGGGUUGUAAAUUAUUAGAAAUAAUGGCAGAUGGGCUGUAUGUUGUUUUCCACAGAUUUGAGGCUUUCCUAAAAAAAGGUUGACGCACAAGCAGUGACUGUUGGAUGUCCAUCGAACGGCCGUCGUGCUUCUUCAAUCUCUGCUCUUCCUGCUCCAGCCGCUCAAACAAGCGCCGGCGGGACUGCCUGCUCCCUCCUCCCCGCGGCCGGCUGUGCUGCCGCGCAGGCCUCACCGCCCCACCAUACUCCCAUCGCUGGCAUAGCCAUCCCUCUACUCACCCACACCUGCUGUUAUUCUCCGGCGACGGCAGACGAACCAGUAAACCCUCGUACAGUCGUACUCCCCUCCGCGUGGGAAACAACUGCCGAGUCUUCCCUGCCUCCGUGUCAUUCCCUUCCUAGGCCUCGCCGUCGUCCACCGCCCUGGUGCUCUCGGCGCGGCCUGGUCAACGUGGUCAACGACCGACAUGCAUCUGAAGUGGACUGUACGUGGAGAGGCCGACAGCUGGGUCCAUGGCCGCACGCAAGGAAAUGCCUCCUUAUUACACGCAAAAUAAUGAUUCCUCCACCUGACAUCAGGGACCCACCGAAAGGGCCUUUGUAUUUCGCGAAAAAAACGUUACCGCCGCUGACAGCUCGGAACCACCAGCUAUAUCUUCGCACGCAAGGAAGUGCCUCCUUAUUACGCACAAAAAAAUGAAUACUCCCCCUGUUAGCUGGGACCCAGUAUAGUGGCAGGCUGACUUGUGGGCCUACUAAGUUGACGGGGACGGAGGGCUUUGUCAACUUAGUCAAUAUGCACGAUUCUAGCUCCAGUGACCGUACGAUGUCCAUCCAACGGUGUAGUGCUUCUUCAACCUCUGGUCUUCUUGCUCCAGCCGCCCAAACCAGCGCCGGUCGUGCCUUGUGCUCCUGCCUCCCGUGGCCGGUUGCGAUGCGGCGGAGGCCUCACCGCCCCUACUACUCCCACCACUGGCCAGGCCAUCCCUCUACUCACCCACACCCCCUGUUAUUCUGCGGCGACAGCAGCCUCACACCGUAGCGAACCAGUGAGCCCUCGUACUCCUCUACGCGUGGGCAUCCACUGCCGCGUCUUCCCCGGCUCCGCGUCGUCCCCUUCCUAGGCCUCGCCAUCGUCCACCGCCCUGGUGCUCUCGGCGCGGCGUGGUCAACGUGGUCAAGGAACGGCUUCCAUCGGACGUGGACUGUACGUGGAGAGGCUAACAGCUGGGUCCACGGCCGCAGCAAGGAAGUGCCUCCUUAUUACAUGCAAAAUAAUUAUUCCUCCACCUGACAGCUGGGACCCACUGAAAGGGCCUCUGUAUUUCACGAAAAAUGUUACCACCGCUGACAGCUCGGACCCACCAGCUAUAUCUUCGCACGCAAGGAAGUGCCUCCUUAUUACGCACAAAAAAAUGAAUACUCCCCCUGCUAGCCGGGACCCACCAUGGUGGGAGGCUGACUUGUGGGCCUAUUAAGUUGACUGGGACGGGGGCCUUUGUCAACUUUAGUCAAUAUGAACGAUUCUAGCUCCAGUGACCGUACGAUGUCCAUCCAACGGCCGUAGUGCUUCUUCAACCUCUGGUCUUCUUGCUCCAGCUGCCCAAAGCAGCGCCGGUCGUGCCGCAUGCUCCUGCCACCCGUGGUCGGCUGUGCUGCCGCGGAGGCCUCACCGCCCCCUACUAUUCCCACCGCUGGCCAGGCCCUGCGGCGACGGCAGCCUCACACCGCAGCCGAACCAGUGAACCCUCGUACUCCUCUCCGCGCGGGCUUCCACUGCCGCGUCUUCCCCGGCUCCCCGUCGUCCCCUUCAUAGGCCUCGCCGUCGUCCACCGCCCUGGUGCUCUCGGCGCGGCAUGGUCAACGUGGUCAAGGAAUGACUUCCAUCGGACGUGGACUGUACGUGGAGAGGCUGACAACUGGGUCCACGGCCGCAGCAAGGAAGUGCCUCCUUAUUACGCGGAAAAUAAUGAUUCCUCCACCUGACAUCUGGGACCCACCGGACGGGCCACUGUAUUUCACAAAAAAAACGUUCCCCCCUGACUGCUGGGAUCCACCAGCUACAUCUUCGCACGCAAGGAAGUGCGUCCGUGCAAAAAAACGAUUUGCCCCCCUGACUGCUGGGACCCACCAGCUACAUCUUCGCAGGCAAGGAAGUGCCUGACAGUCGGGACCCACCUGGUCGAAGCGUACGUAGCGUUGUCAUUCUAGUCGCGAACGUGUACGUACAUAUAUACUGGUGGAUGUAGAGGCGCGCACGUGUCGUAGUAGAGGCGCGCACGUAGCAUGUACACGUACGUAUAGCGGACAGUGUGCAAGAAAGAAAAUACGGCCACGUACGUACAUACGGGCAGGGUCGUACGGCCAGGGCUCGUGUACAUGGCUGGGUCGGAACGGAGAAACAGCAUCGUCGUCGUGUUCAUCGGGAGGGCUUGGACGGAACAGCCGAUGGAAACGAGGCCUGGCGUACCGCAGAACGGAGGAAACGACCUUGUGUUCGACCGGCCAUGUUUGAAACGGGAUCCUGUUCAUCGGGAGGGGUCUGGCGUACCGCAAAACAGAGGAAACGGACCUCCUACGGUCGAAACGGGGGUCCUGUUGAUCGGGAGGGGUGUGGCGUACCGCAAAACGAAGGAAACGGACUUGUGUUGGAGCGCUACGGUCGAAACGGGGGUCCUGUUCAUCGGGAGGGGUGUGGCGUACCGCAAAACGGGACUCCACGGGAUAUUGUUCAUCUCCACCGUCGACCCCCUCCAGCCUCCACGGGCUACUUUUCAUCCACCGUCGACCUCCUCCAGCCUCCACCUGCGACUGUUCAUCCACGGGCUCCUGUUCAUCCAGCCUCCACCACGCGCUACUCCACCGGCUACUGUUCAACCAGCCCUCUCCACGGGCUCCUGUUCAACCACUCCUCCACGGGCUACUGUUCAUCCAGCCCUCCACUGUCUAUUGUUCAUCCUGCCCUCCACGGGGUGGUCCUGUUCAUCCUGCCCUCCACGGNNNNNNNNNNNNNNNNNNNNNNNNNNNNNNNNNNNNNNNNNNNNNNNNNNNNNNNNNNNNNNNNNNNNNNNNNNNNNNNNNNNNNNNNNNNNNNNNNNNNNNNNNNNNNNNNNNNNNNNNNNNNNNNNNNNNNNNNNNNNNNNNNNNNNNNNNNNNNNNNNNNNNNNNNNNNNNNNNNNNNNNNNNNNNNNNNNNNNNNNNNNNNNNNNNNNNNNNNNNNNNNNNNNNNNNNNNNNNNNNNNNNNNNNNNNNNNNNNNNNNNNNNNNNNNNNNNNNNNNNNNNNNNNNNNNNNNNNNNNNNNNNNNNNNNNNNNNNNNNNNNNNNNNNNNNNNNNNNNNNNNNNNNNNNNNNNNNNNNNNNNNNNNNNNNNNNNNNNNNNNNNNNNNNNNNNNNNNNNNNNNNNNNNNNNNNNNNNNNNNNNNNNNNNNNNNNNNNNNNNNNNNNNNNNNNNNNNNNNNNNNNNNNNNNNNNNNNNNNNNNNNNNNNNNNNNNNNNNNNNAGCAACGCUCAUUGUUCAUCCGGAGGCAGCAUCGAUCGGCUUCAGUUAGCAGCAGUAGCGAAGGAAUCGCUCGAUCGGGUUCAGUUAACAGCCAUCGAUCGAUCGCUCGGGUUCAGUAACGCGUAGCCUGCAGUGCAAUCGCUCGGGUUCAGUUAGAGCCCAACGCCUCGCUUGGGUUCAGUUAGAGCCAACGCCUCGCACACACGCGCGUACAUGUACGAGAGAAACGCGCAUCGCUCGGCCCCCGACCUCCCACCGUAACCGGGAACUCCCUGAAAUUUUCCUCGCCCUCGCUUCUACCACGGUUUUUUCCGUCAUGGACGGCCCAAAGAAUGUCAUGCAGCUGCGUCUCCGGCCCGCCCAGGACGAAAAGCCCAUUUUCUGUCAUGAUUUUUUGUCAUAGAAGUAGGAGCCCACCACAUCUAUGAUGAUACCGGGUUUUGUCACAAUUAUCGUCAUAGAAGUGUCAUAUGUAUGACAGAAAAAAAAUUCGUUCGGCCCAAAAUGUCACGGAUGUGUCUUUUUUUGUAGUGCAUGAUCCCCCACCGGAAGCAAACACCUACAAGAGAUCAAUGCUUGGUUUUAGGUACCCAUUUUGUAAUGGGUCCUUUGAUGUUAGUAACAAGGGUCUUAGGAACCCAAAUAGACCAUUCAAUAUACGCAUGAGGAGAACCAACAAAUUUGGCAUAAACAUGCCCAUCACUAGCACGGCAUAACACAUAAGAAGGGCUAAAGUCGCCGGCUUUGUUGGGAGGGGUGGCAUUACCCUUCUUGACAUCGCCACCCUUCGCAUUGUUCUUCUUCUCCUUGGAAGCACCCUCUCCCUCCUUCACAAAAGUUUGCUUGAGAGGGGGAGGUCGUUUGGUCUUGUCAUUCUUCUUCUUGUUAUUGGGUUUGGGUGCAAACCCAAUCCCCUCCUUGGCCACAACUUCCUUUUGAUUGCUCAAAAGGUCGUUGAGGUUCUUCUCACCUUGUAUGCAUGACACAAGGCCUUUCUCAAGUUGCUCCUUCAACUUAGCAUUCUCCUCAACAAGAUGCACAUGCUCACAACACGAGUUAGUAGCAUUUGCAUUAUCAAUUAACACCAUAUGAGGAAAGGUGGAUUUCUCCUUGGUUAGCUUCACUUGGAGUUGAUCAUGAGACUCCUUGAGGAUAGCAUGAACACCCUUCAAGACUUUGUGAGCCUUGUCGAGAAUGUCAAACUCCUCUUUGAGUCUAGCAAGAUCAACCCCAAGCUUUGCCUUCUCGGAGUUUAGCACACGAGAAACAACAAGAGCAUGAUCAAGGUCUUUCUUUAACUUAGCAUGAUCAUCGUUGUGUGACUCCUCAAGAGCCAAACGAAGACCACGCUCUUCGUCAAGAGCAUUGGAAAGAUCCGAAAUCUCAUCGGCAUAGUCACGACUAUGCCCCUCCAUCUUAGAGAUGGUAUCUUCAUGAGUCUCGAUCAUGUCAUUGGCUUCACCAAGUUGUUCCAAGAGAGCAACAAAGUGCUUCUUGGAUUUACCCUUGAGUUUACCCAUAAAGGUCUCAAACUCAUUCUCCUCCACAUUUGUCCCCUCAUGUUCAUCAAUGCUAUUCGAAGAAGGAUGAUUAAUGAUGGUAGUUUUGAUGUUGGGGGUUACCUUGUUGGUGGCUUUAGCCAUGAGGCACUUGGCGGUGAUGUUCUCAUUGGGUGAGUCAAAGAGAGACACCCGUGGAGUCGUCGCAAUGGCAACGGAGGCCAUGGCAACUGACUCACCAUCUUCAUCAUCAUCAUCAUCCUCAUUGUACUCUUCUUGUACCACCAAUGCCUUGGGAGGAGUCUUCUUGGUGAAGUUGCUCAUGUUGGGGAACGACUUGGCCUUGUCCUUUCGGAUGAGCUUGCCACCAUUGUCUUCCCUCUUCUCAUAAGGGCACUCCGCAACAAAGUGGCUCACAUUGCCACAAUUGAAGCAAGUCCACACUCGUUGCUUGCCCUUUGCGCCACUUGAAUUGUUCUUGUUGAAGUUGGGCAUUGAGUUCUUCUUGCUCGAAGAUUGCCUUGAAGCAAGCGCCAUGUGUUCAUGAUAGGCAUACUUCGUAUCUUCGAGGUUGCUCUCCUCUUCUUCCUCCUCAUCCUCUUCCUCCAUACUAACCUUGGCCUUUAGAGCAAGGUUGGGCUUCUUAACUCUUUGAGAGCGAAGUACCGCAUUGUCGGCAGUCUUGUCCAAUAUGCUCAUAGCAACAAACUCAUCCAACACUUCACUUGAGGACAAGGUGUGGAAGUACGGCCUUUGACGAAUGACGGAGGACAUCGCUUUGUGGUAGGGCAUCAUUGCUUUGAGGAAUUUGCGCUUGAUCCAAUUGUCAUCUGUAUCCUUACUUCCAUGAUCUCGGAGAGAGACCGCGAGUUUGGUUACCCUCCGAUAAAGUUCACGAGGUUCUUCAUCUUCUUUCAUUGCAAACUCAUCGGCCUCAUCUUGCACCACUUCAUAGUUGGAGUGUUGAAUGCUUGCGCUUCCCCGAUAGAGGGAAACCACUUGGUGCCAAGCAUCUUUGGCCAUGGAGUAGGGCCGGAGAUGAGGAAGAUCUUCGGGUGGGAUUGCUUCUUGGAUGAUGAAGAGAGCAUUCUCAUUGAAUUGAUUGUCCACGGCUUCUCUAGGAGUGAAGUUACUUUGAUCAUGCGGAUAGAAACCUUCUUCAAUGAUUCUCCAAAGGUUAGUAUUCACAUGAUUUAAACGACGCUUAAAACGAUAGACCCAAGAAUCAAAUUCUACAUUCUUCUCAAUCUUAGGGGCCGGGCCGGCAUGAUUCAAAUGAGUGGAAGGAAGCGGUCCACCAUAGAUAAGUGGAGGUUCCACAUGGGCAAAGAUGCCGGUGCCAUUUUUACCACUAGAAGAAGGGGCCUUCUCACUAGUAGCUUCCCCCUUGUCGGAGGUAGCAUCCGUCACCUUGUUGGCGGGAUCACCCACUUUCAACGGUGCGGUAGAAAGUUUAAGCCCUUCUAAGAAUUUAUUAAACAUGCUUUCGACCUCGGUCGUCAUGGAGGUUUUCAAUGUGUCCAACGCCACAUUGAAUUCCUCAUGAGAGAUCGCGGUUCCCCCAUCUCCCGUAGAAGAGACCGGAUUCGCACCGGAGUGCUCCUCCACACCUUCUACGACGUCAACCAUACUCUUCGGACGGUAAAGUCCUUAAUAAAGAGACGAGGCUCUCAUACCAAUUGAAAGGAUCGAUAUAGUUGACUAGGGGGGUGAAUAGGCAACUAACAAUUUUUAGCUUUUCUUUACAAAUUUAAACUUUGCAUCAAAGUAGGUUGUCUAGAUAUGCAACUAGGUGAGCAACCUAUAUGAUGCAACAACAAUAAGUGUUGGAAAUAUGCCCUAGAGGCAAUAAUAAAUGGUUAUUAUUAUAUUUCUUUGUUCAUGGUAAUUGUCUAUUAUUCAUGCUAUAAUUGUAUUGUCCGGAAAUCGUAAUACAUGUGUGAAUACAUAGACCACAACCUGUCCCUAGUAAGCCUCUAGUUGACUAGCUCGUUGAUCAACUGAUAGUCAUGGUUUCCUGACUAUGGACAUUGGAUGUCAUUGAUAACGGGAUCACAUCAUUAGGAGAAUGAUGUGAUGGACAAGACCCAAUCCUAAGCAUAGAUCGUGUAGUUUCGUUUGCUAGAGCUUUUCCAAUGUCAAGUAUCUUUUUCUUAGACCAUGAGAUCGUGCAACUCCCGGAUACCAUAGGAGUGCUUUGGGUGUGCCAAACGUCACAACGUAACUGGGUGACUAUAAAGGUGCACUACGGGUAUCUCCGAAAGUGUCUGUUGGGUUGGCACGGAUCGAGACUGGGAUUUGUCACUCCGUGUGACGGAGAGGUAUCUCUGGGCCCACUCGGUAAUGCAUCAUCAUAAUGAGCUCAAUGUGACUAAGGCGUUAGUCACGGGAUCAUGCAUUGCGGUACGAGUAAAGAGACUUGCCGGUAACGAGAUUGAACAAGGUAUUGGGAUACCGACGAUCGAAUCUCGGGCAAGUAACAUACCGUUUGACAAAGGGAAUUGCAUACGGGAUUGACUGAAUCCUCGACAUCGUGGUUCAUCCAAUGAGAUCAUCGUGGAACAUGUGGGAGCCAACAUGGGUAUCCAGAUCCCGCUGUUGGUUAUUGACCGGAGAGGCGUCUCGGUCAUGUCUGCAUGUCUCCCGAACCCGUAGGGUCUACACACUUAAGGUUCGGUGACGCUAGGGUUGUAGAGAUAUAUGUAUGCGGAAACCCGAAAGUUGUUCGGAGUCCCGGAUGAGAUCCCGGACGUCAUGAGAGGUUCCGGAAUGGUCCGGAGGUGAAGAAUUAUAUAUAGGAAGUCAAGUUUCGGCCACGGGAAAGUUUCGGGGGUUACCGGUAUUGUACCGGGACCACCGGAAGGGUCCCAGGGGUCCACCGGGUGGGGCCACCUAUCCCGGAGGGCCCCAUGGGCUGAAAGUGGAAGGGAACCAGCCCCUAGUGGGCUGGGCGCCCCCCCAUGGGCCUCCCCCCAUGCGCCUAGGGUUGGGAACCCUAGGGUGGGGGGACUUUCCCCUUGCCUUGGGGGGCAAGGCACCCCUUCCACCCCUUGGCCGCCGCCCCCCCAACCCUAGAUGGGUUUUGGCCGGCCCCCCCUCCCAAGGGGGGCCUAUAUAAAGGGGGGGAGGGAGGGCAGCAAGAAUACACAGCCUUGGGCGCCUCCCUCCUCCCCUGCAACACCUCUCUCUCUCUCGCAGAAGCUUGGCGAAGCCCUGCCGGAGACCCGCUACAUCCACCACCACGCCGUCGUGCUGCUGGAUCUCCAUCAACCUCUCCUUCCCCCUUGCUGGAUCAAGAAGGAGGAGACGUCGCUGCACCGUACGUGUGUUGAACGCGGAGGUGCCGUCCGUUCGGCACUCGGUCAUCGGUGAUUUGGAUCACGGCGAGUACGACUCCGUCAUCCACGUUCAUUGGAACGCUUCCGCUCGCGAUCUACAAGGGUAUGUAGAUGCACUCCUUUCCCCUCGUUGCUAGUAGACUCCAUAGAUGCAUCUUGGUGAACGUAGGAAAAUUUUAAAAUUAUGCUACGAUUACCAACAAUGGCAUCAUGAGCCAGGUCUAUGCGUAGUUACUAUGCACGAGUAGAACACAAAGCAGUUGUGGGCGUUGAGUUUGCCAAUUCUUCUUGCCGCUACUAGUCUUUUCUUGUUUCGGCGGCAUUGUAGGAUGAAGCGGCCCGGACCGACCUUACACGUACACUUACGUGAGACAGGUUCCACCGACUGACAUGCACAAGUUGCAUAAGGUGGCUAGCGGGUGUCUGUCUCUCCUACUUUAGUCGGAACGGAUUCGAUGAAAAGGGUCCUUAUGAAGGGUAAAUAGAAAUUGGCAAAUCACGUUGUGGUCAUACGUAGGUAAGAAACGUUCUUGCUAGAAACCUACAAACCACGUAAAAACUUGCAACAACAAUUAGAGGACGUCUAACUUGUUUUUGCAGCAAGUGCUAUGUGAUGUGAUAUGGCCAGAAGAUGUGAUGAAUGAUAUAUGUGAUGUAUGAGAUUGAUCAUAUUCUUGUAAUAGGAAUCACGACUUGCAUGUCGAUGAGUAUGACAACCGGCAGGAGCCAUAGGAGUUGUCUUUAUUAUUUUGAAUGACCUGCGUGUCAUUGAAUAACGCCAUGUAAAUUACUUUACUUUGUUGCUAAACGCGUUAGCCAUAGAAGUAGAAGUAAUCGUUGGCGUGACGACUUCAUGAAGACACAAUGAUGGAGAUCAUGAUGAUGGAGAUCAUGGUGUCAUGCCGGUGACAAAGAUGAUCAUGGUGCCCCGAAGAUGGAGAUCAAAGGAGCAUGAUGAUAUUGGCCAUAUCAUGUCACUAUUUGAUUGCAUGUGAUGUUUAUCAUGUUUUUGCAUCUUAUUUGCUUAGAACGACGGUAGCAAGUAGGAUGAUCCCUCAUAAUAAUUUCAAGAAAGUGUUCACCCUAACUGUGCACCGUUGCGAAGGUUCGUUGUUUCGAAGCACCACGUGAUGAUCGGGUGUGAUAGAUUCUAACGUUCGAAUACAACGGGUGUUGACGAGCCUAGCAUGUACAGACAUGGCCUCGGAACACACGCAAUACACUUAGGUUGACUUGACGAGCCUAGCAUGUACAGACAUGGCCUCGAAACACGGAGGACCGAAAGGUCGAGCAUGAGUCGUAUAGAAGAUACGAUCAACAUGGAGAUGUUCACCGAUCUUGACUAGUCCGUCUCACGUGAUGAUCGGACACGGCCUAGUUAAACUCGGAUCAUGUUUCACUUAGAUGACUAGAGGGAUGUCUAUCUGAGUGGGAGUUCAUAAUCAGAUGAACUUCAUUAUCAUGAACAUAGUCAAAAAGGUAUUUGCAAAUUAUGUCAUAGCUUGCGCUUUAGUUCUACUGGUUAAGAUAUGUUCCUAGAGAAAAUUUAGCUGAAAGUUGGUAGUAGCAAUUAUAUGGACUGGGUCCGUAUACUGAGGAUUGUCCUCAUUGCUGCACAGAAGGCUUAUGUCCUUAAUGCACCGCUCGGUGUGCUGAACCUCAGCGUCGUCUGUAGAUGUUACGAAACAUCUGACAUACACGUUUUGAUGACUACGUGAUAGUUCAGUGCGGUUUAGAAUUGUGGCACCAAAGACGUUUUUGAAACGUCGCAGAACAUGUGAGAUGUUCCGAAGACUGAAAUUGGGAUUUCAGACCAGUGCCCACGUCAAGAGGUAUGAGACCUCUGACAAGUUUCUUAAGCCUGCAAACUAAGGGAGAAAAGCUCAAUCGUUGAGCGUGUGCUCAGAUUGUCUGAGUGCCACAAUCGCUUGAAUCGAGUGGGAGUUAAUCUCCCAGAUGAGAUAGUGAUAGUUCUCCAUAGUCACUGCCACCAAGCUAGUAGAGCUUCGUGAUGAACUAUAACAUAUCAAGGAUGGUCAUGAUGAUCCUUGAGCUAUUCGCGAUGUUUGACACCGCGAGAGUAGAAAUCAAGAAGGAGCAUCAAUUUUUGAUGGUUAGUAAAACCACUAGUUUAAGAAGGGCAAGGGCAAAAAGGGAUACUUCAUGAAACAGCAAGUCGUUUGCUGCUCUAGUGAAGAAUCCCAAGGUUGAACCCAAACCCGAGACUAAGUGAGAGGAACGGUCACUGAAGCAGUACUACCCUAGAUACUUGGUAGAUGAGAAGGCAGGCAAGGUCGACAGUAGUAUAUUGGAUAUACGUUAUAUGAAUGUGUACUUUACUAGUACUCCUAGCAGCACCAGGGUAUUAGAUACCGGUUCGGUUGCUAAGUGUUAGUAACUCGAAAUAAAAGCUGCGGAAUAAAUGGAGACUAGCUAAAGGUGAGAUGACGAUAUGUGUUGGAAGUGUUUUCCAAGGUUGAUGUGAUCAAGCAUCGCAUGCUCCCUCUACCAUCGAGAUUUGGUGUUUGCGUUGAACAUGAUUGGAUUAUGUUUACCUCAAAACGGUUAUUCAUUUAAGGAGAAUAAUGGUUACUCUGUUUAUUUGAAUAAUACCUUCAAUGGUCUUGCACCUAAAAUGAAUCUCGAUCGUAGUGAUACACAUGUUCAUGCCAAAAAGAUAUAAGAUAGUAAUGAUAGUACCACAUACUUGUGGCACUGCCACUUGAGUCAUAUUGGUGUAGAACGCAUGAAGAAGCUCCAUGUAGGUGGAUCUUUGGACUCACUCAUUUUUGAAAAGAUUGAGACAUGCGAACCAUGUCUAUUGGUAUAUAUGCAUGAAGAAACUCCAUACAGAUGGAUCAUUUAGACUCACUUGAUUAUGAAUCACUUGAGACAUGCAAAUCAUACCACAUGGGCAAAAUGACUGAAAGUCCUCGUUUUCAGUGAGAUGGAACAAGAGAGCAACUUAUUGGAAGUAAUACAUUUUGAUGUACGCAGUCCAAUGAGUGCUGAGGCAUGCAGUGGAUAUCGUUAUGUUCUUACUUCACAGAUGAUUUGAGUAGAUGCUGAGUAUAUUUACUUGAUGAAACACUAGUCUGAAUUAUUGAAAGGUUCAAGUAAUUUCAGAGUGAAGUUGAAGAUCGUCGUGACAAGAGGAUAAAAUGUCUGUGAUAUGAUCAUAGAGAUGAGUAUCUGAGAUACGAGUUUGGCACACAAUUGAGACAUUGUGGAAAGUGUUUCACAAUUAAUACCGCCUGGAACACCAUAGUGUGAUGGUGUGUCCGAACAUCAGUAACUGCACCCUAUUGGAUAUGGUGCAUACCAUGAUGUUUCUUAUCAAAUUACCACUAUCAUUUAUGGGUUAGGCAUUAGAGACAACCGCAUUCACUUUAAAAGGGGCACCACGCAAUUCCGUUGAGACGACACCGUUUAUAGAAACCUAAGUUGUCGUUUCUUAAAAGUUUGGGGCUGCGAUGCUUAUGUGAAAAAGUUUCAGGCUGAUAAGCUCGAACCCAAAGCGGAUAAAUGCAUCUUCAUAGAAUACCCAAAAACAAUUGGGUAUACCGCCUAUUUCAGAUCUGGAAGCAAAAGUAAUUGCUUCUAGAAACGAGUCCUUUCUCGAGGAAAAGUUUCUCUCGAAAGAAUUGAGUGGGAGGAUGGUGGAGACUUGAUAAGGUUAUUGAACCGUCGCUUCAACUAGUGUGUAGCAGGGCACAGGAAGUUGUUCCUGUGGCACCUACACCAAUUGAAGUGGAAGCUUAUGAUAGUGAUCAUGAAACUUCGAAUCAAGUCACUACCAAACCUUGUAGGACGACGAGGAUGCGCACUACUUCAGAGUAAUGCGUGAUCCUGUCUUGGAAGUCAUGUUGCUAGACAACAAUGAACCUACGAGCUAUGGAGAAGCGAUGGUGGGCCCAUAUUCCGACGAAUGGCUCGAGGCCAUGAAAUCCGAGAUAGAAUCCAUGUAUCAGAACAAAGCAUGGACUUUGGUGAACUUGCCCGAUGAUCGGCAAGCCAUUGAGAUAAAUGGAUCUUUAAGAAGAAGACGGACAUGGACGGUAAUGUUACCGUCUAUGAAGCUCGACUUGUGGCAAAGAGUAUUUUCACAAGUUUAACGAGUUGACUACGAUGAGUUUUUCUCAUCCGUAGUGAUGCUUAGGUCCGUCGGAAUCAUGUUAGCAUUAGCUGCAUUUAUGAAAUCUGGCAGAUGGAUGUCAAAACAAGUUUCCUUACCAGUUUUCGUAAGGAAAGGUUGUAUGUGAUGCAAUCAGAAAGGUUUUGUCGAUCCUAAGGAUGCUAAAAGGUAUGCUAGCUCCAGCGAUCCUUCCAUGGAUUAGAGCAAGCAUCUCGGAGUCAGAAUAUACGCUUUGAUGGAGUGAUCAAAGUUUUUGGGUUUAUACAAAGUUUGUUAGAAACUUGUAUUUACAAUAAAGUGAGUGGGAGCGCUACAACAUUUCUGAUAAGUAUAUGUGAAUGACAUAUUGUUGAUCCGAAAUGAUGUAAAAUUUCUGGAAAGCAUAAAGGGUUGUUUGAAAGGAGUUUUUCAAAGGAAGACCUGGAUAAAGCUACUUACAUAUUGGGCAUCAAGAUCCAUAGAGAUAGAUCAAGACGCCCGAUGAUACUUUCAAAAGACAGCACACCUUGACAUGAUUUUGAAAGAGUUCAAAAUAGAUCAGCAAAGAAGGAGUUCUUGGCUGUGUUACAAGGUGUGAGUAUUGAGUGAGACUCAAGACCUGACCACAACAGAAGAUAGAGAAAGGACGAAGGUCGUCCCCUAUGCUUUAGACGUAGGCUCUAUAGUAUGCUAUGCUGUGUACCGCACAUGUAGUGUGCCUUGCCAUGAGUUGGUCAAGAGGGUACAAUGGUGAUCCGGGAAAGGAUCUCAUGACAGCGGUCGAACUUAUCCUUAGUACCUAGUGGAUUAAGGAAUUUUCUCGAUUAUGGAGGUGGAAAGGAGUUCUUCGUAAAGGGUUACGUCGAUGCGAACUUUGACACUAAUCCGGAUGACACUGAGUAGUAAACCGGAUUCGUAUAGUAGAGCAAUUAUUUGAAAUGGCUCCAAAUAGCGCGUGGUAGCAUCCACAAAGAUGACAUAGAUAUUCGUAAAGCACACGAUUCUGAAAGGUUCAGACCCGUUGACUAAUAACCUCUCUCACAAGCAUAACAUGACCAAACCAGAACACAUUGAGUGAUAAUCACAUAGUGAUGUGAACUAGAUUGUUGACUCUAGUAAACUCUUUAGAUGUUGGUCACAUGGUGAUGUGACCAGUGAGUGUUAAUCACAUGGUGAUGUGAACUAGAUUAUUGACUCUAGUGCAAGUGGGAGACUGUUGGAAAUAUGCCCUAGAGGCAAUAAUAAAUGGUUAUUAUUAUAUUUCUUUGUUCAUGGUAAUUGUCUAUUAUUCAUGCUAUAAUUGUAUUGUCCGGAAAUCGUAAUACAUGUGUGAAUACAUAGACCACAACCUGUCCCUAGUAAGCCUCUAGUUGACUAGCUCGUUGAUCAACUGAUAGUCAUGGUUUCCUGACUAUGGACAUUGGAUGUCAUUGAUAACGGGAUCACAUCAUUAGGAGAAUGAUGUGAUGGACAAGACCCAAUCCUAAGCAUAGCAUAAAAGAUCGUGUAGUUUCGUUUGCUAGAGCUUUUCCAAUGUCAAGUAUCUUUUCCUUAGACCAUGAGAUCGUGCAACUUCCGGAUACCGUAGGAGUGCUUUGGGUGUGCCAAACGUCACAACGUAACUGGGUGACUAUAAAGGUGCACUACGGGUAUCUCCGAAAGUGUCUGUUGGGUUGGCACGGAUCGAGACUAGGAUUUGUCACUCCGUGUGACGGAGAGGUAUCUCUGGGCCCACUCGGUAAUGCAUCAUCAUAAUGAGCUCAAUGUGACUAAGGCGUUAGUCACGGGAUCAUGCAUUGCGGUACGAGUAAAGAGACUUGCCGGUAACGAGAUUGAACAAGGUAUUGGGAUACCGACGAUCGAAUCUCGGGCAAGUAACAUACCGUUUGACAAAGGGAAUUGCAUACGGGAUUGACUGAAUCCUCGACAUCGUGGUUCAUCCGAUGAGAUCAUCGUGGAACAUGUGGGAGCCAACAUGGGUAUCCAGAUCCCGCUGUUGGUUAUUGACCGGAGAGGCGUCUCGGUCAUGUCUGCAUGUCUCCCGAACCCGUAGGGUCUACACACUUAAGGUUCGGUGACGCUAGGGUUGUAGAGAUAUAUGUAUGCGGAAACCCGAAAGUUGUUCGGAGUCCCGGAUGAGAUCCCGGACGUCACGAGAGGUUCCGGAAUGGUCCGGAGGUGAAGAAUUAUAUAUAGGAAGUCAAGUUUCGGCCACCGGGAAAGUUUCGGGGGUUACCGGUAUUGUACCGGGACCACCGGAAGGGUCCCAGGGGUCCACCGGGUGGGGCCACCUAUCCCGGAGGGCCCCAUGGGCUGAAAGUGGAAGGGAACCAGCCCCUAGUGGGCUGGGCGCCCCCCCAUGGGCCUCCCCCCAUGCGCCUAGGGUUGGGAACCCUAGGGUGGGGGGACUUUCCCCUUGCCUUGGGGGGCAAGGCACCCCUUCCACCCCUUGGCCGCCGCCCCCCAACCCUAGAUGGGUUUUGGCCGGCCCCCCUCCCAAGGGGGGCCUAUAUAAAGGGGGGAGGGAGGGCAGCAAGAAUACACAGCCUUGGGCGCCUCCCUCCUCCCCUGCAACACCUCUCUCUCUCUCGCAGAAGCUUGGCGAAGCCCUGCCGGAGACCCGCUACAUCCACCACCACGCCGUUGUGAUGCUGGAUCUCCAUCAACCUCUCCUUCCCCCUUGCUGGAUCAAGAAGGAGGAGACGUCGCUGCACCGUAGGUGUGUUGAACGCGGAGGUGCCGUCCGUUCGGCACUCGGUCAUCGGUGAUUUGGAUCACGGCGAGUACGACUCCGUCAUCCACGUUCAUUGGAACGCUUCCGCUCGCGAUCUACAAGGGUAUGUAGAUGCACUCCUUUCCCCUCGUUGCUAGUAGACUCCAUAGAUGCAUCUUGGUGAACGUAGGAAAAUUUUAAAAUUAUGCUACGAUUCCCAACAAUAAGCACACAAGCAAGCAAGAGAUAUAGCACAAAUAGGCUUGCACAAGUAAAGGCACGAGAUAACCAAGAGUGGAGCUGGUGAAGACGAGGAUGUGUUACCGAAGUUCCUUCCCUUUGAGAGGAAGUACGUCUCUGUUGGAGCGGUGUGGAGGUACAAUGCUCCCCAAGAAGCCACUAGGGCCACCGUAUUCUCCUCACGCCCUCACACAAUGCGAGAUGCCGUGAUUCCACUAUUGGUGCCCUUGGAGGCGGCGAUCGAACCUUUACAAACAAGGUUGGGGCAAUCUCCACAACUUAAUUGGAGGCUCCCAACGACACCACGAAGCUUCACCACAAUGGACUAUGGCUUCGCGGUGACCUCAACCGUCUAGGGUGCUCAAACACCCAAGAGUAACAAGAUCCGCAAGGGAUUAGUGGGGGGAAUCAAAUUUCUCUUGGUGGAAGUGUAGAUCGGGGCCUUCUCAACCACUCCCGAGCAAAUCAACAAGUUUGAUUGGCUAGGGAGUGAGAUCGGGCGAAAAUGGAGCUUGGAGCAACAAUGGAGCUUAGAGUUGGAAGAGGUGAUCUACUAGAGGAAGAAGACAUCCCUUUUAUAGUUGAGAACAAAAUCCAACCGUUAUCCACCUAACCAGCCCGCGACUUGCGGUACUACCGCCUCUGACAAACGGUACUACCGCGAGAGACCGCGGUACUACCGCUGCAACGGCAGGAGCUAGAACAAGCCUGAAGCACAGAGGCUGAGAACAGUACUUCCGCAGGCACGGUACUACCGCUCCCCCAUGCGGUACUACCGCAAGGCAGUAAUGGCCUAGCCUGGGAAGGGCGCGGAUGAAUAAAAAUACAUCCGUGCCUACUUUCGCUGAAAAUCAGACGAUGCAAAAAUCCGACACGGUACUACAGCUGGAGGAGUGCUACUACCGCGCACAAGGUGCGGUACUACCGCGGAGGGCGGAUGUAAAAAAUUACAUCCGCCCCUACUACCGCAAUGCAGCGGCACUUGGCCUGGGGGCCACGGUACUACGGCUCCAGAGGAGCGAUACUACCGUGGGCUCCUGCGGUACUACCGCGCCGAGGUACGGUACUACCGUAGGUGCCUGCGGUACUACUGCUCCAGGGAGCAGUACUGCCGCAAGCCCAAUAUCAGCAACCAAGACAUAAUGCAUAGAGGAUAAACGGAGGAUGCUCCAAAGCGAAGGGGAAAGGUGGAGACAAGGAAGAAAAUGUGUACGUGAUGAUUCCACCCGAACCUUUCCGACGCGGACCCCCUCUUAAUAGUACGGCUUUCCUACGACUCAAAUCCACCAAAAAGAAACGUAGAAAAACACCGUCUUCAAUAGUCUUCGAGGGGCACCAAACCGUCUUGUGCCUAGCGAUGAAACGUGUGUGAAACUCAAGGCACACGAUUAGUCCGUAAAAGCAUUGUCAUCAAUCAUCAAAGCACCUUAGGGAUAAAUAUGCCCUUACAUCAGCGUUGGAGCACAAUUGCGAGAAAUCAACUCCUGUGCGAGAAAUGAAACUUUUUUUCCUUUAAGAAAUAUAGUAGAAAUGAAUCCUCUUCAGUGAACUUCUUGGCGUCUAUACGGAGAUACUUUUUUUUUGAGAAUGGAGAUAUUUUCUUUAGACAAUGGAGAUAUUUUUCUUUGAGGACAAUAAAAUGAACUUUUUAUAGGGAAAUAAAAUGAACUGAUUGACAGUGGAAAUCUUGGAGCCAAAGCCCACAUAAAAUGGGUCACCGAAGCCUAGUCAAUCCACACCCCAGCCCAAAAGUACCGUCCACGGAGGGAGCCCAGACGCCCAUUCUCCUUAUAAAGCUAGACUGCUCCAGGCGUCCCAAACCCUAGCCUCCACUCCGCCCCCCAACCCAAACCCUACCCCGCCGCCGCCGUCGCCGACGCAGCGCGCGGAGGCGACCUCCCACCGCCGCCAAGAUGCAGAUCUUCGUGAAGACCCUGACGGGCAAGACCAUCACGCUGGAGGUGGAGUCCUCUGACACCAUCGACAACGUCAAGGCCAAGAUCCAGGACAAGGAGGGCAUCCCGCCGGACCAGCAGCGCCUCAUCUUCGCCGGUAAGCAGCUCGAGGACGGCCGCACCCUUGCCGACUACAACAUCCAGAAGGAGUCCACCCUCCACCUGGUGCUCCGCCUCCGCGGCGGCGCCAAGAAGCGCAAGAAGAAGACCUACACCAAGCCCAAGAAGCAAAAGCACAAGCACAAGAAGGUGAAGCUCGCCGUCCUCCAGUUCUACAAGGUCGACGACGCCACCGGCAAGGUCACCAGGCUCAGGAAGGAGUGCCCGAACGCCGACUGCGGCGCCGGCACCUUCAUGGCCAACCACUUCGACCGCCACUACUGCGGCAAGUGCGGCCUCACCUACGUCUACAACCAGAAGGCUUAGAGGUGGCUUGCGUUUGCUCUGCUCUUUUACCUACCUACCUAUCGAGAGUCGAACUCAUUUAGAUGUGUCCCGUUUGUCGUUUAAACUGAAUCCUUGAGUAUCAUGUUUCCUGAAUAUUUCAUCGCCUACUGCUGUUAUGCGAUGCGUGCUUAAAUUUUGGUGUCCGUAUGCUAUCAGUCUAAAUGCUUUUAAUCCAUUCCAUGUCGGCUAUCUUAUUCUAUGCUUUGUUGAUCUUAAUAAGGUGGUGCGAUCACGAGACAUGUUGAUGCAUGGGUUCUUCAGCUUAUAACCCAUUAUUGCAGGUGUUUCUAGAUUAGCCAAUAGCUAUGCAGGUCUUACAUGUGGAUGAAUAUUUUGCUAUUGCUGUUUUGUUAUGUGUUGAUUCUUUGAGGUGUGUGAUCUUUAUCACUUGCAAUUAGAAUUCAGUUCAUUCCAAGCGGUUGUGUGGUUGGUUUGUUCUACGUAUCUGUUUUAGUUCAUACCUAGAUGUGCCUGAAACUGUGAAUAUAUGUAGUCAGUUACCUUUGGCUAUAGACAGUGGCAGUGCGAUGAUUGCUAGUGUGGAGCAUAGUUCUGCCUUGUGGUUUAGCCAUCAGUUUUGUGUGUGUUAACCAUUCACCAUUGCCUACCUUCGGUGGUAAUAUUGGUUGGGUCUAUUGUGCCAUAUGUCUAUCGGUUUACAGUUGUAGAUGUAGGUGAGUUUUGCUGUCCUCUUGAGAUGUGAUGAGGCAUCAGUCUCUCACAUAAGCUGUAGAUCUGUACUCCCUCUCUGUAAAGAAAUGUAAGAGCGUUUAGUGAUGUAAAUAGAUGCUCUUAUAUUUGUUUACGGAGGUACCAGUAGUUUACAAUUGCCGACGUAAUCAGUGAACUGGUUCAGUAUCUCGGUAUGUUUAGCCAAUUCCAUUUCAGAAUUGGCCCAACGCUGCAUAAGCAACAGUGGCAUUGCUGUUUAUGCCCUGCCAAUGGCCCUGUAGCUGGGAUUUAGUACUGAUGUUGUUUGCGGAUGAAACAUGUGACUGAAAUUUUCACGUCUCUGUCUCCGUGCAAGCCUAGGGGGCUUGUUUGUAUACAAGCCUGUAGCAUGAAGUUGUAGCUAAGAGUGCUUCUGGAUUGUGGUCGUGCAAUUUCAUGAACUGUGAUCAGCGGCAGCGUUGCUAAACCAGCGAGAACCCAGUUCGGAUGUGUUUGGUUGGGAAAAGGCGCAGCGGCAGCGUCUCUCUUAUCGAGGUCCUGGACGCCUUGCCGCAGUGCUGCCUGUUCAUGCCCUUGUGCUGUGCCGUUGUUGAGUUUUCCUCUCACGGCCAUACCGAGGGCGACAUGUGGCACCCAAAAUCCAUUCGCUGGCACAGAGAUGAAAUAAGGUUAAGAGAAGCUCGUAGUGGGGUGUUGAGGAGCUUGUAGCUCCCAGAAAUCAAAGAAGCGAGAGUUGACUAUAAAUACAUAUGCACGCCAACCAAUUCACUGCACCUAAUCUCACUAUGCCUCCCUCAUCGAGCUCACCAUUCCCCUUUUCUCUCGUUACGCAUUCGACCUGGGGAUGCGUCGCUACUACGCCCAUGACCUACCAUGUACUAACUCGCCAUUGGCUGUCUCGCAAAGCUUGUCGUCCUGAGCACCAGAGCCGCCAAGCACGCAAAACUUGUCCCGCCUCCCCUUGCUCGAUCGUUGUCUCGUCGACGCCUUGGUGCAUCGCUUUAUGCCUGGAAUGAGACCGUGACAUUGAACUAAGGCAUUUGGGGUGCAAUCGCCACCAUCCCUAACUCGGUCAGAUCUAAGCCGAAUGAGCUGCCAGCCCGUGCUAGUGCUCUGGUUUUUUAACGGGAUGUUGGGCAGAGGAGUUGAGGAUCCGAGGGAUCCAGAGGGUUACCGAACAUGCACUUAUUUUUUUAGGGGAACUUGCAACUUUAUUUAAAUUAAGCAAAGGUUGGGACCUCGUCCGCUACAAUAUAAAUAAUGCAGUCUGGAGGAAAAUCAAAAUAAAUCGUAAUCAUUGCACGCCCUCUCUCUAGCUAAACCAUGCGCCGCACCAUUUGCAGAGUGCCGAACCCAUGAGAUUUUGAACUCCUGCGAGUUCUCAAAAGCUCCUUAAUCUCCUCCACAACCGGGCCAAACGUCGAAAGGUUCUUGCCUUCUCCUUGAAGCAUCGCCACCACCUCCUGACUAUCCAGCUCGACAUGGAGUCGUUGCACGUCCAUAGUAAUCGCCAUUUGCACGGCGCUUUUCGCUGCAAGAAUCUCCGAGAGCUGGGGGUGGCCGGCACCUGGGAAGCAGAUCGCAGCUCCUCCCCUAAAAGCACCAUGGUGAUCCCUGAGAACCACUCCUCCCCCCUUGUCGUCCGUUCGGGCCGUCGCUCCAUCCGCAUUUGCCUUGGUCCAUCCCGGCUCCGGUGGAAGCCACCUUUCCGGUCGCCUUGGCUCCUUGAUCGACCCCUCCUUGGAGUGAACUAGACGCCAUUCCUGGAUAUAACAGUGAACUUUCUCUGCCAACUCUCGAGCAUCUUGGAUCCUUCUCCCGUCCCUAGCAUCAUUUCUUGCGCACCAAAUACCAUACAGAGCCUGGACCAUCAUUUCGCGUUUAGCCCCGCUCGCUUCCGCAAACCAGGCCUUGAGCCACGCCACCAGGCCAGUCAGAGAACCGUCCAUCGCCGGCGGCCUGACAACAGGCUCCCCCUUGUUCUCGCACAAAUAUUUCUAGAAGAGCUCGGAGUGGGGGCACGCCCAAAAGCGAUGGUAUAAGGUUUCUUCCCUGCCACAAGCGCAACAGAACACACCCGGUUUGAUUCGUCUACGGUGCAGUUCGGUUCCGACAGCUAGGCCAUUCUUCAGCAACCUCCAAGUAUGAAUCUUGGCCUUCCCCGGCGCAUUAGUGUCCCAUAAAGCGAGCCAAGCCUUGUGCUCCUUGCUGGGCAUCGACGAUCCCGACUGUCCGGUUUUCACGUCCCGUAAGCUCAUGCCGAAGUGGUAGGCGGACUUGACAGUGAACUCGCUCCUUCUUGGUGAAGUUCCAUGCAAUAUAAUCUUGCAUGUUCGCCCCCCCCCACCACCACCACAAUAUGCUUGAUAUCCUCAACGUCUCCCGGUGAAAACAUCAUCUCCAGCUUCUCCAUAUCCCAUGCACUUAUUAUUUCGUAGUCAUUUUUCAUUGCGAAGCGAUAUGAGAUGGCAACAUCUUAUGUUACUCAAUUUGUCUCUCUCUUUAACUACUUACCACAUCAUCUUUUUGCCUAUAUAAAUACCUACAAUCAUUUAAUAAAAGAUUAAUUGCUAUUUCAUUUUACAUCUUCGUCGAUCGUCCCUUGUUUACUUUGGGUCAUAAAUGACUAUAAAUCGUCCUUGGUGGCAACGUUCGCCCAUCCUCCCCUUCUCUUGGCGUGCGCCACUUGAAUGCGGCGUCUUCCCAUGAUCUGAUCCAGCAACGCUCGCAUAGUAAGUUUAGCUCAAUGAUAGAAUCACACACUUGAUAAAAAAUGGCAUACCUCCAAACUUACAAGUUUUCUAGGCCGUGUCUUCCCUCUCUCUAUGCAAUCUCUCUUCCACGCUGCUCCACCUUUGGUUCCCCGGUUGCUCUUUGUCCUAGAUGAUGAAGUGUUGUUGAACCGUUGAUAUGAUACAUGUGGAUACGGUAGAGGGGUCGUGCUUUCGACUCUCGAUCGAGGAAAAAUUCUUGUAGCUGGGAGGUAAUACCUAGCUACGGGAAUUUGCACAUCUUCAUCUCUCUUUGUGUUGGUUAGAUCGAUCUUGUCCAUUCAUUUUCAUAAUGUUCUUGGGUGUGUUAGUAUGGUAUUUUUUUUGCUUUGUACCAUGUUCUCCAACAUAGUCUGGUCCCAAAAUUGUAUAUAAUCAGUAUGACCCUCAACAAUUUAGGCCAACCAUAGUAGACUUUUACUUUCCAAAUACAUAUGGCCCCAAAAUGGAUCGAAAUUAAAUGGGCCAAACAACAUGAGAUGACCCAGUAAAUUGUAAUAGGCCUCUGUUGGGCCAACACUUCCUUAAUGGCUAGGAUGACAAGUUGACUAACGACACCAUCACUACGCCAUUAAUAGCGGCUGCCACGUGCCAGUCUUCUGCCAUGUCAACCUCACUCGGGACAAAAACACUUCCAUGUCACGCCAUUUUUUCUCAUGGAAAAGCACACUUCAAUAACAAAAACCGAGUUUUGUCAUUGAAGUGAUCUAUGACCGACAUAGUAUGGCAUCUACACUCUAUCAUAGAUUUGUCAUGAAUGCACAUCGAUGACAAAAACCCGCACCUUCUAUCAUGAAGGUGUAUUGUCAUGGAUGUAUUUUUUUAGUGUAGUGGAUAUAUGGCAUCAAUGCUCUAAAGUCUCAUGUCAGUUUAUGUGAUGUUGUGGGGCCAACGUUGGGGUUGCCGUGUCACUGUAGGGAUGACAUUCCUGGUCAGAUCCGGGCCCUUGAUCAACCCCUAGACUCCUAUGGUCUUACCGCUGAAGAGUGCUUCAGCGGUGUGCCUUGAGGUCUCCCUUAUGGAAAUCUACAAGGGUGAGGAGAUAUUCUAGCAACAACGGAGCCGGCAGAAUUGGCUACUGAAGGGUGAUGCCAACACCACCUACUUUCAUGCCAUUGUGAAUGGGAGAAGGUGAAAGAAAGUGCUCCAUCUCGUUUGGACGGUGCCCUCCUAGAGGAAUCCAAGGACAUUUUCACCCACAUUUACUCCUUCUACAAGGAGCUCUUCUGGGUAGGUCAACGACUACUGGCAUGAGGGGGGCAAGGUCUCAGCCACUGAGAAUGUGGAUCUCACCUUCUCAUUCUUGACCGAGGAGGCCAGUCGAGCUAUCAUGGAGACGAAGGUACCCUUAUCUUUAACCUUGUAGUUGAUGUUGUCCAGUUAUCUUGGAGAAGGCCAAGAUAUAUAGUUACAUCUCUGGUGUGGUUGGGAAAAUUGUCCCAAGCAGGGUAUCACCUCAAGUUCAUGGUAACACCUUGAUCAUGGUAGAAGGAAUGGAACCUGUCAUUGUCUACCUCAAAGUCCCUCGUAUACUUUGAGGCUAUGCGUCGUCUCAGGAUGAACUUCAGAAGAGGGAAGUGGUGGUCACGAGUUACCCUCCCAAGGAUCAACUACAAAUGCAUGACACUUGGAACAAAAGAUAGGCAGAUUGAUUCCAGUGUGAUACAUGCGUGAGUGAUACCUAAAAUUAAAAUGUAAAAUAAAAUUGAAAUAAUACAAACCGUCUAAUUUUCAUGAAGUCAACAUGCGUACACCGGCGUGAAUAUGACAAUGAUGAAUAGAUUAUGCUUCAGUUGGCACUAACUAGCAAUGUUCAUGACUGGUACCUAGAGGCAACAAUGAAACCUAAAAUAUAGGAAAAAGUGUAUGAAAACCCAAACAUACAUGCGACAUGGCAAGAAAGAUUGGCGGCUCAGUUCCAGUGUGGUACAUGCAUAGGUUGUAACAUGACAAGGAAGCAAAACAAUGUUCCACGAUGCAAUAAAAGAAAUAGUUUCAGUUGUGAUAAAGUACUAUGCAAUAAAUCGUUUCUGUUGUGAUAAAAGAUACAAGUCCAACAAAACAAUAUGCGAGUAAUCGGAAAAAAGGAAAUGUUUUCAAAUUUCCUAUUAAUAUACAACAUUUCUUACAGAAACCACUCACCCACCCCCCCUCCACUCUCUCGUCUCGCCGCCGCCAGAGGCUCCGGCCAGCGAAGCUCGGCUGGAUCCGGGGACGGGCACUUCUUCGGCUGGCGCGAGGUGGCAGGGCGAGCUGGCUCUCGUGCGGAUGGGCGGCGGCGGCGGUUGCCGCUGCAGGGCUAGGUAUGGUGUCUCGGCGGUCAGAUCUGGAUGUGGAGGGAGCGGCUAGCUGCUCCGGUGACCUCGGCCUGGUCCGCGAGGUCCAGCUCGCUCGAAUCUGAGGUGGCUCGCUAGCCGGCUCUGGCCCGUAGCUGCGGCUGGGAGGAUGGGGGGCGGGAAGGAGGCGGUCGUUGUGUGGCUCGUGGAGGUGGUUGGGGUGCUGGUCGGCGGGGAUGGGUUUCCUGUUCAGCCAACGUUGGCGUGGAACUCAGAUCUGGCUUUCUUUGAGGGCUGGAGGUGGAAGUGUUCCCGUGGCUGGAGGUGGCGGUGGUAGGGUGUGGCCGGCGGUGAGGGCUUGGGUGCGGGCAGCAGUUCACACCGACCUGACUCCGGCUGUGCAGGUGCUCGAGGUGAGUGUCUAUAUCAUCGGAGCCUUGUGCCCGUCCUAGCGGGGACGCUCGCCAUGGACUGACAGAAGGGUGGGGAGGUCUUGAGCUGCUGGACUCGGCAACCUUCUUCGACGGUGAUGUCUGUGAUGGGAUGCUUCAGGCGAAAGCCUUGUGUCGACCUUGUCGGCAACGAUGAUGGCGCCGCCUUCGGGCGUCGUUUCCCUUCAUUAAGGCAUCAUCGAGAAGCUACUGUUGCCUGCUCAUUCGUGUGUCUCAGGCGAAAGCCUCAGAUCCAUAUCUGGAUCGGACGACGGCGACAUCUUGAUGUCGUUUCUCCCCCUUGGGGGCGUUGUUUUGGGGCCACGAACCGUGUUGGUCGCUUGAUGUCUGGGUUGAAGUGCUUGUUGGGUUGCUGGAGUGCAGGGUGGUGGCGGUGGAAGUGAUCUGUGGCGGCGACAAUUCCUUGGUCAUUCUGGUGCUGAGGGUUGACCUAUCUCCUGGGCCUCGUGGCGACGGUGAGGUCUAGGAGUUUGGUGCCCUUCGACGACGCCUGAGGUUGGGUUGCCUCGCAUAGUGUUCUAGUUCUCUCGGCUCAGAGGAGGUGCAGGGCCGUCUCGGCAGAUCCUUGCCCUUCGGCACGGUCUGCGAUUCUCUCUAUCACGUUGUGGCUAGGCAGUGGGAAUCCCUUCGAUGGCAGCUGCGAUGCUCCUAGUUCUUCAAGGUGCAGAGUGAUCGCAGGGCAGCAGACAGUUCUUCCUCUACGUCUUCUCGGUGUUCAACCUCCUUUCGACUGAUCCAACAAUACUAGUCCCUGCUCUUCUCGGUCUGCCUAGUGGUCAUGGAUGCUAAGCUCUUGGUGUUGGCUGCUUGUCGUAGUUCGUUUCUGGUUCUCUUGUUCCUUCCGCGCGUGUGUGUGUGUGUUGGGUGCUGAUUCUCCUAUGAUGUUCCUUGUUCUUUCUUGUGUGUGUUGGGUGCUACUUGCUGUAGCUGUUGUGUUGUAUCUCCGUCUUUUUAUGAUAAUGAAAAUGGUUCAGGCCGGCGUAAGCCCGCCGUAGCACCGUAAAAAAAACAUUGCCACAAAUGGGCCCACGAAAUAGGCAAACAACAUGCACAAGAUAGAAAAGCAAGCUAAAUGUAUACUCCCUCCGUUUCUAAAUAUAAGUCUUUGUAGAGAUUUCACUAUGGACUAGAUACGGAGCAAAAUGAGUGAAUCUAUACACUAAAGUGCAUCUAUAUUCAUCCAUAUGUGGUUCAUAGUGGAAUUUCUCCAAAGACUUACAUUUAGGAACGGAGGGAGUAGAUGAGAUUGACAAAGAGAGAAUAUUUUGGCAAAAUUGUCGUGAGCAACAAAGCACUCAUGUAGGGAGAAUAGCUAAAAUUAUACUGGUUGUCCUACCCAAGCCAUCCACAUGGACGGUCAACACAAGUCAAAGAGGUUAACAUAAGUCCAAGCAAGCUACCAAGGGUCCAAGCAAGCUAUCUCGCUCAAAUAAGUCAAAACAAGUCUUCAUGGUCAACGAGUCAAAGGAAAUGAGAAAAUAAAAGACCAAGUCGAAGAUGAAGCCAAGGAAGCAAAGAAGCUCAAGCCUAUGAAGAGAAACCUUCAUAAAGUCAAAGGAAUUCUACCUCCCAUGGGUCGCAAUCUUUCUGCAGCCUAAUGGGAGCACGAUUCAUGGACUAAAGAUAGUUUUACCCUCUCACCUCCUCAUCUUAAGGGCAGCCUUGUUCAUUUGUCAAUCACAUCUAGGUUAUAAAUACCCCUAAUGAGCUCGUAACACAUUCACUCCCACUUGAAUAAACUCGAGAGGAGAGUCAUUCCCUCUCCCUCUCCUCAGAACCAAGGUUCGAAAGGGGGUUAGGUUUCGGAGUCCAAGGGAUGUUGUAAGGCUUGGACCCUCAGGAGUCGUGGGGCUGCAGCAACGGCAACGUUCUGAACGAUAGUGUGUCAAGCCCUUUUCCUUGAUGACUGCUCAUAUGACAUAGGUCAUGUUCCCACAAGGCGACUGCAGCUAUUCAAAAAACAUUGUUGUGUUACUUUGUCGAUGUACAAUUACCUUCGUUAUAAGGCCGUACAAUGACCUUCAUUAUAAGACCGUCAUACACUGCUACUUACAUUUCACAAACCCGCUACAAAGGAUACCCCUAGUCAAAAGCUGUUUUCAUAACAACAUGAUGUAAGUAACACGAGCAAAGCCAUACCAUAUGUACAAAGUUAGAAAUAUAUUGCGAAGUGCCACAGCCAGCUUCUGGCACAAUGUAGAGGACAACCUUUACUUUGUCAGACUUGCUCUAUAGCUCCACAUACAAUCGGAAAGUAUGUACAAUUCAAUGCUGUUAAUCACAUCUCAAUGUAGUGUGCACCAACAUCAAAACUACAAGUUGGCAAUCCAUUUUAGUUUAGCGCAGUUCCUUAAAAGAAAGCCCAUAUAUUUCAGCUCACAAGCAGUUUGUCUCCCAGCUCUUUGCGGUAGAAGUGAAUGAGGCCAGCGCUGUCGAUUGUCUGCAACUUAUCCUUCAGUAUCUUCGUGUAGUGGUCAUCCCUGUCCUCCAAGCUUCUCAUCAAUUCAACCUGAUAAGCCAGAAAUACUUCGAAUAUAUCAGAAGCUGUGUGCCCAGAAGAGCGACUUUGAGAAUACAACUGUGUUAGGAUAACUUGUCACGGAUGUAUAACUUGCACCCACCUGUCUCUGGAACGACUCGAAUUCAUCGAAGCUCAGGGAACCAUCGCUGUUUGCAUCAAGGAGAUGCAUGAGCGCCAUCGCAUCCUCGCCCUCGGCACCAAGAUCUUCCAUCACCUCCGUGAGCUCCUCGAUGCUGAUCCUCCCAUCACCAUUUUUGUCUAUAAGGCAGAAAGCCUGGUUCUUGCAUUCACCUCCUCGAUGAUCACUGGCUGGGAGGUCUCGAAGGCGAUGAGCUGCCAGUUCUGCCGCAGCCAACAUAAUAGCCUUGAGUCUUUUAGCCUGGAGAAUAUUCAAGGAAUGCUGAUUCUUAGUCAUGCCCCAAAAAUAAUCUUUCAGUUCAGUCUCAGAAAAGGUAUAAGAAUGCUAAUUUCAAGAUAAAACGAUAUGUCAUGAUGAAAUCAGCAGACAAGUGUAUCAGUUAGGAACAUAAACCAAACCAGGUCACUACCAUCUCAGCUGUGAGCUCUGAACUAACUGUUAUAACCCAGUGAUAAUUUCAGUAAGAAGCCUCAUAUGCUGGAUGAAAUUUAGGUGUAUCUUGUAGCAAGCAGCAUUUUACAUAACUUAUGUCUGUACAUGUUUUGACCCUUGGUUCGAUAAAACAACUUACCUACUAUGUUUUGAAAGAUACCCGAGUGCAUUGAUAAAUCCAGACGAUUCAGUGUACUUCAAAGGAGGAAAGAGAGUUGGAAUUAAGUAGAUGGCUCACCUCUCCAGGAUCCGUAAGACCACCCUUGUAGAGAGAGUGAGACGCUUCUCCACCAAUAGCAAUUCUGUGCAUCUCCUUGGUGCGUAUUUGUAUCUCCAUUAGUGGCCUCGUCUUCCCAGGUUCACUUACAUCGAUUGCCACAUGCAGGCUCUGAUAGCCAUUUCUUUUUGGCUGUGUCACAUAGUCCUUUGUCCUACCUGGCACUUCCUUCAAUAGAGCUCGAAUGAUUUCGUGUGUCCUGUGACAGGCCCUGGGGCCCCAAUCAGAUGAGCCACCAUCGCAUCGAGGGUCCAAGAUUAUCCGUAAACCAAGUAUGUCAUUUACUUCUUCUGGUUUCCGGCCAUCUUUUACUAGCUUCUUCAUAGUACUGAAACGGCUUUUGUACCGCCCUUCAAUUGAGAUGUCCUGCACAAUCUCGUUUAGCUCAUCAUCGGACUUCAGUGCCUGAAGCAACUGCGCCUUGUAGGCAUUUAUCAAGAGCUUGCACUCGGCUUCUCGGUUCCUCAACCAUUGAUCGACAUGGUCAUAUGAAUGAGGAAACAAGUACCUAAAAGAAAGAUCUUCCAACUCUAGCGACAGAUUACCAGCCCCGACAGCAUGAGCAAGUGGAGCAUAUAUCUUCAUUACUUCAAGAGAUUUUACUCGCUGAAGAUGCUUGGGGAGGUACUGAAGGUGUCUCAUCGUAUCAAGCUUCAGAGAAAGCUCCAAGAUUACUGCCCGGAUGUCAUAGUACGAAAGGAAAAACUUUCUCAAUGAGCUCGCACUUUCAUCAUCCAAUACGUCGACUUUCGAAGGAGCAACCUUAAGCCUUAAGCUCUCGUGCAGUAAAUCAGCUAUGCCAGUCCCAAUUUGAGCUUCUACAUCGCUCAUGCUUAUAGUCCCUGCAUCAAGCGCUUUCCUCAAUAUGCCGGCUGAAAUAACUUCCGCGUCCAUCUGCCGUCAUGAAUACAACAAGAAUUCAAAAUCCCUGUUAAACAUGAGAGCUUAAGAGUGGAUAAAUAAGCCCAAUGAUGCUUAACUGCGUUAUCAUACAAAGCAGUGCAAAUAUCUUAUGAAUCACCAUAACCUUACAGGGAAAUGGAGCAAAUAGAAAUUGGUCAAAGAGCCUAAUCGUAAACAUGGGUUAACUUGUGGUGGUUUUUGACAAUUUACUCGUCCAAGAAAGGCUCUGCCCAUCAAUACUGUCAGAUGAUAUUGCCUUCAACUUAUGGUAUAAAUGGGAAUUCAAUGGAAAGUAUGAACCAAACAGUAACGAUCAGUGACAUGAAACUAAAUAAUCAUAUAAGCCUGAGUUUAAUAGUUUGUGUAACUUUAGUGUGACUGAAACAAGGAAUGCCGGUGCCAUGGCAAGAAAACAGAUUUUGCUUUCUAAGUUCUAAUUGUUGUACACAAUAUUAUUCAGUGACUUCUUUCGAUGCAUUCAACAACAGAACACCAAAUGUGUACUGGGAAAUAUAUUUCAGAAAGAGUUCACUUAAUCUGGGUGUCCCUACUCCCUAGCAUUAAAAUGGAUAUCAUUGAAACGGGAAUGAACUUAUGCAUUUAACAGAAUUCGGCAUAUUGAGCUAGCUAUCGUUACUGAAUUAAUGGAAUUCUUGUUUCAAUCCUUCUCAAAUAAAUAAAUAAUUUUGUUUCAAUCUGUAAACCCGAACAUAAAUAAUAAAUAACAUGAACUUGAUCCAGGAACCCACAGUUAACAGGCCAACAAUUAGUAAAUUCUACUUGUUCAAUCAUGCGGACACGAAAGCUCACCCCCAGUCUCCAAAAUCGAACGAUAUAAUCCUAUUUACGCAAACGGAACAGGGGAGGAGGCUCUGGCUCAGCACCUGGAGGUCGGCUAAGGUCGCGGCCACCGCGAGGGCUCGCGUGAGGGCCUGGCCGCCGUCGCCGUCGCGGAGGGCGGGGAGGGCCAGUUUGAGCGCGCGGAAGAGCAGGCGCGACGAGGAGGUGGUGGCCAGGCCCUCUCCCAUCCUACCCGUGAGCUCGUUGAACACGCCCACAAGCUCCGCCACCAGCCUCCCUCCUCCCUCCGGCGGCGGCGUCGCCGGGGCCGAUAGCGACGAGGAGGAGGAGGUGGACGGGGCGGAUGGGGAAGAAAAAGCAACUGAGGCAGGGAGACGCAGUCGGUGCAGGCGACGCGGGUUGGGGCAUGGGCGCAGGCCUAGGUGGUGGCGGUGCUGGUGGCGGCCGGCGGGAACGGCCGCGGCGGUGGUGGCUGCCGUCGCCAUGGGUGGGGCCCGCUCCGGGGAUGGAUUGCAGGCGACGUGGCACUGUGGCAGCCGCUGUGCGGAUAUGUGAUGUGGUGAUUGUGAUGAAGUGGCGACUGGCUCGCGCCUUGCCACGUAGGAUUUGCCAUCUCCGCGCGGGAAGAGACGGGGUUUCGAUAGGAAAACUGAAUUUCUCCGGAAGUCCUUCGUUCAAUACGCAUAAACAUGGGCAAAUGUGCCAGUUUUUUAGCGUUUGUGAGCGAACGUCUACAUUUGUCAUGCGAAAUUAGAUAAAAUUAUAAUGUUGUUGUGUAAGAUUUGCCAUGUCUAAAAUGAAAAUGGCCAUGUAGUGCUGCAUGUCCUCUCGCUAGUUGAGUUAAAAAUUGUGGAACACCUCACGAAUCGAGGGAAAGCAUGUAUGGGAGGCCAGCAAUGUUCAUCCUAUCAUUAAUCUUGCGACACGAUUCAAUCGUCUUCCAGCAUCCAACCUAAAACCGUCGGCGACACCAUAGUGACGGGAUGAAGCUCGCGCUCUUCACACCGUAACCGUAUCUGGUAUGUGCAACAACGUUACUUGCCUCUUCUUUUCAGACAGUUCCUUAUAUAUGUUGCGAACCAUCAUCCUUCUUUCUACCAUUUGUCUCGCCUUUGAUUUCUUGUCAUUCGACAACCAGCUCUCGGACAAUAGCGAGACAAUCCUCUCACUUGCGUUCGUGAUGGACAUGUGUGUGCCGAGAUGAGUUGCUUCUGCUUUGCGGGCAACCCCAAUGACAACACCGGUUAUUUGGUCUUUCUUUUUCAGGCCAAAUAUGUGAUUGAUUGCCCGGUUAUUUGGGUUGCUGUCUGCUGCCCGUUUUUUCUCUAGAUAUAUUGUUCUUGGAGAUUAAAAUUGUGGCAAAAUCUGUAGGUUUGAGGAGAGAGGAAUCCUUGGAGCUCCAUGAGAACACUUUGAGUCAACAAGAGUUGCCGCAUGCUCAUUGCACGACUUCUUGGCAUGUAUGGCGGGAACCACCCCGUGAUUAAGGGCAUCUCCAAUGCCAUGCCGCAAAACGUCCGCAAACGUCUGGAUUGACGCGUGUGGACCAUUUUUGCCAUCCAACAUGGUCCCACAUACAUCAGUGGACCCGUCCGCAUGCCCGAAUUCUUGUAAGACGGAAUCAAAGUUGGGGGAGGUUUGCGGGAGUUCAGACCUCCACCAAGUAGGACUCUGACAAUCCCGACCCACCUAAAAUCCCACCCGUAGCCCGCGCAUUUGGCCACAUUCACACUACUUCCGUGCCAAACCCUGCGCAUUCCCAUCCUAUCUAGCCGAUUGACGCCUCCCUCCACCCUAUUCCUGCCCUUUUGUAGGAUCAGAAAUCGACUAGAAGGGUCGGAGAGGGGUGAAUAGAGAUUUACAAAUUCUUCAUUAAGAAGGAUUUCUUUCCAACAAGCAAAUGAUAAACUAUUCUAAGACGGGAACUUAAUGGAGAUAAGAUUGAGAAAAUAAAUGACUUAGAGGGAAAGCUAAAACAGGCUACUAAGAGAUAUCUAUCACAACAGAAGUUAGAAGAAUAACUAAGUAGCACUAGGGGAAAAACAUGCGGUACAUGCAUACUAAGUAUCGUGAGAGAGAAUACUAACAGAAACAUUGUGAACUAACAUAGAGGGAAAUGCUAUUUAGUUUCAAAGAAAUGAUCAAAGUGAGCAAUCAUAGAGAGGAAUAACUCAACAGAUAGAAAUACUGAAAGUAAAUCAAGUAGAGAGAAAAUCAGUGGUACUCGAUGGCGACAAGUGAUUUGUUCUACCAGUUCACACUUCUGCCAAAGUGGCACGUCUGGUUGGAGGGACUUGUGAUUGAACACAUGAGAAAAUCUCUUUCAGCCUAUUCUCCUCAACAUGAAGAACCUCGAACUUUAGUUGAUUUAUUACUCUCGACACAUUCUUCAAGGUAAACUCCAAACCUUCACAGACUUUAUCCUUGGCAAACCACAAUUACUCUUGGUUGCUCGGACCGACGCCUAAUCGUCUAGUGAGUGUGCAACUCACAACAAUAAUAGGAACAAGCUUCGUAUAGACCUAAUUCUCCGCGAUGCUCAAUCAUGUAACUAAAUUUGGGCCCUGGGGUUUUCUCUUGGUGAAAUCUGACUAUAGAGGGGUUUCUCAGACAAACUCUUGUCAGAUCAGAUGAAGCAGCCAAACGCUGAAGGUUGGGGGUGGGAUGACUAUUUAUAGCCAGAGUAAUUCCAAGGUACGAAAUUACCAAUUGGGGCCCGUGUCAUGCAACGGUCAUCUAACAUGUGUCCAACAGUCGGAUUUCAAAUUCACGCGAUAACUUUACUUAAGGAAUAAGUUAAGCUGACUCUACUGCAUGUGAUUUUCACUCAACGUCCAGAAGAACUUCGUCUAUGACUUAGAGGGAAAACACAACGCCAUGUAGGAUUUUGACGACUUUGCCAUGUAGGAUUAGUCGAGACCCCAGAUAUUAUUCGCUAUUCUUGUCAUGAAAACAAAAUUAACUUCGAUCAAUGGAGAACAUAUGUAGAGUGCCAAAGUAUUUGGUACAAAUAAUUCUUGAUCACAUUUGUUCUGAUGUUUUGGCCACUUUUGCCUCCUCUUCUCCUUCACAUCCUCAUUCAUAUGCAACUUUCCAACCCGUCUUCGGUGACUAUCAUCGCGAAAUUCACGUUCAACCUCUAGUCCACAUCGAACACUUUAUAUCGGUGUUGUCACACCCGACAUCUCCCAUGGCUACCAUUGCCAUAUAUGAAAGCAUUAACCUCUCUCACGGGUAUCACCUAGACAUUAGUCAUUGGGCCUCAUCAUCACUACCUUUGAUGCCAACAAUGAUCUGUCUGCUUCAACCUAAUUGUUUCCUUGUUGCCUCAUGGCGGUCUUGUUUCUAAAACCAAGGUUAAAACAGAACCUCCGACCUAAACAUGAGCCAUGAAACCCUUUCCUCUUUGAUGAGGAGGCAUUGACCCCACCUCUUAGUCUGACCACAUGAUCAAAACAUGUCUUGGUUAAUGAGUAUUAAGAGAAACGACAAGACACCGGCGUUGUCAAAAUCAUUCUACCAUAGGAUUGUGUGACUUUGCAAUCCAAACUGAUUAGAAUAUGGAGCGCGCUAUGCGUCUGCCGGGUGAUGAUUGGAUUGUAUCGUCUGCUACUAUAGUCGUUGGAUGGCAUGCACGACAACUGCCUGAUCUGAUGCAAUAGCGCCUCAACCGUUUGCAACAUGGCUUAUAUUGCGCUCCGGGCCAUGUUGCGCUCCAUCCAAAUGUUUUCUACCAUUGCAAUUAUCUGACCCAGUUUGCAACAUGAGCCAUGUUGCGCUCCCAGGUUGUAACAUGACCCAUGUUGUGCUUGGGGAAAACAUUUGUGGUUGACCACCAUCCUGUUUUCCGCCCCCUUCGCAACCUAAGCGAUGUUAUGCUCGCCGGUUGUAGCAUGACCCAUGUUGUGUAGCCCCUUUGCAAUUCAGAUGAUAUUGCGAAUCCCCUUUGCAACAUGCCCUGUUUGCAAAAUGAGUUAUCUGACCCCGUUUGCAACAUGAGUGAUAUUAUCUUCGCCGGUUGCAACAUAACCUAUGUUCUGAAGCCCCUUUGCAACAUGGACAACAUUCUGAAGCUUGGGAAAAGGAGGGAGAAGGAGGGACAGUUUGGGCAGCAAGCUUGGGAACAUAAAGGGCACUAGUAGUCGAUGGUGCAUUGCCGAGGCGAUGGCUUGCAGCAGCGGACGGUGAUCUGCAUCCCUGUCCUUGCAGCCCUUGCAGCGCCAACCUAGUAGAACCGCUGUGAAUCUUGGCCCUCGUAGCCCCCUGGCAGUCGCCUUGUGCACCAGCAUCAUUCACCCCCGCACCUCCCCAUCUCGUGCCUCCCGACGCCUUUGCAGCACCGGACCCAAUCCUUGCAGCAGUGGGGUGGUUGGGGGCUACCUAUGCCCCUAUGGAGGAAAGGGAUACAAGUAGAAUGAUCUUUCUAAUUAACCAGACUUACAAAGAUAUAAAUUACCAGAAAACUUACAAGGGUUCCUUUCUUCCGGUUGUGUCAAGGAACACCAUUUGCUCCAUUUCCCCAAAAAGAAUGCCGUUUGCUCCACGAUACUAUUUAUAUACAGGUCAACCUAUCGAGUAAGACUUAGCCAAAUCUCAGUCGGUGAUGUCAGCAUAGUUGUGGUGCAACUCGCGACAUGCUGCAAACGACAACGCCAAACGCUGCGAGACAUAUGAUGCAAGCAACGACGACGGACGCUGCAACCGGUGGGACUUCAUGCCGGGACGACAUGAUGCAACUAGCACCGACGGACUCUGUGACUGAUGGGACGACGUGCUAAGCGGUGACGUGCUGCGAUAGCUGUUGGACGGUGCUCAGUUUAGCACUAAUCUCCGCACUAAGAUCCAACAGCGAAGCAGUCGACCGAGACUUAGUCGAUUGAGGAGCAAGUUGCCAUGUUCUUGAUCACAACCUUCGAAAUAGGCUAGUCGGUUAUACAUGGUGCUGACUAAAUAGAUUUAUCGCUCAGCAUACAUUGCUGACUAAGUAGAUUAUCGCUCAACCAUGUAUACACACUACUACUGAAGAACUUCUUCAGAUAAGUAUAAUCUGUUGAUACUUAUUCCGUCUUGCCACGCCCAACACAUUAGUCUGUCAUAUUCAUGAUGCCACUAUAUCAACAAGACAUGACCAGGAAGCUGAGAAAAAUAGCUAUUUCUGAAUCUUUACUUGAGAUCCGCACAUUAAGUACGUUCGACACGACCAAACAAGCAAAUAAACAUAAAAGACGCAGAGACAGAAUCGCAGUGCAAAGCCAACUACAGGCACAUUCGUAAACGCACAUACGAGCAUAAGCAUUUGGCAAAUGUCAAUAUAGGGCGGACGUGCAAUCUAGCUACUCCAUCUUGGAGGCACCAAUAACGGCGACCUUCGCUUCAAUGCAGCAUUUCGUUUUCACGAGAUAACCAUUUGAACAGUCCUUGAAAUCUUCCAGCAAUAUGAACUUGUCCCAUCCCCAACUAGUAGCAUUCUUUGAGAACUCGCACCGGCCUAUCAUUUUCCAAAACAAAAUACGUAGAUAAAUAAAGGUGUCAAUCAGUAAAUGUGAUGAUGAUAAUUUCGCAUCUGAACUCCGGUCCAGAGUGCAAAAAUUUCUGCUAAAGAGCGAACCUUUUUGUCCAUUGUCCUUGCCACUUCCCUGGCUUUUGAUGCGUAUGUCCAAUUCUACCAGGUUCGCGGAGUUCUCAUGGAGUAUAUCCGUCACCUUCAUGGUCAGGAACACGGAGAUAAAGUUUCCAUUCUUAUCGAAUCCAGAUGGAUGGAUGGAGAUGAACCUGAAAAUUAGGGAGCAUCGCAUAGUUUAGUACAUCAUUGAUAAGAAGAGGUGGAACUCCAAGGGUCUUUAUUUUUACUUAUAAAAAGUGAAAUAUGACAAGUCUUUAUGUUCAAAUAUGAAUUUAGUAAAUUCUGUAUAAAUCCAGUAAUUAAGUGGUAACACUAUGAGUCAUGCUAAGCACUGCAAAUUGAAGAUGGUAAGUAAGUAUCACCAUUUGUGUCCAUGGAGCUCAAAAUCUGGAGAGUGGCUCGGGCUUUUCAGCGCAAAGAAGUCGUCGAUGUCCCAGGUGUAGACUUCUGGAAUACUGGAGAUUUUGUUUACCUUCUUCUGAACAAACAGCUUCUCUGUCGCAUCAUUAGUUUGAGCAGCAGUAACUUUGAUAAACUCGACACCGAAAGCACAGCUGUUUUCGACGAGGAAUCCAGAGGACUUUUCCUUCAGUGUGGCGAGGGGGAUCAUGCAUGAUGUCCCAGAGCUUGUGCUUGUAGUCUGAAAAUUGUGGCACACUGCAAACAAAAUAUUCAGUUGUAAUGUCUGUCGCGAAGCAGGUUAUAAGUUACACCAUCAAUCUAGUAUCCGGCUAGCUAGGAAGGUCAAAGAACCUGUUUUUUUUCAGAAAUAAUGGGUACCUUGAGGUUGUUCAUGGUGCUUUCCAUAUAACUGGUCAUAUAUAAAGAACUUGUAAGUUGCCUCCACGACCGUGUCGGAUCUCACGGAUGCUGGCGACAGCUGAAGCCGAAGAGAAACAUAUUCAUUUUGGUCGCCACUCUUGGUGUCCCUUGGGUUCAGUCUCAAGUACCUGCGAAUCAAGUCAAGUGAAAGGUCACCUUAGAAAAGAAAAAUAGUCGAGAUAAAUGAAUAGAAGAAACAAGUGAGAACGAAUUUUGUUCAUGACAUGCUAUGGGGAACAAUAGUAGCAUGUUAAUUGUACCAUCUGAGCCCACUGAUUUCAAACACCCUGGAGAUUGUCCAUCCUUUAUCUAAGUCAAGGAGCGAGGAGAAACCAUCGAUUGUCCACUUGAAGGUUGUCUGCUCCACAGGAGAAGGUGGUGCCUCGACGGCUUUCUGGACCUGUUCCUUCUUUGAAUGGCCUGCGACAGCAGCAAAUUCUUACACAACCAGUACAAUAUCAAAAGAUUGUUAUUUUGGCCAAACAUGAGGUGAAAGGAAAGGCAGAGCAUCUGCUUUUGCAUGGCAUAAUACAUUUAUGUAAGACAAUUCAAUUUUUAUCUGAAUUUUGCUAAUAAAAGGAACAUUCUGAAUCUUGUUUAUAAAAUCAACGAUCUAGACUAAUUCAAGUAAGAAGAAGAAAAGAUGCCCAAAAGAAAGAGUUUACAGCCACUAGAAACAGCAAUGCUUGCAUCAGUAUAGUAGCAUCAAUCAAAAUAACACAAUACAUUAUGCAUAGCAGGCAGGUCUAAUUAUUAAGGAGAAGCAAAGAGAAGCUGAAAACAAAUCCUUACUGCUGGCGCCAGUAACACACGAGUUCCCCAUAGCUCUUGCACUUGCUCUCCCCAGGAUUCCUGUGCAAUCGAAAUCAAUCACCAAAUCACCAUGCCAUAAAUCAACAACAUAUAAUUGAGACUUAAGAGCAUACAGAGCAGUGCACACUAAUUUGAAGGAAAAUAAACUUGAAAAUAUUCAUGUUUAUUUUGGCUGUGUGCAUCAUGAUGAUGGGUUCUCCCCUUUUUGAAAAAAAACAUGAUCAUAUUCCUAGUGGGUGCAGAUCUCAACCAAACAAUUACCGAGGAAAAAAGGAAACGACCAAGAGAUGCAAAAACUGAAACGAAAAACAGCAGCACUUCGACCACGAUAGGUGAAAACCUACAUCAAGAGACCCAAUAACUUGCGUCAGGAAACCAGAACGAUGGCAGUUGUGAACCGUUGUGCAGUGCAGAUCUCGACAAAAUAAUUACCGCGAAAUAAUGAAUGAAGAUCAAAGACCUCAAAAAACAAAGAAGACUGAAAACCACAAACCAUCCACAAGUCGUGAAAGAUGGCAAAGUACACAGCUAAUCACAGUAGCGCAUUUAUAUGUCGCAGAGACGAGAUGGCGGCGGCCGGCGGAGCAUACCUUGGAGACGUAGUGCGUUCCUUGCCCACGUUGGUGUGGUACUGUGGCGCCUUAAACCCUACUACUAAGCAGAGGGUUUUAUGGAGGCGCAGGGGUGAUGCGAUAUGGCAAGCUCGACUCUACCGGGUUCGGUUGGUUGCGCAAGGCUGAUCCAGUCCCUUUUUUUUUUACCAAAACAGAAAAAGGAAAAAGGCCCCAAAAGUGGAGACGUAAGGCCAUACAGGAAGGCAUAUCCUAUUUGGCGCCUCACGAGCCCGCUCCUACUGUUUUUGCAAACGCGCGCUCACUCGCGCACGUCUAGUUGGGCUCGACACAUAUUUCCUUUUCUUUUCUGUUGUUAUUAAAACCAAAAAACUGCAUUAAGAGUAUCUCCAACGCGCCGACCCAAACGGACACCUAUGUCCGCUUUCGUGUUUGAAUCGACGCAUGCGCCCAACGCUUGCCGACCCAUUUUAUAGGUCGCGCGAAAAAAAUAGAACACACAUAUUUAGAAAAUAAAAAAACAUUAAUUAAACAUUAAUGCCGGCCACAAAGGCCGGCUAGAGUCCACGCGUCCAUAUUUACAUUAACUAAAUUUACGAAGCGGCGCGCUGCCAUAGGCAUCCUCGUCGUCGUCGUCGGGGCCGGUAAGGCCGAUCAACAUCGGCGCCGGGCGAGCCCAAGGGAACGCCAUCUCCCAGGCUGUGGUGACGUCCUCCGCCGCCGGCUGGGGUGCCCCGCCCCGGGCACGGCGCUCCUCUUCCUCGGCCUCGCGGCGCUCCUCCUCGGCGCCGCGCUCCAGCUGCUCGAGGUACUCAUCCUUGCGGCGCUCCUCGGGCAGCCGGCGCUGGUGCCAUUGCUCGAGGUAGGCGCGCUCCUGCGUCUCCCUCGCCCUCAUCCAGUCCAGUGGUGCGUUGACCCACUCGCGCACCAUCCCGACCCAGGAGUAGCGCUCGAUGGGGGUCGGCUCCGGCUCGGCCUUCACCGGGGACGGCGAGGCCAGCGGCGGCACGCUAUAGUCACCGGCCGCGGACAACGCCAUGACCUCCGCCAUGCGCGCGUGGUAAUCCGCCUCCUCCCUGCGCCGCUCCUCCUCCUCGCUCUUCCGGAGGACAGACACCGAGAAGGCGCGCGAGACGCCCGCUUCGCGUUCGUGCCGAUGCAUUUCUGUCGCAAAUGGGUCCGUGUGGACGCGUUUUGCGAAUGAGUCAGCGCGUUGGGCCUUCACUUUUGUCCGCACCGAUCCAAACGGACUACGGCGGACAAAAUGGGUACGUGCGAUUGGAGUUGCUCUUACCAGCCCCACCAUCCUCACCAUAUGUGCUCACUUAUAUAUUCUUCAUUCUUUUCUUCUUACAUGUUUUCUUUUUUCUAUUUAUUUUUUAUUUUUUCUUAUUUUAUUCGGAAUGGGUGUGUUCAGUUUUUAUCCCUUUUCCUUUUUUUUGGUAAAUUGAAUGAUUUUUUUAAAAAUAUAUUUUUUUCAAAAUCUAUGAAACUUUUUUUUCAAAUUGAUAAACUUUUUUCAAAAUCGAUGAAUUUUUUUUAAAUUAAAGAAUUUUUUUCAAAUUUGAUGAACUUUUUUCAACUUUGAUGAACUUCUUAAAAUUCAAUUUUUUUUCAAAUUCGAUGAACUUUUUAUCAAAAUUCAUGAACUUUCCUAAAAUCCGAUGAACUUUUUUUUUUCCAAAUUCUUGAUUUUUUCUCAUAUUGACGAACUUUUUUCACUUUGUACGAACCUUUUCAAAUUUAUAAACUUUCUGGAAGUUCACUUUUAUUUUAUUAUGAAAUCUUUUUUAUUUUCUAAUUUAUAUCAUAAAAUAAUACGCGUAACAAGCUGGCUAUGUAUUACUCCUACAUGCUUAUGUUGUGUUAAAAGAAUGGUCUAAUAGAGUAUUUUCCAUAUAGUGGACAACAAAGGGCCUUCGGCCUAGUGGUUAUUGCCUAAAAGGUUUUAAGUUAGAAUUAUGUUUGUUUUUUAAAACGCUUCAGAAACACUAGCCUCUUCGCGGUCCCUGAGGGCCCGCUCGCGGCACAUAAGUGUGUCCGCCAGCCGGUCUAUGGCUUGAUGGGCGCCACAGAUGAAAUCUUCGCUGGUCAAUAUUGGGGAGCCGUCGUCGGCAUUCCCGGGCCAGUCCCCGCAUAGUCUCCGUCGAGGAGUCUCGCCUUGGAGGGGGAGCCCCUAUUCCCGAGGGAAGAAAGAGGGCGCUCCACGUGCGCAGCUUCCUCCACGUCGUGCACAACCUCUCCUCGGAGGUGACCACAUCAGGCUAUGUUCGGUUACGCCCUUCCCCGCGUGGUUUUGGGCCCAAACCACGGGGAUCCAGGCGGAUCGGCCCCACUAGGAAAUAAUCUUCGCGUUUUCGAUUUGACGCAUUCGGUUAAGCCUCGAGCGGAUCUUUCCCCCGUCAAAACCUCUCAAAACCGCGAGGAAAAAAUCAGCUCCAGCCCACCCGUGGAAAAAAUCCGCCUCUCUCUCUCGUAGUACGUAGGUCUCUCGUUGACGCGACCGAAGCGGGGGCGUGGGCUUAACCGAAUGGAAGAAAGAAGCCCCGAUCAUCUUUGUGGCGGGGAGUCAACCCCCACAGUGGUCAGGUGCUGACACCCAAUACCGGCAGGGAUUAGUUCCACUAGGGGAACUAAUCUAUUGUAACCGAACAAGGCCUCAAGGGACCCCGGCGAGGGGGUAUCAUUCGGAGGCUGGCCUCCCGUGGGGUCGUCCUACAUGUCUGAAGCACCAGCAGGGGCGUUCGAUCUGGCUCGUACCAAGAUGGUGUCUUCGGGCGAAGGCGUGCCGGGUACAUCCGCUCCAUGUGCUGAAACGGCCUCCGCGGCGAUCAAGGGAAUCGAGGCAGCGUCCGGCAGGACCUCCUGGUCGACGCCAGAACGAGGAGGAACAGGAGCAAGGACUGCUCGGUCUACGCCCGUUUCUCCAAUAAUGACGCUACGAGGUGGGAUGCUGGCGGCCGCGUGACUUUCCCCCGCGUCUGGCCGGGGGAUAACGGCCUCGCGGGUGGAUCGCUUCGCCUGGCAUGGUCUCAUGGCAGGAGACCUAAAACGUGAAACCAUAAGUCUAAAAAAUCACGGGAAUUAUCCCCCGUAUAAUAAGAAGAGGUAGGAGAGCGUUGCAAGCACUUACUCAUCAGAGGCAUGCCACGUUUUCCUUAACCUCCCUCCCAUGAAGAUAAUCAUCGAAGGACUAACUGCCCGGCGUCCCGUUCCCCUAUUCGGGGGAUGGGAAGGGGAUGAUCCGCCCACAAUGAGUCUUGGUCCGCGGGACCUCCCGUCCCCCUCAAGAAGCCCUGGAGGUGUCACUGUCUUCGGAUCGUCGUCCGGUUCACUAAAAAUGGGGAAAGAAGUGACGAUCAGGAAAUGGACGUACAGACCAAAGGAAGUAAAAGACAAGCAAAACUGACCCGUCAAGACCGAUAAUAUGAGUUUGACGAUGCCGUCUCUUGGGACCCUUGGGGAUAGGCCUAUCCUCUUCCCUGGGGCAUCGCCGCCUCGCGCCCGGGAGGAUUAUGUCAGGUUCUGACCGUGCGAAGGGAGAACAACCGCGUGUAUGAUGGAGCACCGCCCGAUCUCCGCCGCCUCUGCCGUCACCUGAAUCAGAGUCAGAUGCUUACCCCGACCAUGGAAACAGAUUCGGGUGUUCGGGGUCGAGUAGGUCCUCCGGGAUGAUGCCCCAUCGGUCACAUGCCGACCAAGAUCGAAUCGCGCUCGUUGUCGUCAUAAAGGGAGCAGACGGAUUCCAGAAGGGUGAUCAUGCCCUCGAGUUCAACAAGCUCCCUGAGGAUGGCAGCAAUUGUGUCGUGGUCCAUCCUGGAACAGUGAAGACAUUGAGGAUCUGAAGGACCGCUGAAUCGCCACAUCGGCUGGCCCCUCGCCUGCAAGGGGGCCAGGCGGUGGCGCAAAAAGUUGAGCGCCACCAUAUGGCAGUGAAGCCCGAGCUCUGACAAGCGCCGAAUGCGAUCCAACACUGGAAGCCAGGCUCUAUCGACCACCGGAGCCCUCCUCCAUCCUUUAUGCUCGAUUGCGCGGGCCAUGGCUUCUUGCAGAAGCACCCAGUAUCCCGGAGGCCGGUGAGCACCCACCUUUGACGCCAGUUCGCCGAGACAGAGUGCAGUCCAAGCUCUGGAUACCCAAGGUUUUUCACUCUGUCCGCUAGGAUGAAAGACACGCAUCCAAAGACCUGAUCCCCAGGGGACAUGUGCAUCGAGAAGAAAUGGCGGAAAAGCUGCAGCGAUGAAAUCAUCCCCACAAAUGCUUCGCACAAAUGGGCGAAUAAGGCUAGAGUCAAGACUGCAUUUGGGCAGGGAUGGAGCAAAUGAAUUUGGUAGUGCUCUAGAACGGCGCGAAGAAGGCAGAAAAUAGGGGGACCAACCCCGCAGCGAGGAAGAUGACGAAGAUGGGUGUGUCAAUGACAUCGGAUUCCGCCGGCCACCUUGAGUCGGGUCCCCCCCCCCACUCGUUGCUCUCCUCGCUGACGAGGUGGCGGACCUUAUCGAGCCCCUUGGCAUUCAUAAUCCUCAUACGUGGCAAAGCCUGCGGGGGUGGGUUCUGACGGUGUGGCCCCUCGCUUCGUCCUCUCUUUGCCGACGCGUUUUUUCUCCGCAGCGCCAUGAUACGGUGAGGAGGCGUUUGCUUUGGGAAGGAGAGAUGAGGCAUGGGCUCCGUCAUCUAUUGACUCUUCGAACUUAUGUUCAGCGGGGGCGGGGGCUGAAAUUGCUUGCCAAUCGAGAAACCAUUGUUUUUUGUCCGCUCAUCCCAGUUGGGGGAAUCAUGGAACAAGAAUCGAGAAGACGCCAGCACAUGAUGACAGUUUGGCUAACAUCUUCAUGAUGGCAUGUGAAACUAAGAUAUUGAGAAGGCGUAUUGCUGCAUUGAAGGCCGACGACACGUGUUGGACCCUCUCCGGUCCGCGGCCCCAUUGCUCCUCCUUCGUAUAUCACGGAGGUUGCGAUCGAAGAGUGGGUCAGGGGCUACUGUUGUACCCGUGGAUUAUGGGGUAUCCAGGAUCGGACGACCGAGACGAUCGACGGCACCAUGGAGAAGCAAGGAGUAAAUACGGUGAUGGAAGGAGUUCUUCGAGACAAUUUGGGGAUUUCUCCCUACCGGACGAGCCUCCCAGGAAGCCAUCCCGGGAACCUCACAUGAGAUGGGUGAAGGGGUUUUGCCUGGCGGUACAAAGGUGGACUGCACCUACGGACGAAGCAUGGAGCGGAAGCAAUGAGGUUUGACUUUAGGCGACCUACCGAUGACGUCCCGUCUUUGGGUGGUCAUCAACAGUGUUGCGGGACAACCCACUUGAGCACGCCAUAAGAUGGCUUUGUAGCAGGCUACGGGUGCUAGGGGGUACCUUCUGUGAUUCUCUCCCUUCACCUCAAACCGCCUUCCGCCCUCGCCCGCGUUGUAUAAAUAAGGGAGGAUUGGGACCUUGAAACCUUACGAUUACUGGACGUGUUCAGUCCCUGGCCAAACUCUCAAAGGGUUGUUGCUCCCAACUCAUAUGUAGGUUCUUAGAGGCCGACAGCGCACACUGCUAAAUUUAAUUUACCGGUGAUGUUUCCUGUGUUGAGACGCUCGUAAAGUUACAUGGACGACAAGGCUGUAGCGUGCUAAGUACUAGCAGCAUUUGAUAAAUCUAAACGCUGUCAAUACUCAGAUCUCAACGAUGUUUGAGUUGUAUGCAGUUGAUAGUUUGGAAAAAAAUUGUAGCCGCGUUCUAUUUUUCUGACACGUACCCAGUAGCGAAAUCCUACAAGGUUUUUUUCUAGUGAUAGGAGUAAUAUGGCUCCCCUAAGACUCAUAACAUGAAUAUGAAUUAAUCUGAAUAUAUUUCCUUGUGCACUUUUUUGUGAGUGCAUUGCACAUGAGAAAUUAGUAGUUGUAUUACAAUGGAGCAAAACUUGUUCAUUUAACUUAAGUGUUAUCAUUCCCGUAACAUUUUCCAUUAACUAAAACCCAAAUACAUGCAAACAUAUCCUUUAAACUAAGUUCUAAAGGCCCUCAGUUAAAUUGUUUCUGUUGGGGAACAUAGCAUGCAUUUUCAAAAAAAUUCCUAUGAUCACGCAAGAUCUAUCUAGGAGAUUUAUAGCAACCAGAGGGGGAGAGUGUGUCCACGUACCCUCAUAGACCAAAAGCGGAAGCGUUAGUUUAACGCGGUUGAUGUAGUCGAACGUCUUCGCGAUCCAACCGAUCAAGUACCGAACGUACGGCACCUCCGAGUUCAGCACAUGUUCAGCUCGAUGACGUCCCUCGAACUCUUGAUAAAGUGUCGAGGGAGAGUUUCGUCAGCACGACGGCGUGGUGACGGUGAUGUUGAUGUGAUCCGCGCAGGGCUUCACCUAAGCACUACGACAAUAUGACCAGAGGAGUAAACGGUGAAGGGGGGCACCGCACACGGCUAAGAAACAAUUGAUGUUCUUUGGGGUGCCCCCUGCCCCCGUAUAUAAAGGAGGAGAGGGGAGGAGGCAGGCCCUAGGGGGCGCGCCAAGUGGGGGGAAACCCACUAGGACUCCUAAUCCUAGUCGGCCCCCCUUCCUUCUUUCGGAGGGGGAAAGGGGGAAGGAGAGGGAGAGGGAGAAGGAAAGGGGGGACACGCCCCUCCCCUUGUCCAAUUCGGACUGCCCAUGGGGGGCGCAUGCCACCCCUUGUGGGCUGCCCUCUCUCUCCCCUUAUGGCCCAUGUGGCCCAUUACUUUCCCCGGGGGGUUCCGGUAACCCCUCGGUACUCCGAUAAAUAUCCGAAACACUCCGAAACCAUUCCGGUGUCCGAAUACUAUCGUCCAAUAUAUCAAUCUUUACCUCUCAACCAUUUCAAGAAUCCUCGUCAUCUCCGUGAUCUCAUCCGGGACUCUGAACAAUCUUCGGUCACCAAAACACAUAACUCAUAAUACAAAUCGUCAUCGAACGUUAAGCGUGUGGACCCUACGGGUUCGAGAACUAUGUAGACAUGACCGAGACACAUCUCCGAUUAAUAACCAACAGCGGAACCUGGAUGCUCAUAUUGGUUCCUACAUAUUCUACGAAGAUCUUUAUCGGUCAAACCGCAAUGACAACAUACGUCAUUCCCUUUGUCAUCGGUAUGUUACUUGCCCGAGAUUCGAUCGUCGAUGUCCUCAUACCUAGUUCAAUCUUGUUACCGACAAGUAUCUUUACUCGUUCCUUAAUGCAUCAUCCCGCAACUAACUCAUUAGUCACCUUGCUUGCAAGGCUUAUCAUGAUGUGCAUUAACGAGAGGGCCCAGAGAUACCUCUCCGUUACUCGGAGUGACAAAUCCUAAUCUCGAUCUAUGCCAACCCAACAGACACCUUCGGAGACACCUGUAGAGCAUCUUUAUAAUCACCCAGUUACAUUGUGAAGUUUGAUAGCACACAAGGUGUUCCUCUGGUAUUUAGGAGUUGCAUAAUCUCAUAGUCAAAGGAAUAUGUAUAAGUCAUGAAGAAAGCAAUAGCAAUAAAACUUAACGAUCAUUAUGCUAAGCUAACGGAUGGGUCUUGUCCAUCACAUCAUUCUCCUAAUGAUGUGACCUCAUUCAUCAAAUGACAACACAUGUCUAUGGUCAGGAAACUUAACCAUCUUUGAUUAACGAGCUAGUCAAGUAGAGGCAUACUAGGGACACUUUGUUUUGUCUAUGUAUUCACACAUGCAACAAGUUUCCGGUCAAUACAAUUCUAGCAUGAAUACUAAACAUUUAUCAUGAUAUAAGGAAAUAUAAAUAACAACUUUAUUAUUGACUCUAGGGCAUAUUUCCUUCAGUUUCUUAAUAUUUAGAUUUGCCCUUUCUUAAGUAAUUCCUAGCUAGAUACACAUUUACUUUCUUAAUCACUUUAUUUAUUAUUGACUUUUAAAUGCUUCUCAUUAUUUUGUCAUUUAUAUCUAGAUUACCCCUUUACUAAAUUGAUUCCAUGUAUAUGUUGUGUAUUCUUUGUACUAGAUUUGCUUUCAAAUGAUCCUCAUUUAUUUGUCUACUAAAGCGAAUAUUUGCCUUCAAUAUUUUCCAUUGAAUGAACUCAUUUAUUCGCUACAUUCAUCGUAUAAGAUUAGCUUUUAAAUGUGGCACAUUUAUUUUUCUCAUGAUAUUUGCACCCUCCUUAGCUACUCCUACAUACACAUUGGGAUGCUUUACACUAUUUAAAGAGGGGCAAAAGGGCCUCAGUGGAAAGCAAACAAGCACAAAAAAUUGUUUCCUUCUUGACAUCUAAAUGGAGAAUUGUCUUCAACAUAUUGUGUUGUAUGUGCUACUUCUCGCUAAUGUAAUUACAGGAAAAUCUUCCCCUACAGAGGUAUGUGUUAUACUUUACUCCCAUUAUUUAGGUCGAGACAUAUUCAAUAUUGCAAUAAUCACGAUUUACAUUCUUCAUAAGUUGACUUUUCUUCCUUUUUAUAAUUUGAAGCAAGGAAACUCAUCAAUGCCAUGGCCCUCUGUUCUUCGUCCAAUGAUUUUCCAUACUAGUGAAAAUCUUGCCUCGGAUUAAAAUUCAGUAAUCUCUUAUGUGAGUUCCAUGUGUCUAUUGUAUUUAUUUACUUCAAUUAUUAAUUUCACAAACAUAACUUAAUAUGCAUCCCUGACCCUUAGACUAUGUUUGAUAGAUCACGAGUCAUGUGUGGACUCCUCGAGGUGGUGCUGAGAACUAUUAUGGCAUUGAGGCUACAAUUGAUGUAUAUGGAUUUAAUUUACAACCCGGCCAAUUAAGUGCAGCUGGAAUUUGGAUUCUGAACAAAGGAGAUGGAAAACCAUCUUCAGCUAGUGGAUUUCAAGUUGGAUGGAGUGUAAGUUACAUCUAGGCUGGAGAGCCACAAGUUGAUUGGACUGAUUUAAUUUAUUAAUCAUUAAACAACUAAGGAAAUAAAAGGAACUAUUGUAAUAUGCUCUUUGUACUCCAUAGAACCCAAUCAAUAAUUUAUUGUAGAACAUUUUAGUUAGGACUAUUUUGUUUCUCAAGCAAUGAUGUUAUAUGUGUAUGUAAACUUUCUCGCCAAAAUAAAGGACACAAACAAAUCUAAUGUGCAAAUUUUUCUAAAUAAUAUAAAAUAUUGUGAAAAAUCAUCACAAAAAGAGCAGUUGCGUAUUGAAAAAAUAAUUAUACUAUGCGAAUUCAAAUAGACAUGGCAUGAUUUAAAGAAGUUUGUGCAUUGUAAAUAUAUCACUACAUAAGACUACCAUAUUUUGCGCAUCAAUGUGAACACUAGUGAAUUUUAUGCAGAUUUUCCGAGGUUCUACAAAGAUUCACAUACCCAUUUCUACACAUCUUGGACUGUAAGUUUCAUUCAGUGAACUCUUUAAUGUAUAGUAAUAAUAGUUUGUGCUGAAGAUAUACAUUUAGGAGUGAUUACCUCAAAGUGUUCAUUGCACUACUAUACAUUCACGAACUAUAUGUGUCAUUGGUAUGGAAAUAGCAGAAGAAUGGGCUAUCUUGUCAUUAGUUUUUGUGAUGUAAAGUUAGCAAGGUGUGUAGUAGGGCCUUAUUUGGAGGCCAUCCUACACCAAUAAAAGGUUCACACAUUGAUGCCUUUUGAAUAGGUUUGGUGCAUCCUUGGAUCCGAACUUAAUAUCGUGUUGCGAAUGCAAUAAAUGGAAGUGUCUAGAAUAGCCAAUGGGAUAAAAUAUAAGGCCUCCUUGAUCCUCCCUUAGAUGAGAGAAAUGCUUGAUUGGUGACUCGGUUCGAAGACAAGUCUACCUCUAAGCUCCCUACACUCAAAAUGAUCCGAGUCUUUCAAGGUCUCUCGGGUCUGUCUCAACACUUCGAGCUGUAAAGGGCUCUAUGGACUACAUCUACCCCUAAGCUCUAGUGAAGUGUGUAUGGUUACAUGCUUCACGGAGGGCUUACAAAGUUUAUGGGUGGCUGACAAAUGGCCAAGGCUACCUAUUGUGGUGGUCGAUAGGUAGAAGGGAUACAAUUGUAAAUUUUGUCUACUAGUCUGUGGUAAAAUAGGGAAGAGGCGUGGAGUAUGUUCCAUGCUGGACUAGUCCACAUAUCCCUCCACUUAAAGGUUCUACUCUACUUGCUCUUCACAUUGAGAAUAUUUCUUCUAGCUAUUGUUUCCUACUUUUGAUUUGUUGGCCAAGACUAGUUUCUUAGACUUUUGUUGACUACUUGAGUUCAAAAAUUCGCCAUCAUACCAUGUAGGACUAUGUGGGACCCAUAAGUAGGAUUAGCUAUUCCGUCAACAAUAUGUAUGCCUCUUUCAUUGUAAAAUGAAUUCACAUACUAAAGUGAUCUUUAUCACAUCCAAAAACUUUAGGUACAAUGCCUUCUUUUGGCCCUGAAAUAUUAGGAAAAGCUCCUACUACAUAUUUAAAAAGCGAGGUCUUCACCUUUGGUCAGUACCACUAAAAGGUUGAAAGCAAACAAAGUGUCUAACCAAGGGAGUAUAGAAAGGAAAAAAUGAACGGUUUAAAGGCACACUUAACCUUAAGGAAAUUAGGGAUAUGUCUCAUUGGAAACAUAGUAGCCAAGACUGGGUACUACUUCCCCCCUAGAAACAUGACUGUGGAUUUUUUUCAAAAUAAUUAAUGCAUAGUUUUAUGAAAAUCAUAAAUGUUACACCCUCCGUUCCAGAAUACUUAUCAUGGUGAACUAAACCAAUAAGAAUUAUGAAAUGGAGGGCGUAAUGUAUACCAAAAAAGUAUGCAAGACUCAAAAGAUUGUAACAUGUUUUCUAUAUUGCUAUGACAGAGUGGUGGAUCGCCCGCGAAGGGUUGUAGUGACAUGAUUUGUCCUGGCUUUCAAAAGACAUCAUCGAGUAUAGCUCCGGGAAGUAUCAUUAAUCCAGUUUCAGAUAUCCGGGGCCGAAAAUCAUACAUUACAAUAAGAGUUUUCAAGGUAAACAUGUUGCCCAAAUUCUACCUAGAUUAUUUAUCCUCUUGCAUUUAUUUUGGGUAUGGGGAGCAGUGCAUUUACUUUGGUGUUUUUAUAUUUAUAUUAAGGUGUUCAAAUGAGUUGGAAACUAGAACUAGCCGGAAUCAAACUGUUGUGGACAUUGUUGAGUCCUGCACCAACCCUGUGAACUCAGCAAUGUUCAAAAUCUCGCAUAAAGCUUUUGUUAAUUGUACUUGUUGGACCGACCUGUAAUGACAUACAAGAAAUUCUUAUCAUUGUAUAUUGGCUCAUGGUUGGUAGGGUGGGAUGCAACAUAUUUUUGGAGAAUGGCAUGCAUGUUAUGUAGUAAAAAUCUGUUCCUGACUACGACUCACACAAAUUUUAGGUUGUCACUCCAUAAAGUUACAAAUCCACUACGGCUGGCAAUGCACGACUUAAUUAGCCCUUGUGACAGCAACUUUAUGUCUAUUAGUCACCAUAACUUCUAAUAAUAAUUAUGUUGCUUACAACUAGGCCCAGUCUGUCAGACUCCAUCAACUGAAAUGAAUAUUGAUUGAUUAAAGCAUACGUAGUUUUGUGAUAUGACUAUCCAAAUAUGUAAUGCCUUCAUAAAUUCUCUUAUAAGUGUGAUUUUGAUAAGUUUAUCAAACUGAAUGCUCUCAAGAAUGUUUUAAAUAGUUGUUAUUUAUGUUUCCAGGAUAAAUCUUCUGGUGACUGGCACGUCCAUUAUGGAUUAAACGGUGGUAUCAAACCAGUUGGCUAUUUUCCCAAAUCCUUGAUUCCAGGACUUAUUGAUAGGAAAGUUGAGAUUAGUUUUGGAGGCUAUGUGUCUCACCAAAAGCCACAACCGAGUCCUCCGAUGGGAAGUGGCUACGCUCCAGCCAGUGGCAAUGCUGCGUCCUUCAAAAAUAUCAAACUAAUUGAUGCCAAUGGCAAUGCUCAUCUUGUGAACACAAAUCUUCCAUUUCGUGUGGACCCCAAAAGAUGCUAUCCUAUAUCUUACAUUGAUUCAGCCAGGUUCUUUUACGGGGGAUCUGGAUGUGCUGAUUAAAUCUGGAUGUCCCGUAUAUGUACUUGAAUUUCUAAUAAAAUAAGAAAUGAUUGUUCAUUGAUGCCUUCAAUUGAUAAGGACAAUUUGGCGGGUACCUUGCAAUAUUAUGUUGCCGCACAUGAUUUUAUUUUACUAAUAGGACAUCACCACAGGUAACUAGGUAUUACUAGACACGGUAUUGUCCAAGCUUGAGCCCCCAGGGUUGAGUAAGAGACAAGACCAUAUCUCGAGAAAGAGCACAAUGGUGGAUACGAGGUGAGAAUCUAACAAGUGGUUGGAUAUUUGAUGGUCGUGGUGGAUGAAUUAGGCAACCUACUGUAGAAGUUUCGAGAUUCUCUUUCCCAGUUAUAUAUUGUGCAAUAUGCAGAGCUUGUACAACCUACCGUCUUAUAGGCAAAAAAUAACUCUUCUUUAUAGAACUUAGAUAAAAAGAGAUUCAAAGAGGAUUAAAGUGCAAGUAUAAAUGCCUUACAAACUUCUUUUUUGAGAGCAUGCAAAUCGUAUGCCUUAACUUUAUAGAAGUCAGAAGGUAAAAUACAAAAAAACCAGUAUGUUCCCACAAUAGGUUGGUGAGUAGCGAACACCACCAGAUGGCGAGACACAAACAACCAGGAGAAAGUCAUCAUCUUGGAGUCACCCAUGACGGCAUACAUAGAGCCCUUGGCGAAAACUCUAGUACCAUGGUGAACACCAGUGGAACAUAAACAAGGAUGUCAUCACGCGUAGGCAGAACACAUGUGAGACACUAAGGACUGGAGACAUCCCUUGCCGAUUUGUAGAUGGGGUGCAAAGCGUGGAUCAAUCUCAAGGGGAGAAGUGUAGAGAGGACAUCGAGGUUCGGGCCGCAUGGCUGCAUAACACCCUACUCCUGCUUUUAUGUAGUUGAUUUGGUGGAUAGAGAGCUUCAAGUCCUUUUGGGAACGGAAAGUGUAGUGUUGCUCCUAUCUAAGUUCUACCAAGUGUCCAACCUUAUCCUGAAGUGGAUCUGGUCUAGUGUUUAUCCCCUGCCUCCCAUAGCUCGGUUCUCCUUUUAUAUUGCAAGGGACACCACAGUUGUUACGGAGGAGGGCAACUACCACAGAGAGGUAGGUAAGUUCAUUAAAUUCUUGAUGAAGUGUUGCCGUCUUCUGGUCUCUAAGAAUGAACACACAUCUUGUCUCCACCGCCCAUGGUGUUUACCUGGCGCAGAUGUGACACUCCUCCUCAUAGGUGCAGACCAUGUGGAAAUAUUAUCAGGGUGAUUCAUCCCUUGUAUCGCUGUCAUUCCAUUGGCACGCCUGCACACCCACUGCACAUCGUAAAAGGUCUGCUUAUGUAGGACUAACACGCCACCCGGGGGGGGGGGGUUGCGGUGGCUGGCUGUCUUCACUUAACGGAUGUGGGCCAGGUGGAAUGGUCAUUGUCGGGUGUGCUUGUUCCCAGAAGUCGGGUGUCCUGGAGUUGUUCCUUCCAGUACUUAGUUGCUGGCUUGGAGAAGAGUGUAGCAGAUCUAGACAAAGAUCUGCAUGGCACAACGGAGCCUGGGCUCCUUCUUGUUGUUGCUUGUUGAUGAUCUUGACAAAGAUUUGCAUGCUACCACAGAAUUGUGGUUGAAGGCUUAUUGCCGGAGUGUUUCUUCAUCUGUACUGCCUCGGAUGGGAGGCGACUGUGGCCUGUGCAUAAUUGGUUUCGUGAACCCAACGGUCAUGGUACCGACAGAAGGUUCCAGGCCUGGGCCGGAUGUGUACCUCACACAAGGUCAGUGUCGCGAGCCCCCUCAUCUGGUCAAGUCAGUUGCAUAAGAUAAAAUGAACUGCAGUGAGUGGAAAAAAAUCCCUCGAGCUACCUGUUCAAAUGCCAGUAGAUGGUUAGGCUUGAAUCCUCCUGUCCAUAAAUGCAAUGGGAUUUGAUGGCAUAUUGGGGUAGUUUGCAAUGCAUGGCGCCCUUUUCACAUCAGCGACAGGAAUCAAAUCUACCGCUUCAGUUUUUGACGACGUGUCGGUCCGUGCAUGUGGCCAGUUCACUCUUGACCCCCUUUAGUUCUUGCGCCGACGAGAGAAGUCAUGAUGCCGCUUUCCAUUUAUUCCCAAGACAGAUGAGACAGGGCACCGCUUGAGUUCAUCUUGGGAACCAUAGGUGCACUGGUAUGACCGAUGAUCCUCACGAUCGAGGAGUCGAUCUACCAGGUCCUUCGGCUUAUAAACACCGAGAAGGGACAUACUGCUCCUCCUCUUCCUUCAGUUCUUCCCCCUCCCUCCUCCUUCAUCUCCUCAUGGCAACUCAAGAAGUUGCAGAGUUUGAGGUGAAGCUCCUCGCAGAGGAGGUCCAGGCCCAAAGGGUGAAUCUCCAGGCCAAUGACACAAAGCUCAAAAACCUAAAGGAGAGGAUGAGGAUGGAGCUCCAUGUUGAAUAUAUUGUGUGCAUGUAUAUUGUGUCUUGGACCCACCUCAUAGUUCUCGUGUAUAGUUUUGGUUGUGGCCCCAUCCUGUACAUCAUAUAUGCGUGCCCAGUGCACCGAUCAAUGUAAUUGUGUUUCACGGCCUAUUCUUAGUCUUCUACAUGGUAUCUAUUGCAAGUCGGUCCUAACCCUAGCCGUCUCCACCACCGCGCCUCCACCGUGCCGCCGCUUCCUCCACUCGCCGCCGCCGCUCCCGGUUCCCUCCGGCCGCCGCUGCCCUCCCCACCCGAAGCCGCCGCCGCCAGCAUUCGCCGCCGCUCCUUCCUCUCCCACUUCCACACCCACUCCCCACCACCCACUCCCGCCACCACUCCCCACCCACGCCGCCCCACCCCUAGCUGCGCCGCCACCAACGCACACCGCCCCACCGUAGCCGCGCCGCCCCCACCUCCUACUAGCCGCACCAUGAGUUCCUCCUCCUCCACCGUCUCCAACCCCUUUGUCGGUCCAGAUGUCACCCUCGUUCGCGAUCUGAACAUCCACGAGCAUGUUCCGAUGGUUCUUGAUCAAUCCACCACGUCCUACUCCGCUUGGAAGCGGUAUUUCUCCUUGGUGUUUCGCGAGUACUUGCUCCACAACCAUGUCGAUGGCACCGUGGACUCCAACCUCAUGAUCCACUACAAGGAGAGAUGAUCCUCGACUGCACCAUCAUCCGCUGGUUCUACCUCACUAUCUCCAAGGAACUCUUUGAUACGUCCAUUUUGCAUCAUGUUUUCCUACUAUUAUUUAUGAUGUUUUUAUGCAUAAUAAUGCUUUUUGGAGUAAUUCUAAUGCCUUUUCUCCCAUAAUAUGCAAGGUACACACAAAGAGGGAGAACUUCGGCAGCUGGAAAUCUGGACCUGGAAAAGCUAUGGGAGGCCACCUAUUCUGAACAACUCCAAACAAGAUGAAACUUCACAGAGAUUUUUUAUGGAAUACUUGAAGAAUAUUGGAGCAAAUAAGUACCAGAGAGGGCCCAUCAGGUGGGCACAACCCACGUGGUCGCGCCCUGGUGGAUUGUGCUCACCCAGGCCCACCUCCGGUGCCCAUGUUUUGGUAUAUAAGUCAUUUUGACCUAGAAAAAAAUAAGGAGAGGACUUUCGGGACAGAGCGCCGCCGUCUCGAGGAGGAACUUGGGCAGGAGCACUUUUUCCCUCUGGCGGAGCAAUUCCACCAGGGGAACUUCCCUCCCGGAGGGGGAAAUCAUCGUCAUCAUCAUCACCAACAACUCUCCCAUCUUGGGGAGGGCAAUCUCCAUCAACAUCUUCAACAACACCAUCUCCUCUCAAACCCUAGUUCAUCUCUUGUGUUCAAUCUUUAUACCGGAACUAUAGAUUGGUGCUUGUGGGUGACUAGUAGUGUUGAUUACAUCUUGUAGUUGAUUACUAUAUGGUUUAUUUGGUGGAAAAUUAUAUGUUCAGAUCCAAUAUGCUAUUUAAUACCCCUAUGAUCUUGAGCAUGAUUAUCAUUUGUGUCGGAGUAAAUGGCCACGGGUAGCCUAACCGACUCGCCCUGGCUCUUCAAAAAUUACCAGGCCAAUCGAGCCUUCAAGCAUCCAGAGCACAGGGCCGCCUUCCCCUAGCCGGCUAUCACCUAGGCCGACUAGCAGAAGGCGACCUGGCCUCAAAAACCUUCCCGAAGAGAACUACAAGAUGGCCGACUCCAGGAAGCCGGCCCCAAGAGGACCGACUCCCAGAAGCCGGCCAUGAAGAAGUCCGACUCCCAGAAGCCGGCCAAGACUGCACCCUCAAGGGCUACACCCACAUAAUGGUGAUGAGACGGGGCGUGGCUACAGUACAACCUGCCACCCCCCGAAUCCCGGAGCACGUGUGGCCACAGUACGCCGUACGGGUCGGCCAUCCCCUGUCCGGCGCAGCACUGUUGCCAUGUUGACCAUGACACCACCCACGACAGGUGCUAGUACGGCCCGCGGGCGGCGGGCCCCUUCAGCCAGAGAGAUGCUCGACGGCGGCCAGGCCUCCCCCAGUCGGCCUGGGGCGUAGCCGGCUCCCAACAGCCGGCUAUUCCCCAUCCUCGAAGUAUGUGCAUCAUUAAGGAGACAAGACGAGGUAAGGCUACAGUGAGAGCCCGCAAGGCGGCGGCACUGUGGCCAUGCUUACCUCGACAAAGCCCUCGUCAUCAGAGGCAAGGCUACAGUAACCAGCCACCGACAAGACCCCCAGGCGGUGGGGCCGGCCUAUCGGCCAUGAGGCCGGCAGCCGGCGGGACCCACGAGUCGGCGGGCCCCAGCGGUCGGCGGAGAAGCCGGCGAAUACAAACACUGACGGCUAGGACCCGCGUCCAGCCGGAUUACCAUUGUACCCCUGGGGGGUAGGCCUAUAUAAACCCCCCAGGGCAGCCAUGCAAAGGAUUGAUCUGAUAUAGUUUUAGACACCACGUAGAGAAAAAGGAGAGCUAGCCUUGCCCUUCUUCUUCCUCUAGCCAAACAGCUCAAGGAGCCUCUUGUAGCUACUUGUGUUGAUCUAGUGAUCAUGCGGAGACCCCGCAGAGCAGGAUUAGGGGUGUUAUCUCCUCGGAGAGCCCCGAACCUGGGUAAGAUUCGCUGGCGUGCAUGCCUUCGCCUUAUCCCGUUUCCAGGCACCGGCGAUGUCUUACUGGCUCCCACAAUGAUAAGCCACCCGUUGGCAUAUGUCGCACCUACCACCCGACAUUUGGCGCCCACCGUGGGGCCAGGUGCACUGUCGUCCAGAGACCUAUUCUGGACGAGAACCCUUUUCCUUCCCCGCGAGCGUAGCCAGCCCGCCACGUCCGAUGGUGCCUGCCCUGACGCGCUGCAAGGCGUCGACGACGCCUGCGCGGCGAGCUGCCUCGCCGAUCUUCUUGGCGAGGCUCGCAUCUCUGACGAGCCUGCGUCCGACGCGGGCACAGACUGCCCCGAGAGCCGCCUCAUCAGCCUCCUCGACGAGCUCCACGUCUCCAGCGAGCUUGCUGUGGACUUGGAGUCGGUCGGCUCCACCGACCCGAUGCUGGUCGACUCCGACACGGCAUCACUUGACGCCUUCCCCACCAACAUGGUGAUCAUCGACGACCCUCUCCCUCGAGACGACAGUGGCAGCAGCGCUGUCACUGAGGUAUUGGUCAUCAGCCACGGCGCCGUCUCCGACGAGAACGCCCACGACGCCCUACAAGCGGCGCUGCGCGACUUGUCCGUCCCCAUCCCGGCCGACGCCGACGCCGAGACACUGGAGGCACGCCGCCUCGCCCUCGUCGCGGAAGGCCAGAAGAUAGCAUCCAUGAGACGCCUCACUGAGGCUCACCAGCGCGAAGUCGACCGCUCCGCCUUUCGUACGCCGCCUCCUGGCGUGCCGAGCUGAGCCGGCUUCGUCAAGAAGCGCGACGCAGCCAUCGCCAGCAUGCUAGGAGCAGAUCGCCCAGUCUACGCCACGCCGCUCGAGAACCUGCGUGUCGCCCAGGCGGCCGCAGACGAGCUGAACGGGCUGGGGGCUGACGAGCUCCCCUACAUGACUAAGCGCAUCCAGCAGCUGAUCGACGCUGCCGCAGGGCAGCAUGAAGCCAGCGCCCGCGCUGAAAGUCCUCACCCACGCCGAGAGCACGACGCGACAUCCCGGACGCCGACUACAGACGGCGCCCGCGCAAGAAAAGACAAGGAGCUGGCUGCUAGCCACAGCCGGACUCGGCUCACCGUCGAGCGCGACGCAGAAGGCCACCCCCGAGCUGUGGAACGACGAGGCGAUCCGCCUCCUCCCCUGCCUCGUGGGGAGAGAUAUCCCACCCCGCCGCCUGUCACGCAUCCGACUCUCGGCGGCCGACUAGGCCGCCGCGAGGGAGUCGGCGAGAAUGAUGCCCGCCACCGGAUCGACCGCCUAGCGCGAUCCCUGGCGCUAGAAGAAGAAGAUGAUGUCGGCCCACCUUGCUUUGGCCCCUGCAUCCGCGACGAGCCCUUCCCCAAAGGGUUCUCGCUCCCAAGAGACACGCCAAAGUACAACGGCUCCGUGAAGCCGGAAGACUGGUUGAUCGACUACUCCACCGCAGUCUGCAUAACAAACGGCAACAGGCGCGUUGCCGUGAAGUACGUCCCGCUCAUGCUUCAAGGCACGACACGCACUUGGCUGAACAGCCUCAAGCCCUACAGUAUCAACAGCUGGCUAGACUUCACGGAAGUCUUCGUCCGCAACUUCACCAGCACGUACAAGCGGCCUCCCAAGCCCCGCCAGCUCUCCUUGUGCGUGCAAGGGCCCAGCGAAUCGACUCGCGACUACCUCACGCGUAGGGCCGAGCUCCGUAACUCCUGCGAGGGGGUGCACGAGGUUCAAGCCAUAGAGUACUUCACCGCCGGGUGCCAAGAGGGCACCCUCCUCAAGCACCGACUCCUCUGCGAUGAGCCGACUACCCUCGACGAGCUGCUGAUCAUAGCAAACAAGUACGCCACUGCCGACUCCUCGAUGAAGACCGAGCUUCGAGUGGAUGCCUCUGGGAAGGUACUCGCUCCGGCUCCCAAGACGCCGGCUGCCGACUCCAACCAACGCCCUUACCAGAAUGACAACAAGCGCAAGGCCCCCAUGCCGCCUUCCACCAGUCGGCAAGUAGCCACAGUCGAAGACGAACAAGCAGAAGAGCGGCCCGCUCCCAAGAAGCGGAAGGCCGGCAGGCCGGCUUGGAAGCCGGCUUUCUCCUACGAGCAAACCCUUGAUGCUCCCUGCAAGUUUCACAGCGGCGCGAAGCCGUCCAACCACACGACACAGAAGUGCCAUUGGCUCACACGGGUCUCCAAAGGCGAGGGGCUGGUGCCGCCUCCACCUGCUGGCCCGCCGCCUCCGGCCCCUCAGCAGCCGGCUGUUCGCCCCGCAGUCGGAGCCAUUCAAGAUGAGUUCCCAGAUGAGAACGCCUCCUACGUCGUCUUCACGAGCCAAAUCGAAGAUAGGCACAGUCGGCGCCGACAGCGCCAAGAAGUCAACACAGUUGCCUCCAACAACCCAGAGUUCAUGCAUUGGUCUGAGAAGCCCAUCAGCUGGAUCCAGGCUGAUCACCCAGAGGUGAUGCCGUCUUCUGGCUCCUAUGCAUUGGUGUUGAACGCCACCCUCGCGACAGAAAGGCGAGCUGCCCGUUUCUCCCGUGUGCUGAUUGACGGCGGGAGCAGUAUCAACAUAUUGUACCGUGACACCAUGGAGAAGCUGAACCUCAAGACGAAGCAACUCAUGCCAAGCCGGACUGUUUUCCAUGGUAUCGUACCUGGCCUGUCCUGUUCCCCAAUCGGCAAGAUCAAGAUGGAUGUCCUCUUCGGAGACAAGGAUCACUUCCGCCGAGAGGCGAUCUGGUUUGAAGUGGUGGAUCUAGAGAGCCCUUACCAUGCAUUGCUUGGCCGACCUGCCCUGGCCAAGUUCAUGGCUAUGCCCCACUACGCCUACCUCAAGAUGAAGGUGCCGAGUUUGAAGGGGAUCAUCACCAUAGCCGGAGACUACAAGAAAUCUUCCGAGUGUGCUGCAGCCAGCAGCCGGCUAGCCGAGUCCCUGUUGAUUGCUGAAGAGAAGAAGAUGCUGGACCGAGUCGUGGCCAUGGCCGGCAAGUAGCCGGCCCUGUCCCCCGAUCCCAAGGAGUAUGACGCUCAAGGCUCCUUCCAGCCAGCCAAGGAAACCAAGAAGAUACCGUUGGACCCGGAGAACCCGGAGAGGUUUGCUGUCAUUGGGGCAAACCUGGACAGUAAAUAGGAAGGCGAGCUCAUCGACUUCCUCCGUGAGAAUUGGGACAUCUUUGCAUGGUCCCCAAAGGACAUGCCAGGUGUUCCGAAGGAUUUCGCCGAGCACAAGCUACACGUUCAAGCAGACGCAAAGCCAGUCAAGCAACCUCUCCGCCGACUGUCGGAGGAGAAGAGAAGGAUAGUGGGUGAAGAGAUAGCCCGGCUCCUGGCAGCCGGCUUCAUUAUGGAGGUGUUUUUCCCAGAAUGGCUUGCCAACCCGGUCCUAGUGUUGAAGAAGAACAACAAAUGGCACAUGUGUAUAGAUUACACUAGCCUCAACAAAGCCUGCCCCAAAGAUCCGUUUGCCUUACCUCGAAUUGAUCAAGUGAUAGACUCCACAGCUGGAUGCGAGCUGUUGAGUUUCUUGGAUGCCUACUCAGGCUACCACCAGAUCAAGUUGGAUCUAGCCGACCGCCUGAAGACCGCCUUCAUCACACCAUUCGGAGCUUUCUGCUACCUGACUAUGACAUUCGGCUUGAGAAAUGCCGGUGCCACUUUUCAGCGUUGCAUGCAGAAAUGCCUCCUCAAGCAACUCGGCAGAAAUGCCCACGUCUAUGUAGAUGAUAUCGUGGUGAAGACGAAGAAGCGUGACACCCUGCUGGAAGACCUCAGAGAAACAUUUGCCAACUUGCGACGGUUCCAGAUCAAGCUCAACCUUGAGAAAUGUGUGUUCGGAGUACCAGCCGGCCAGCUUCUAGGCUUCUUGGUCUCCGAACGCGGCAUUGAGUGCAACCCAGUGAAGAUCAAGGCCAUUGAGAGAAUGGAGAUUCCUACCAAGCUGCGAGACGUCCAGAAGUUUACCGGGUGCCUGGCCUCCCUAAACCGCUUCAUCAGCCGGCUAGGAGAGAAGGCUCUCCCCCUGUACCGACUCAUGAAGAAGUCCACCCACUUCGAGUGGAACGACCAGGCAGAUCAAGCUUUCCACGAGUUGAAGAAGAUGCUGACCACGCCGCCUGUCCUGGCAGCACCGACUGAGAAAGAGCCCAUGCUCCUUUACAUUGCCGCGACUAGCCGAGUGGUCAGCACAGUGAUUGUGGUCCAACGCCCAGAAGAAGGCCGAGCUCAGUUAGUCCAGAGGCCGGUAUAUUAUUUGAGCGAAGUACUGUCCACCUCGAAGCAAAAUUACCCGCACUACCAGAAGAUGUGCUAUGGAGUAUACUUCGCUGCCCAGAAGCUGAAGCCCUACUUUCAAGAGCAUCCCAUCAUGGUCGUAUGCACUGCCCCGCUUGCCGAGAUCAUAGGCAGCCGGGAUGCAUCCGGCCGGGUGGCUAAGUGGGCCAUUGCGCUGGCUCCCUACACAAUCUUCUACUAGCCCCGCACCGCCAUCAAGUCCCAAGCAUUGGCCGACUUCCUUGUCGACUGGGCCGAGACCCAGUACCUACCGCCGACUCCCGACUCCACUCAUUGGCGGAUGCACUUCGAUGGAUCCAAGAUGCGCACCAGCUUGGGAGCCGGCAUCGUCCUCACCUCUCCCAAGGGCGACAAACUCAUAUACACAUUGCAAAUUCAUUUUGCCGCCUCCAACAAUGUGGCCGAGUACGAGGCGCUCAUACACGGGCUCCGCCUAGCCAAAGAACUCGGCAUACGCCGGAUCCUGUGCUAUGGCGAUUCGGAUCUGGUAGUCCAACAAUCAUCUGGCGACUGGGACGCCAAGGACGCAAACAUGGCGAGCUACCGAUUCCUCGUCCAGCAAAUCAGCGGAUACUUUGAAGGGUGCGAGUUCCUCCAUGUGCCAUGGGCCGACAACGAGCAAGCAGAUGCCCUGGCACGGAUCGGCUCCACCCGACAAGCUAUACCAGCCGGCGUCUCUCUUCAACGCCUCCUCAAACUGUCUGUCAAGCCGUCUCCAGAAUCAGACUCCAUCUUCGUACCGCCUACCCCUGAUGCAGUCGGAUCCGGCUUGGGGAACCCAGCAGGCGGCUCGGGGACUUCGACAGGUGGCCGGGGGACUGCCGUAGUCGCACCCGGCUCGGGGACUUCAGAACCCGGCCCAAGGACUGCAGCAGUCGGCCCGGGGACUGCAACGACACAACAGGCGGUGGCCGACUCCAACUCUUCAGCACCCAACCCACCCACCCUGGUCGCAGUAGCCGUAUUGGCAAUAGAAGAAGUCGCAACUCCAUCAUGGGCCCAACCCAUCCUCAACUUCCUAGUAAACAGAGAGCUGCCGACUGAUGAGAUCUCGGCAAGACAAGUUCAACGCCGAGCCAGAGCAUACACAAUAAUCAACAGAUAACUCAUUAAGCGUAGCGUCACUGGAGUCUUCCAGCGCUGUGUCGAGCCAGAGAAGGGCAUAGCAAUCCUCAAGGACAUCCACCAAGGCGAAUGCGGCCACCAUGUAGCCUCAAGGUCACUUGUCGCCAAAGCUUUCCGCCAUGGUUUCUUCCGGCCGACUGCUUUGGAGGACGCCAAGGAAUUAGUCAAAUGCUGCAAAGGGUGCCAAGUCUUCAGCUCCAAGCAACACCUGCCGGCUUCUGCACUCAAGACCAUCCCCCUUACCUGUCCCUUUGCCGUCUGGGGGCUGGACAUGGUGGGCCCAUUCAAGACGGCGCGCGGCGGCAUGACACAUUUACUUGUCACCGUAGACAAAUUCACCAAGUGGAUUGAAGCGAAGCCAAUCAAGAAGCUGAAUGGGCCGACUGCCGUGACAUUCAUCGCAGGCGAGCGAACGGCCUCAUCCUCUCCGGCAUCAAGCCCCGACUGGUCGUACCACUGGAGCGUUCGGCCGGUUGCUGGCUCGAUGAGCUGCCGGCUGUCCUCUGGAGUCUGCGUACUACCCCAAACAAGUCAACCGGCUUCACCCCUUUCUUCCUUAUAUAUGGUGCCGAGGCGGUCAUCCCAACUGACAUCGAGUUCGACUCGCCUCGAGUCACCAUGUACACGGAGGCGGAGGCCUAGGAAGCGCGAGAAGAUGGCGUCGACCUGCUGGAAGAGGGCCGGCUGUUAGCACUCAGCCGGUCCGCCAUCUACCAGCAGGGUUUGCGCCAUUACCAGAACCGGAAGGUCAAGCCAAGGUCCUUCCAAGAAGGCGAUCUUGUGCUCCGGCUGAUCUAGCGAAUAGCCGGCCAGCACAAGCUCUCGGCCCCUUGGGAAGGCCCCUUCGUCGUCAGCAAGGCCCUAGGCAAUGACUCCUACUACUUGAUCGACGUAUAGAAGCCGAAGGCACGCAAGAGAGAUGAUUCUGGCAAGGAGUCGGAAUGACCAUGGAACGCCAAUCUCCUCAGAAGAUUUUACAGUUGAAAGCAGUAUGUACCACGCUACCUUUUUGUAUUAAGUACAAGACAACGGGCCCCCCGAGGUGUACUCGGGGACUACCCUCUUUUAUCUAUGUAUGACGAGUGUCAUACCUAUGAAUGUAUUGUUACAUUUGAUUUUCUGUCCGGCACCGGGUUCGACCAGUCGGCCCGGGGACUUGCCGCUUUGAGUUAUAUUAAAGUUCUGUCUGCAGUCAGACAAGUAGUGUGCCAGCGCCCGAGCCCUCUCUUGUAGAAAGUCGCAGCUCGAAGAACCGACUGACCGACUGGCAAGAGCCAAAGGCAGGAAAGGAUGCCCACACGAAAAACGGCUAAGGACUAAUGAACCUAUAUAACACAAGCCGGCCUCCCAGCACGCCUACCAGCUGUCAGAACAGCCGGCUGGCCGGCUACCCAUUCACUUUGCUACAAUCCAAGAAAGCUAGAGUACUUGCCCUCCCAACCGGCCAAGCACUUCUCCAGACACAGACUGCAGAGCAGCUGUCCGGCUGAGAAAGCGGCGACCAAGGGAGGGCGGCAAAGGAAACAACCAAAGGAUGAAAAGCAAGAACAAUGGGAAGCCAAACACAUGCAUGAUUAUAUUUACACAAAAGGCCUUCGAAAGGCCGGCAUUUAACAUAGUUUGAAUACACCCCCAGUGGGUGGAACUGUGCAAAUUUAACAAAAUAUUGUUCAAAGAGUAAUAAAACAUGAAAGUAAAGGCGGCAGAUUAGGCUAAGGGCGCAACAGGCGAGCCGGGCUGGUCGGUGGAGACGACAGCGCCAGCUGGAGGAGUGGCCGGCUGGCGAGUCUCGGCUUGAUCAUCGCUGGCUGCAAGCGGUGCGCUCGCACGCGCCUCGUUGCUGGAGGCACGAUCAAGCUGAGGCUGCCGGCUGCUCCACCAUCUGGCACGACGUCUUCACCAUCCUCCUCCUCCUCCUCACCCUCAUCGCUGGAGUCGAUCUCCUCCGCCGAGUCCUCGCCAUCUGCUGGGUUCAGCCCGAACCACUCCUCCGGCUGAGCAACGCCGUUAUCAUCCACCUCAGGAGCAAAGGCGCUGGUGUCGGUGUAGUCGGCGAUCACCGAGGCACGCUGGAUGAUAGGCGGCCGCGCCGACUCUAGCUCCGUGUCGGCCUCCUGCCGCCAGGUGGCCAGCUAGUCCAAGCUCAGCUCAGGAUACCAGGCUUUGACGAACUCCAGCGCCCGCCUGGCGCCUGACCGAGCUGCAGAAGCCUUCCAGGCCUCGAAGCGGCCGGCCGCUACCUCCAGCCAGUCGGCGGUCCGACUGGGGGGUGCGGGGAAUCACCUCGCCGGGCCAGAGAGCGGCCAGCACUUGCGCCCCAACACACUGAAGCCGACGGAGCAUGCGGUGAGCCGGCUGGAGGUGGGCUUGAAUCGCCAGGAGCUGUUCCUCAAGCGACCGGUGAGCGUUCGACGCGAUCUCAGUGCCAGCCUGCCUUUGUGCCUCGCGAUGGGCCUCAAUGACCUGGUUGGCGGCAGUAGAGUAACCAGGGAAGUACUCUGCACAAGAAAGAAAGAAAGAGAAGGAAGAGAAAAAUACAAAGUUAGAAAAUGAACCAAAUGGCAAGCGGCAAGCAAGGAACGAAGAAGAAGGCAGCCUACCGUCAACCAAGUCUUCGAUCUGGCCGUAGCCGUUGAUCAACGACUGCCUCGCUUCAGCCCAGCUCGCCGCCUCGGUCUCGUACUCGGCUUGGAGGGCGGCCUCACUGUCCUGCACCGCCUUCAGGGCCGCCUUGUGGCUCUCCUCCUGGUCGGCCAGCUUCUUGACCAGGCGGUCACCCUCCUGAGCCAAGGCGUCGAACUCGGCUUUUCCUUAGCGCGAAGGGCGGCCUGGGUCCCACCCAACUGCUCCCUCAGUUUGGCGUUGGCCGCUGCAGAUAUGGCAAAGAAGAAAAAAGCAAUAAGAAAGAAGUCGUCAGGAAAGAUCCGGCCCGACUGCUCAGCAGUCGGCCCGAAUCUCGGGGACUACACCCAGUGGGUGCGCUGACGCGCCCCCACGUAAGAUAAAAAAAAGGAAGCACCUACCCCGGCUCUCCGUUAGAUCAGCGGUCUUCUGGGACAGCUCCCGAGCCUGGGAGUUGAAGGCAGCCGCACGAAGGUUAUGGUAGUCCUGCAAGUCGGACAAAGAAGCGAGUAAGAACAAGAUAGCAAAUAAAGUCUACCAAGAAGUUCCAAGCCGCCUGCUCCACAGCCGACUCGGAACUCGGGGACUACACCCAGUGGGUGCGCUGACGCGCCCCCACGGAAGAAACCAAGAUCAAGAAGCAAAAAACGGGAAGACUCACCCGAAUGGCUGCCCGUGUCGUGAGGAUCUCGUCAUUGUACUGCCUCAGCACGGCGGCCUGGGACUGAAGCCGGUUCCGGACUUCUUGCACCGCCACAUCACCACGGCUGUCCCACCACCCGGCGUCCACCCCAAGCUGGCGCUGGCCGUCUCCACGUCCUGGGCCGACGAGCUGGAGCCCGCGGCCUUCUGCGGGUCCGGCGCCGUAGUUGCCUUCCCCGCGCGCUGGCGCGAUGGCGACCGGACCACCAGGUCCGUCCUUGCAGCCUGCUCGCCUCCAGCCGAUUGCGCAGGCGGUGCGUUAGGCCGGCUGCCUUGGGCCGCCCCAGUCGGCGAUGGUGGUGCCGCCUCCCUCUCCUGGACGACGACGUCGUCCUCCUCCCUCUCCAUCCCCGGCAGGUCGCCACCGGCUUCCUCCGGCGGGGGCUCCGGGAUCUCAGGCGCCACGGCGCGCAGGGGGGUGACAAGCAAGGCCCCGGCCGCUGCGGCUGCAGCCUCCGCCUGAGCCUUGGCCGCCGCGUCGGCUUGUACCUUCACCGACUCCUCCGCCUCCUCCUGCGCCGCCUUGGCGACAGCCGCCCUCAGCUCUUCCGCGUCCCGCGCCUCCCGCGCAUUUCGCUCCGUCACCGCUUGAAGCUCGGCGCGGGGGUCCACGUGGCAGGUGCUCCCGGAUCCUCCCGGUGAUCCAACCACGGAGGCGGCAGCGACCCACUCAAGAGAAAGCAGAGCCCUGUUUUUUAAGUCAAGACAAGGAUUCAGAAACCGACAAGAAAAGAAGAAGGAAUACGCGAGAGAAUCGACACUUACGCUGAAACCUUUUGCGGCUGCUUCACCACCUUGCGGAAGCGGGCCGCCUCUUCCUGCCUGGUCGCCGCCGCCCCGCUCUUGGGCUUCUUCGGCCGACUGCCGAUAGGGCCAACACAGCCCGGCGCUUCUACGCGCCGCCUCGGGCAGCCGGCGUGGCAGAUGAGCCCGCGCCCUGAUCAGACGCCGGCUGGCGGCGCGGGACGAUUUCCGCCUCGUCGUCAUCCGGCCAGUCUUCGAAGCUGGCUCCAAGCCCGGAGCCGCCUGCUUCGCUGCCUCCCGCCUCGGUGUUGUCGUCCAUGGCGGCCGCUCCCAAGUCGGGGUCCUCCAAGUCGUGCGCCGCCCGGUCGGGGAGAAAUUGGCGAUCCGCCCCCGCUGACCCGGCAGCCGGUUGAAGGAGAGGGUUCUGCCAAGACGAGCCGACUGGUCAGAGUCGGCCAAGAAAAACUUGGUGAUAAAAAUAAAGAAGAGAAGAUUUAGAAAGCGUACCAUAGGCGGAGGAUUGGCGCGGGAGUAUGGCUCCUUGCCAAAUUGCCACUCCUCGAAGAGCUUGCAGUUAGCGAGAUAAUUCACCAUGUGAGCUACCUCAUCAUGAGGCAUCUCCUUGGUGAACAUCCGACUCGGAUCUAGUUGACCGCUCAUUUGACAGAUCAAAUGAGGGUGGCCUUGAAGUGGGAGCACCCGGCGCACCACGAAGGCGGCCAGCAGGUCGGACCCAGUCAGGCCCUCCGACUGGAUCAUUACCCGAAACCGGGCGACGGCGGCGGCCCCAUCCUACGUCAGUGUCCUGGCCCGAUAGGACCACUGGGGCCGCCUCCCAGCUGGCGGGCCGGCUACGUAAGCCGGCAAGUUGACGUAGUCGCCUUGCGGGGCGAUGUUCUUCACGUAGAAGUAUGACUUCUGCAAGAGCUUCACCGACUGGAUUAGUGUGAUGACAGGGAAGGGGUUGUCGGCUGCCGACCUCCGCAUCGCGAUGAAGGCGCCGCUCUGAGCCGGCACGCCCUGCAUCUGGGUGUCGAGCUUGGAUUGGAAGAAUUCCCCCUAGAGCUCGAGGGUGGAAAGAAUGCCAAGGAAGCCCUCGCACAGAGUGACGAAGGCAGACAGCAGCACCACCGUGUUUGGAGUGAGGUGGUGCGGCUGGAGCUGGUAGAAUUCAAGGAAGGAGCGGAAGAAGGCGCUAGCUGGCAGGCCGAGGCCGCGCAAGAAAUGCGAAUGGAAGAGUACCUGCUCACCUUCCUCCGGCGCCGGCGUGAUCUCCUUCUCCGGCGCGAGACGGACCUGCACCUGGUCCUUGCCGGGCAACUGCCGCGUCUUGCGGAGGAAGUCGAUGUGGUCCGCGUGGACGUUGGAGCCGUCCCAGUCUCCGCCGUGCUACAUGAUGGCAAGAAGCUGACGAGAAAGGGUGCGGCGGUGGAGAAACCACGGCCCCGCGGCGGCGAGGUUGCGGGGUAGUGCGAAGAUUGUUGGGAUGGCGCGGCGGCGAGAGAAGGAGGAAGAAGAUGGCGGAGUGAGGAUGAGCAUGCGAACGUCUGCCGCCCCCCUCCUCCCCCAACUUAUAGCCUCGUGCGGCGAAGCCGAGGAGGCGAGGCGUGGGGGGGAACGUGGGAUUAACUGCGCCCACUCCCCCACGUCCCGCGAUUAUAGCGCCCUAACGACGUGCAGAAACUUCCGUCGGAAGGCGAGCGGCCCGCUUUGGGCCACAGAAAAUCCGCGCCUGGGCCUAGGCGUGGAAGUGGUGGGCCCCGGCCUGCGGCGGCAUCCCGUCGCGCGCGUGGGCUGGCAGGCUUUUCUCGGCAGGAAGGUGCCACAUGGCGCGCGGGCGGCGAGCGGCCGGCCCGCAGCCCGGCGAGCGCACCGGCAGGCUCCCGCUUUCAGACUUCAAAAAAUUUCGCCAAGACGGCGCACCCAACCGAAGCCGGCUCCUAGCUGCUGGCUCUUCAAGAUAAGAAGCUGACCAAGCUUCUCAACCUCCUCUCAGCCUCGAAGCCCAACCAGCUUCGGGGACUACUGUCGGAGUAAAUGGCCACGGGUAGCCUAACCGACUCCCCCUGGCUCUUCAAAAAUUACCAGGCCAAUCGAGCCUUCAAGCAUCCAGAGCACAGGGCCGCCUUCCCCUGGCCGGCUAUCACCUAGGCCGACUAGCAGAAGGCGACCUGGCCUCAAAAACCUUCCCGAAGAGAACUACAAGAUGGCCGACUCCAGGAAGCCGACCCCAAGAGGACCGACUCCCAGAAGCCGUCCAUGAAGAAGUCCGACUCCCAGAAGCCGGCCAAGACUGCACCCUCAAGGGCUACACCCACAUAACGGUGAUGAGACGGGGCGUGGCUACAGUACAACCUGCCACCCCCCGAAUCCCGGAGCACGCGUGGCCACAGUACGCCGUACGGGUCGGCCAUCCCCUGUCCGGCGCGACACUGUUGCCAUGUUGACCAUGACACCACCCACGACACGCGCUAGUACGGCCAGCGGGUGGCGGGCCCCUUCAGCCAGAGAGAUGCUCAAAGGCGGCCAGGAAUCCCCCAGUCGGCCUGGGGCGUAGCCGGCUCCCAACAGCCGGCUAUUCCCCAUCCUCGAAGUAUGUGCAUCAUUAAGGAGACAAGACGAGGUAAGGCUACAGUGAGAGCCCGCAAGGCGGCGACACUGUGGCCAUGCUUACCUCGACAAAGCCCUCGUCAUCAGAGGCAAGGCUACAGUAACCAGCCACCGACAAGACCCCUAGGUGGUGGGGCCGGCCUGUCGGCCAUGAGGCCGGCAGCCGACGGGACCCACCAGUCGGCGGGCCCCAGCGGUUGGCGGAGAAGCCGGCGAAUACGGACACUGACGGCUAGGACCCGCGUCCAGCCGGAUUACCAUUGUACCCCUGGGGGGUAGGCCUAUAUAAACCCCCAGGGCACCCAUGCAAAGGAUUGAUCUGAUAUAGUUUUAGACACCACGUAGAGAGAAAAGGAGAGCUAGCCUUGCCCUUCUUCUUCCUCUAGCCAAACAGCUCACGGAGCCUCUUGUAGCUACUUGUGUUGAUCUAGUGAUCAUGCGGAGACCCCGCAGAGCAGGAUUAGGGGUGUUAUCUCCUCGGAGAGCCCCGAACCUAGGUAAGAUUCACCGGCAUGCAUGCCUUCGCCUUAUCCCGUUUCCAGGCACCGACGAUGUCUUACUGGCUCCCACAAUGAUAAGCCACCCGUUGGCAUAUGUCGCACCUACCACCCGACAAUUUGUGAGUAGUUACUUUUGUUCUUGAGGUCACGGGAGAAUCAUGUUGCAAGUAAUCAUGUGAACUUGAUAUGUGUUUGAUAUUUUGAUAGUAUGUAUGUUGUGAUUCCCUUAGUGGUGUCAUGUGAACAUCAAAUACAUGACACUUCACCUUAUUAGAGCCUAAGGGAAUGCAUUGUGGAGUAGUUAUUAGAUUAUGGGUUGCGAGAGUGACAGAAGCUUAAACCCUAGUUUAUGCGCUAUUCCGUAAGGGACCGAUUGGAUCCAAAAGUUUAAUGCUAUGGUUAGAAUAUAUUCUUAAUACUUUUCUCAUAGUUGCGGAUGCUUGCGAGGGGGUUAAUCAUAAGUAGAAGGUUUGUUCAAGUAAGAACAACACCUAAGCACCGGUCCACCCACAUGUCAAAUUAUCAAAGUAGCGAACACAAAUCGAAUCAACAUGGCGAAAGUGACUAGAUGAAAUUCCCGUGUACCCUCUAGAACGAUUUGCUUACUAUAAGAUACCGUUUUGGCCUGUCCUUUGCCUCAAAAGGAUUGGGCUACCUUGCUGCACUUUUGUUACUACUAUCAUUACUUGCUCGUUACAAAUUAUUUUGCUAUCAAACUACUCUGUUACUUACAAUUUCAGCACUUGCAGAUAUUACCUUGCUGAAAACCACUUGUUAUUUCCUUCUACUCCUCGUUGGGUUCGACACUCUUACUUAUCGAAAAGAGCUACAAUUGAUCCCCUAUACUUGUGGGUCAUUAAGGCUAUUUUCUGGCGCCCUUGCCGGGGAGUGAAGCGCCUUUGGUAAGUGGAAUUUUGUAAGGAAACAUUUAUAUAGUGUGCUGAAAUUUAUUGUCACUUGUUACUAUGGAAAAUAAUCCUUUGAGGGGCUUGUUCGGGGUAUCUUCACCUUGACCGGAACCACAAUUAGCUACCCCUCAACCUACUGCACCUACUGAAAAUAUUGAAUAUGAAAUUCCUUCGGGUAUGAUAGAACAACUGCUAGCUAAUCCUAAUGCAGGAGACUGAACCGAACAUCCUGAUAUGCACUUGAUAUAUGUGGAACAAAUUUGUGGAUUGUUUAAGCGUGUAGGUUUACUCGGAGAUGAAGUUAUGAAAAAGGUUUCCCUUUAUCUUUGAAGGUAAAAGCAUUGGCAUGGUAUAGGCUAUGCGAUGAUAUCGGAUCUUGGAAUGGGAAUCGAUUGAAAUUGGAGUUCCACCAAAAAAUUUAUCCUAUGCAUCUAGUUCAUCGUGAUCGGAAUUAUAUAUAUAAUUUUUGGCCUUGUGAAGGAGAAAGUAUCGCUCUAGCUUGGGGGAGGCUUAAGUCAAUGUUAUAUUCAUCCCCCAAUCUUGAGCUCUCAAAAGAAAUUAUUAUUCGGAAUUUUUAUGCUCGGCUUUCUCGUGAUGAUCAAUCCAUGCUUGGUACUUCUUGUACUGAUUCUUUUAUGAAGAAGACUAUUGAAUUCCGGUGGGAUCUUUUGGCAAGAAUUAAACGAAACUCUGAAGAUUGGGAACUCGAUGAAGGUAAAGAGUCAGGUAUUAAGCUUAAGUAUGAUUGUGUUAAGUCUUUUAUGAAUACCGAUGCUUUUCAAAAGUUUAGCGCUAAAUAUGGACUUGACUCUAAGAUAGUAGCCUCCUUUUGUGAAUCAUUUGCUACUCAUGUUGAUCUCCCUAAAGAGAAGUGGUUUAAAUAUCACCCACCUAUUAAAGAAGAAAUUAAAGAACCGGUACCAGUUAAAGAAGAAGCUAUACUUUAUAAUGUUGAUCCAGUUGUUCCUACUGCUUAUAUUGAGAAACCACCUUUCCCUGUUAGGAUAAAGGAACAUGCUAAAGUUUCAACUGUGGAUAACAAAAGUUAUAUUAGAACACCCAAACCUGAUGAAGAAAUCAAAGUAGAGCCUACUGUUGCUAUGGUUAAAGAUCUCUUGGAAGAAGAUAUAGAUGGGCAUGUUAUUUUUCGGUAAUGAAGCUACUAGAAUUGUCAAACCCGAUAAAAAAGAUAAUCAUAGACCCGUUGUUGGCAUGCCCGUUGUCUCAGUUAAAAUAGGAGAUCACUGUUAUCAUGGUUUAUGCGACAUAGGUGCUAGCGUAAGUGCUAUUCCUUACACCUUAUAUCAAGAAAUUAUGAAUGAUAUAGCACCCGCAGAGUUAGAAGACAUAGAUGUUACUAUUAAACUUGCUAAUAGAGACACUAUUUCACCAAUUGGGAUUGUUAGAGAUGUUGAAGUCUUGUGUGGGAAAAUAAAAUACCCUACUGAUUUUCUUGUUCCUGGUUCCCCACAAGAUGACUUUUGUCCCAUUAUCUUUGGUAGACCUUUCUUGAACACCGUUAAUGCUAAAAUAGAUUGUGAGAAACAAACUGUCGGUGUUAGUUUUGGUGAUGAGUCUCAUGAGAUUAAUUUUUCCAAGUUUAGUAGAAAGCUUCAUGAAAAAGAAUUGCCUAGUAAGGAUGAAAUAAUUGGUCUUGCUUCUAUUGCUGUGCCUCCGACUGAUCCACUAGAACAAUAUUUGCUAGACCAUGAAAAUGAUUUACUUAUGCAUGAAAGAAAUGAAAUAGAUAAGAUUUUAUUUGAACAACGUCCUCUGCUUAAACACAAUUUGUCUAUUGAAACUCUAGGAGGUCCCCCUCCAUCUAAAGGUGAUCCCGUGUUUGAAUUAAAACAAUUGACAGACACUUUGAAAUAUGCUUAUCUUGAUGAAAAGAAGAUAUAUCCUGUUAUUAUUAGUGCUAACCUUUCAGAACAUGAAGAAGAAAGAUUAUUGAAAGUUCUAAGGAAGCACCGAGCUGCUAUUGGAUAUACCCUUGAUGAUUUAAAGGGGAUUAGUCCUACUCUAUGUCAGCACAAGAUUAAUAUGGAACCUGAUGCUAAACCCGUUGUUGAUCAUUAACGCCGAUUAAAUCCGAAGAUGAAAGAAGUGGUAAGAACAGAAAUAUUAAAACUUCUGGAAGGAGGUAUAAUCUAUCCUAUAGCUGAUAGUAGAUGGGUAAGUCCCGUUCAUUGUUUUCCUAAGAAAGGAGGUAUUACUGUUAUUCCUAAUGAUAAGAAUGAACUUAUUCCACAAAGAAUUGUUACAGGCUAUAGAAUGGUAAUUGAUUUUAGGAAAUUAAACAAAGCAACUAGAAAAGUUCAUUACCCCCUGCCUUUUAUUGAUCAAAUGCUAGAAAGAUUGUUAAAGCACACACACUUUUGCUUUCUUGAUGGAUAUUUUGGUUUUUCACAAAUACCUGUUUCUCAACCUGAUCAAGAAAAGACCACUUUCACUUGUCCCUUUGGAACUUAUGCUUAUAGACGUAUGCCUUUCGGUUUAUGCAAUGCACCUGCUACCUUUCAAAGAUGUAUGACUGCUAUAUUCUCUGACUUUUGUGAGAAGAGUGUCGAGGUUUUCAUGGAUUACUUUUCCGUUUAUGGGAAGUCUUUUGAUGAUUGUUUAAGCAAUCUUGAUCGAGUUUUGCAGAGAUGCGAGCAAACAAAUCUUGUCUUGAAUUGGGAAAAGUGCCACUUUAUGGUUAAUGAAGGUAUUGUUUUGGGCCAUAAAUUUCUGAAAGAGGUAUUGAAGUGGACAAAGCUAAGGUUGAUGCAAUUGAGAAAAUUCCAUGUCCUAAAGAUAUCAAAGGUAUUCGUACUUUCCUAGGUCAUGCUGGUUUCUAUAGGAGAUUUAUCAAAGACUUCUCUAAAAUUUCUAGGCCUCUUACAAAUCUUUUGCAAAAGGAUGUUCCUUUUGUUUUUGAUGAUGAUUGUUUAGAAGCCUUCGAAACACUCAGGAAAGCCUUAAUUUCUGCACCUCUUUUUCAACCACCUGAUCGGAACUUGUCUUUUGAAAUUAUGUGUGAUGCUAGUGAUUAUGCUGUUGGUGCUGUUCUAGGACAAAGAUUUGAUAAGAAACUGAAUGUUAUUCAUUAUGCUAGUAAAACUCUAGACAAUGCUCAAAGAAAUUAUGCUACUACUGAAAAAGAAUUUCUAGCAGUGGUGUUUGCUUGUGAUAAAUUUGGAUCUUACAUUGUUGACUCCAAAGUUAUUGUUCACACCGAUCAUGUUGCUAUUAAAUAUCUUAUGGAAAAGAAAGAUGCUAUACCUAGACUUAUUCGAUGGGUUCUCUUGCUACAAGAAUUUGAUUUACAUAUUACUGAUGGAAAAGGAACUAAGAACCCAGUAGCUGAUAACUUGUCUAGGCUUGAAAAUGUGCUUGAUGACCCACUACCUAUUGAUGAUAGUUUUCCUGAUGAGUGAUACGUCACCAACGUAUCUAUAAUUUAUGAAGUAUUCAUGCUAUUAUUUUAUCAUUAUUGGAUGUUUUACAAUCAUUUUAUUGCAAAUUUAUAUCAUUCUUUGGGACUAACCUAUUGACCCAGUGCCCAGUGCCAGUUGCUAUUUUUUGCUUGUUUUUUACAUUGCAAGAAAUCAAUAUCAAACGGAGUCCAAACACCGCAAAACUUUUUGGAGAUUUUUUUGGGCCAGAAGACAUCCAUUGGGCCAAAGAAGCACCUGGGGGGGGGGGUGCCCCGAGGGGGGCACAACCCACAAGGGCGCGCCAAGCCCCCCUGGCGCCCCCAGGUGGGUUGUGCCCACCUCGGUGGCCUCCCGCACCCCUUCUUUGCACUAUAAAUUCCAAAAUAUUUUGAAACCCAUCGGGGUUACCCUAGAUCAGAAGUUCUGCCACCGCAAGGUCCUGUAUCCGCGAAAACCAAUCUAGACCUCGUUCCGGCACCCUGCCGGAGGGGGGAAUCAUCUCCGAUGGCCAUCUUCAUCAACCCGGCGGCCACCACGUGAGGAGGGAGUAGUCCACCCUCGGGGCUGAGGGUUUGUACCAGUAGCUAUGUGUUUAAUCUCUCUCUCUCUCGUGAUCUAUAUCAUGGGCUUUGUUAAUAUAGUCGGAUCAUAUGAUGUUUCUAGCCUCUAUACUCUUGUUAUGAUGAAUUGAAUCUCUACCCUUCAAAGUUUUGUCUUGUCGGAUUGAAUAUUCAGAGAUGAGAACACAUGAUAUAUGUCUUGCAAUAUGAAUAAUUGAGGUGACAAUGGGGUAUCAUAUUUAUUCACUUGAUGUAUGUUAUGGCACUCAACUUGCGGAUUCCCGAGGUGACAUUGGGGUAAUCUAUGCAUAGGGGUUGAUGCACGUUUUUAUUAUCUUUUCUCCGAUAGAAACUUUGGGGUCUCUUUGUAGUUCUUUGUGUGGAUUGAGUAUUAUGAACAUGAAUUUGCUUUGGUGUUAUUUUAGUACGAACUCUUGAUUAGAUCGAUCAGAAAUAAUAGCUUGCGUUAUUUUAGUACAAACUAUAGGAUAGAUUGAUCGAAAAGAAUAGCUUUGAAGUGGUUUUGUACCCUACAAACAAUUUCUAUCUUUUGUUCUCCGCUAAUAGGAACUCUAGAGUGAUUCUUUAUUGCACUUUGAGGGAUAAUCAUAUGAUCCAACUAUGUUAGCACUGUUGAGAGGUUGCACUAGUGAAAGCACAGAUCCUAGGCCUUGUUUUCAAGCAUUGCAAUACCAUUUUUGUGCUCAUUUACUAUUUGCUACCUUGUUGUUUUUAUUUAUUCAGAUUUAAAAAUAUAUUUAUACCAUCAAUAUUACACUUUUAUCACCAUCUCUUCGCCGAACUAGUGCACCUAUACAAUUUACCAUUGUAUUGGGUGUGUUGGGGACACAAGAGAUUUCUUGUAUUUGGUUGCAGGGUCGUUUGAGAGAGACCAUCUUCAUCCUACGCCUCCCAUGGAUUGAUAAACCUUAGGUCAUCCACUUGAGGGAAAAUUGCUACUGUCCUACAAAACUCUGCGCUUGGAGGCCCAACACAUGUCUACAUGAAUAAAGUUGCAUAGUAGACAUCAAGCUCUUUUCUGGCGCCGUUGCCGGGGAGGUGAGUGCUUGAAGGUAUAUCUUUAGAUCUUGCAAUUGAAUCUUUUAGUUUCUUGUUUCAUCACUAGUUUGGUGUAUAAAAGAAAACUACAAAAAAAUGGAAUUUAGGUUGCAUCAUAUUAUUGAUCCUCUUUAUAAUAUCUUUCUUGAAAACGAUGCAUCGGAAAAUUGUGCUCAAUUGUUAGAAGAAGAAGUCAAUAAAAUGCUUGGCACAAAAUAUUUGGAUGAUUAGCAUGAUUGCAAUGUUAUUAGUAUGAAUUAUUUGAAUAUCCAAAAUGCUAAUGAUGAUUGCACAAGUCAUGACAAAAAUGUUUCUUAUAAGCAUGUCACUUUUUGUGGAGUGAAUUGGGAGUGCCUUUGCACACCAAAAAGGGGAGAUAUAUUUUGUAAGAAGCAUACAUAUUUAGAAACAAAAAUGUUGCAAGAGAGGUUAGAUGAUUGUGCUGAAAGAUGUAGUUUUUUGGCCAUCCUUGUGAACUUUGCAUCUCUUUAUGAUGGUAAUUUAAAUCUUCAAUGCAGAUUCUUUCAUGAUCAAAUAGUGUCCAAAAAUUAUGAUAACUUGAUUACCCUUGAGCAUCAUAAAGAGCUUAGUCUUCUUUUGGGGUAUGAAGAAAUUAAAUGUAUAACUAAGGAUUUUCCAAAUCCUAAGAGAUUUCUUGAUUUUGAUCUAGAAGAAAUUUAUAUGUUUUGUGCGGUAAAUUGCAUUGAGAAUCCUUAUAUUGCCAACUACCUAAAGACAAGAAAACAAAUGGAAUAUGAAGAGAGUACUAAUGAAAGGGGAAGUAUUUCCCAAUACCUUCCUAGUGUUUCUUAUGAUGAAUCAGGUAACAUGGAGGAACUUCCUAUCCAAUCAAUCUCUUCAACAAGGAGCUCGAAAAAAUUAAUUGAACCCAUACAUGAUGUGGUGAAGAAGAUGAAAAGAAGAAAGAAGAGAGGUAAAAAGGUAUCUCUCCCGAAUAAUGUUGCUCCUAUUAUUGUUGUACCUCAUGAAAAUGAAUCAAAAAUAAUUGUGGAAGAUGAUGUACUUGAUGAUGAUAUUGCUUCUAUGUCUUACGGCACAAUGACCGAGAGCACUUUUGAUGAUGAUUUUACUAUGCCUAUUGCUUGUUUUGAUGAUUAUGAUUGGGAAUAUAAUGAUACUUCUUAUAAUCUUGGAAAUCUUUUUGGAACCAACUUGGGAAAUUAUGAUGAUAGCAAUUGUUAUACCGUUGGUGCUAUUCAUACUAUUAAUGAUGAGAGUGAUUAUGCUUAUGAUAUGCCAAGCCACAAGCUUGGGAUGCUUUGUUUGAUGAUAAUGACAUGUUUGAUUAUGAUGACAUGUUUGAUUAUGCUUAUGAUUUGCUGCAAUUAAUGUUUGUCCCAAGCUUGGGGAGGCUAUGCUUAAUGAAGAUGAUCUUUUUAGUUCACUUACUUUGAAUGAUCAAAUUUGCUAUGAUGAUUGCAUGCCUCCUACUUAUGAUGAUUAUUGUGAUGAUACUUAUGUGAUUAAAAGUUGUGAUAAUUAUUGUCAUGAUUUUGAUUAUACCUUUGCUGAACAUUACUCUUUUAAUGUGGAAACAAUUUAUAGUAUUCGAGCUUCCUAUGAUACUCCCACUAUUAUGAAUGAGAAUAGAAUUGCUUAUAUGGAGAGUAAUAAAUUUUCUAUGCUUGUGGAUCAUGAAAAGAAUGUUUUAUGUGAUGGUUAUAUUGAUGAAUCUAUUCAUGAUGCUACUGAAAAUUAUUAUGAGAGAGGAACUUAUGCUUCAUGAUGCUCUUGUUAUGUUUCAAUUCUUAUCUUUUAUGCGAGCAUCAUUGAAAUCAUCAUGCCUAGCUUAAAAGGCAUUAAAGAAAAGCGCUUGUUGGGAGACAACCCAACACUUUUACCUACUGUUUUUGUGUGUUCACAUGAUUAUUCUACUGUAUUGAUCAUGUUUUAUUGCUUUGUUUCAAUAAAGUGCCAAGUAAAGCCUUUGGGAUCAUGUUGGGUGAUAGUUGAGUUGAUCUUGCUGAAAAACAGAAACUUAUGCGCUCACAAAAAAAAUCUAGUUUAUAACAGAAGAGUGAUUUUGAGUUGAUUCUUUUUGCAGAAGAUUAACAUACAAAUUUCUCACGUAUUCUAAAUUUUUCAGAGUUUUUGGAAUAGCAGAAGUAUGGUUAUUCUACAGAUCAUUACAGACUGUUCUAUUUUUGACAGAUUCUGUUUUCAAUGCAUAGUUUGCUUGCUUUCUAGUUUCUAUGGCUUAUAUUGCUCAAUAUAAAUUGUGGAAAUAAUAUGCCAAAGUAGGCAUUGUGUGAGAACAAUUAUGAAUCUUGUCUUUGACAGUACCAAAGUGAAAUGGUUUGCUCUUUACCAUACUAACCUAUCUCACAAAGUUCCGUCAAGUUUUGUGUGAUUGAAGUUUUCAAGUUUUGGGUGAGAUAUCGAUAUGAGGAGAAUAAGGAGUGACAAGACCCUAUGCUUGGGGAUGCAGAAGGCACCCCCAAGGUAAUAUUCAAGGAAGAUCCAAGCAACUAAGCUUGGGGAUGCCCCGGAAGGCAUCCCCUCUUUCGUCUCCAACAGUAUCGUUAACCUCACUUGGAGCUAUGUAUUCAUUCGUCACAUGGUAUGUGUUUUACUUGGAGCAUCAAUUUAUUUUUUUAUUAUUUGCUUGAUGUUAUAUAAAAUAUUGUUUUGCAUCUUUUAUUUCAAUAAAAAUGUCAAGGAUAGCCUUUACCACGCUUAUUUUACAAGUCUACAUGUUGCUGUUUGAAAACAGAAAGUUUACCGCUGUUGCAAAAAUUCCCUAGAAAAGUCAGAAUGUGAUAAAAUGUUGAAACUUUUUGCAUAUUAAGCUCUGAUAAAUUUUCUACAGUGUGGUAAAAUUUUCAUAAUUUUUGGAGUUAGGGAAGUUUGAUGAAUCUUGCAUUCUUUACAGACUGUACUGUUUUGGCAGAUUGCUGUUAUGUUUGCAUUGUUUGCAUAUGUUUGCUUGUUUAAUGAUUCUAUUUGAGGAUAGGAGUAUUAAAUAUGCAGAGGCAUUUAGUAUGCGAUGUUGAAUAAUAAUUUUAGUGAUUUGCUACAGUAGAUAAAUGAUAAGGUUUUUGCAUUAGUUUAUACUAACUUAUCUCACGAGUUCUUGUUGAGUUUUGUGUGGGUGAAGCUUUUGAGAUUUAGGAAAACCGUGAUAUGAAAGGAAUUAAGGAGACACAAAAGCUCAAGCUUGAGAAUGCCCAAGGCAUCCCAAGAUAAUAUUUCAAGAAGUCUCAAGCAUCUAAGCUUGGGGAUGCCCCAGUAGACAUCCCACCUUUCUUCUUCAACAAUUAUCGGUUAGUAUCGGUUGAACCUAAGUUUUUGCUUCUUCACAUGAUGUGUGCUAUUCUUGGAAUGUCAUUUUGUUUUGUUUUUGCUUGCUGUUUUAAUAAAAUGUUUAGAUCUAUACGUUUUUGAAUAAGAGAGAGCCCUCAAAUAGCUACCUAUUUGCUUAACUACUCGCAUGAUCUUCACUUAUAUCUUUUUGGAGUAGUUUGUCAUUUACUCUUGUGCUUCACUUAUAUCCUAUGAGUAAAUUGUUGAAUAAGUUGAAUGUUAUGAAGUUGAAAUUAUAUCAUGCCUAGUGAUAGCUUCAUGUUGGGUUUAGAAAAUGAAAUCUUUUGAGGCUUGACAAUCACAAUAUUGGUCAUACAAGCAUGUGACGCCCCCGAUUCAAUCGUACACUAAUCAUACACGCAAACGUGUACGAUCAAGAUCAGGGACUCACGGGAAGAUAUCACAACACAACUCUAAAAAUAAAAUAAGUCAUACAAGCAUCAUAAUACAAUCCAGGGGCCUCGAGGGCUCGAAUACAAGUGCUCGAUCAUAGAUGAGUCAGCGGAAGCAACAAUAUCUGAGUACAGACAUAAGUAAACAAGUUGCCAUAAGAUGGCUAGCACAAACUGGGAUACAGAUCGAAAGAGGCGCAGGCCUCCUACCCGGGAUCCUCCUAAACUACUCCCUGUCGGCGCCAGCGGCCUACACGUAGUAGUAGGCACCUCCGGUGUAGUAGGAGUCGUCGUCGACGGUGGCGUCUGGCUCCUGGGCUCCAGCAUCUGGUUGUGACAACCAGGUAGAAGGGAAAGGGGAAAAGAGGGAGAAAAGCAACCGUGAGUACUCAUCCAAAGUACUCGCAAGCAAGGAUCUACACUACAUAUGCAUGGGUAUAUGUGUAAAGGGGCCAUAUCGAUGGAUUGGACUGCAGAAUGCCGGAAUAAGAGGGGGAUAGCUAGUCCUGUCGAAGACUACGCUUCUGGCAGCCUCCAUCUUGCAGCAUGUAUAAGAGAGUAGAUGGUAAGUUCACCAAGUAUCAUCGUAUAGCAUAAUCCUACCCGGCGAUCCCCUCCUCGUCGCCCUGUUAGAGAGCGAUCACCGGGUUAUAUCUGGCACUUGGAAGGGUGUGUUUUAUUAAGUAUCCAGUUCUAGUUGUCAUAAGGUCAAGGUACAACUCCAAGUCGUCCUGUUACCGAAGAUCACGACUAUUCGAAUAGAUAAACUUCCCUGCAGGGGUGCACCACAUAACCCAACACGCUCGAUCCCAUUUGGCCGGACACACUUUCCUGGGUCAUGCCUGGCCUCAGAAGAUCAACACGUCGCAGCCCCACCUAGGCACAACAGAGAGGUCAGCACGCCGGUCUAAAUCCUAUGGCGCAGGGGUCUGGGCCCAUCGCCCAUUGCACACCUGCAUGUUGCGAGGGCGGCCGGAAGCAGACCUAGCCUAGAAGGCGUUCCAGUCCAAUCCGGCGCGCGCCGCUCAGUCGCUGACGUCACGAAGGCUUCGGCUGAUACCAUGACGUCGAGUGCCCAUAAUUGUUCCCGCGUAGUUGGUUAGUGCGUAUAGACCAAAUGGCCAGACUCAGAUCAAAUACCAAGAACUCGUUAAGCGUGUUAUUUUGAAGUAACCACGGACGCCGACCAGGGCCAGGCCCACCUCUCUCCUAGGUGGUCUCAACCUGCCCUGUCGCUCCGCCACAAAGUAACAGUCGGGGGCCGUUGGGAACCCAGGCCCACCUCUACCGGGAUGGAGCCACCUGCCCCUUCAGCCCCCAUCUCCGAACAGUAUCAUAAGUAAUGUAACAGUAUAAAGUAUAUAGCAUAUGCCCGUGAUCACCUCCCGAAGUGAUCACGGCCCAGUAGUAUAGCAUGGUAGACGGACAAGAGUGUAGGGCCAUUGAUGGAAUACUAGCAUCCUAUUCUAAGCAUUUAGGAUUGCAGGUAAGGGUAACAACUGUAGCAACAAUGACAGGCUAUGCAGUAGAAUAGGAUUAACGGAAAGCAGUAACAUGCUACACUACUCUAAUGCAAGCAGUAUAGAGAAGAAUAGGCGAUAUCUGGUGAUCAAGGGGGGGCUUGCCUGGUUGCUCUGGCAAGAAGGAGGGGUCGUCAACACCAUAGUCGUACUGGGUAGCAGCGGCGUCGGUCUCGGGGUCUACCGGAGAAGAAAAGGGGGAAGAAACAGUAAAUAAGGAGCAAACAAAGCAUCACAAAACAUAAUGAGGCAAUACGCGGUGCUAGGUACGCCCUAGCGUGGUACUAGGCGAUGCCGGCGAAGGGGGGAAACAUCCGGGAAAGUAUUCCCGGUGUUUCACGUUUUUGGACAGAUGAACCGGAGGGGGAAAGUUGCGAGUUUUCUAUGCUAGGGAUGUGUGACAGACGAACGGGCUACGUAUCCGGAUUCGUCUCGUCGUUCUGAGCAACUUUCAUGUACAAAGUUUUUUCAUCUGAGCUACCGAUUAUUUUAUAUCUUUUUUCAAAGUUUCUAAAAGAUUUUUAAUUUCUGGAUUUAGUUUAAUUCGAAAUUAAGUUAGUAUGUAAAUGCUAUGGGUACACAGAAAGUGUACCCAGAAGUGUGCACCUGAGGCUGACAGGUGGGGACAGUUGACUAAGUCAUCUGCCCAGUCAGUAGAAGCUGACAGGUGGGGCAGGGGGUGCUGACUCAGCGGUCAAUAGGUCAACAUUGACCAGUCAAACUGGCAGGUGGGGACCACCCGUCAGUGACACAUGUAUUUAGCAGGUAUUUAUUUUAAAUUUUCUCUAAUUAGUUGGCCGGGCCCACAUGUCAUACUCCAGUUUAUUAAUACAUUUGUUUUGAAAGCAGGGUUAGUUUAGCGGGUGGGCCCCUGACGUCAGUGAAUGUUUAAGGCAGAUUAGUGACUAACGACAGCCACAUCACUGUAUUAGCACCGGCGAUGAGCUGCAGAACGGUAGCGGCAUAGGAGCUCGCUGGAAACGGCGUACGAGGAGCCGUUCACGGCGCGGAUGGUUCCAUUCGAACACCUACGCGACGGCGUAUCACAUGGUGGUGGUGGCACAGCCGGGGGUGGUCGGUGUCGACCGAUAUGACGGCGGCCGACGGCAACAGAAGGCGGGCGAGACAGGAAGCAGUGGGCCAAGGUAUGCGCGCGUGAGCGAGGCCCAACGUGGCUGAGUGCGUGCGCGCGAGGCAGGACGCGGGGUAGUGGCCGGGCGCGGAUGCGGAGCAGCAGCGGUCAGUGCGGGAGCGAGGCAAGCGGCGCUGCCGUGCGGGGUGGCGUGGCCAGGGAAGGCGGGCGCGCGGCGCAGUCUUCGCGGGGGCGAGGUAGCGGAGAGGGGAAGAGGUGGCCGAGGGCCUCACCGCGGGCCGUAGGGGAAUGGCAGCGAUUGUCGGGGAGGAAGACGGGGACGACGUGCGACGGGGCGGCGCCGGUGCGGUGGCUCCAGAGACGGCGAUUGGUGAUGGGGCGCAGCGUGGCUUGGGGAGGCUGUCGAGGAGGAGGUCAAGGAGGUCCGGCGUGGGGAGGAGACGGGGAGGCGACGACGAAGACGAGCGACGCCGGCGACGAGNNNNNNNNNNNNNNNNNNNNNNNNNNNNNNNNNNNNNNNNNNNNNNNNNNNNNNNNNNNNNNNNNNNNNNNNNNNNNNNNNNNNNNNNNNNNNNNNNNNNNNNNNNNNNNNNNNNNNNNNNNNNNNNNNNNNNNNNNNNNNNNNNNNNNNNNNNNNNNNNNNNNNNNNNNNNNNNNNNNNNNNNNNNNNNNNNNNNNNNNNNNNNNNNNNNNNNNNNNNNNNNNNNNNNNNNNNNNNNNNNNNNNNNNNNNNNNNNNNNNNNNNNNNNNNNNNNNNNNNNNNNNNNNNNNNNNNNNNNNNNNNNNNNNNNNNNNNNNNNNNNNNNNNNNNNNNNNNNNNNNNNNNNNNNNNNNNNNNNNNNNNNNNNNGGGGAGAGGAGAGACGUGGGGAGUGGGGGGGGGGAAGUGUGCGGUCGUGGGGGGUUAGGGUUUCCCCCUGGUGGGGAUAGGGUGGGGGGUUGGGCCGGUUGGUGGGCUGGCCGGCUGGGCCGUCUGGCCUAGUUGGCCAGGGGGGUUCUUUUCUUUUAUUUUUGCUUUCUGUUUGUUCCUUUUCCUUUUAUUUAUAUUAACUUUUCUGUUAUAGUUUUGUUUCCUAUUAUUUUAGUUUUAGUAAAAUAUACACUUAGUAUCUAAAUUAGUAUUUCAACUUAGUCCAUAGUCAAAAAGUCUAGUCCUCAAAUAAAUUAGUUUGACAUUUUACUAAUUAUAAAAGGUAUUUAAAUAUUUGUUUUGUUGUUGUUUUAUUCAUCUCAUAGUACUUAAAUAUUUUAUAAAGGUGUGGUUUCUCCACCAUAAUUAUCUAUGCAAUAUUUGGUUCACUCCGAACAUUUUACUUUUAAUUUUUGAAAACCUUUACCAUUUGACUUGAUUUUUGAAUUUGAAUUUGAAUCGAUGCCGAAUCAACGCGGGUUUAUCAACAGUAACCGAGGUGACGUGGCAUCAUUAGCGUGGGAUUACUGUAGCUUAAUUAUCCGGGCGUCACAAUUCUCCUCCACUACAAGAAAUCUCGUCUCGAGAUUUAAGAGGUAGAGUAAGGGGAAAGAUGUGGCUACGAAAUUCUAUCGAGUCUUCUCGGUCUUGGUUGCUCUUCUCGAAGAGGUCGAUCCAUUACAUUGAUGUCUUCAUUCCACUACUUCAGGUCAUCAUUAUGAAGUCGUCAUCCUUUCUUCGGGGGUUCCUUCGUACUUACGAAUAAGUAAGGGGUAGCUCGGCUACGACAUAAUGCUUAGGAGGGAAACAAUCUGGGGUUAACCCAUGAAUGAGCAUAAGAUUAUCUCUCAAGUUGAACAUAUAAAAUACAUCGAGAGUAAGGUACGAAGGUACAAUAAGAGGUUCCAAGCAGAUAGAUAGUUGCUCGAAGUCUGAACCAGAGUGAGAAAGGGGUUUCAGAGCAGCGAGAGUAAGUAUUGCGUCUGAUACCAGAAUAGAUCACUUGGCAUGUGGCCCAUGAAUUACAUAAGAAGUCAAGCACGAGGAAUAACUUUGACAACAGGGUGUACAUGAGAGUCAGGUUUCGAUCCUGGGACCUGGGGUUACGGGCCCACCAUGCAGGUUAAAAUUAGAAAAGGCGCUAACUUCUUGCACGGUCAGGAUGGCAGUGUAUGUCAGAGGCUAGCCCGUCAGCCAUGUUGGCAACAAUCGUUGGUACUAAGGGCGAGGGACGAAGAAAACCAUUUUCCUGCUCGUUGAACGAGGCGGACCAAUAGGCAAAGUUCUCGUCCAUCGGUGGUUACCGGAAUGUCAUCAACAAAAGUAACAGGGUCUUACUGACAGAGUGGUACAACGAGGUGUUUAUAUAAGCAAGGAAAUAUUACUGCUUAUAUAAUAUAGAUCACAAGAAGGUUUAAACAAACCAAUGGAAACGAAAAGUGAUUAUCAGGUUUAAACAGAACAAUGGAAAGGAAAAUGUGUAUACACACAUAUCUCAGGGGUAUAUCCUUCCCAAGGACAAGCAGAGCAUGAUAUCCUUGGCAGGAUAUAAUGUAGAAAACUCUUUAGGAAAGGGGAGAGAAAUUUCAUGACAUUAUCCAUGCAACGGUGUUUGGAUAAUUGAGCAAGUAACAUUUAGCAUUGGGCUUCAAAUGUUCUUGUUGAAAAUCGGAGCACCACAGACAUGCUUCGAGAUAGCAUUGACAAGGUCUUCAAGCAAAGGUCAGACUUUGGAUACACAAAGGAUCCAUCAGGAUAAACUUAUUAAACAAGGCAUUCAAUUUCCUCACGGAAAAAAUGGUUAACCUUGUUAAGAAGGAAACUAUAACAAAAGGUCCUCUGGCUAGGGGUGCUAAGCAAAGACACCACCUUACCAGGUUAUGUAGAGACCAAUGUUAUAACUCUUGGAAAUAUGUCCCAACCAUCAUAUCUGACCGAGAUUCAGAUCUGAUUGGUCUCAGGAUACCUCAGACAUCAGGAUGCCUGAGAAGAAAAGGUGCAACACAAUUUGACGAGAUGACAUUGUGAGAUUCUCGGAAAUGAUCUAGGGAAGCGAGUUCUGAAACAAGAGUUUGUCAUUAAACCAAGGAGAGGAUGAGGAGGUGGCUGAUGGACUCAGCGACCAUUCAUUGAGAUUUCCAAAAAGAUGGAUUUCCACAAUUAUGAGAACAAGGAGAUAAGAUUUGUCAGAUCAAGUGAUAUAAUGAGGUAUGCUCGAGGAAAACAUACACAAUUAAACAUUGGUUGAAAGGUGCGCCCGAAAUAUGGGUUGGGUUGCACGACCAAUGUUAGAAUGGUGAUUCAAUAAUCAAUUGUCUAAGAAUGAAUGGCCGACCAUUGACUUCAAAGCAAUAGGGUUGCUAGAAGGGCAGAAUCUAAACAGCACUGUUCACUUGUUGGUACCCCGGUUCGAAUCAACACGAGGACCAAGAAAGAAUGGUGAUGGUGAGAAGUAUCACUGUACCAAGAAUUCUUAAGAGGUGGAGUAAUCCUCACGACAUUCUUGACAUAAAAGAUGGUAAUACUCCAAGGUAAGGAAGAACAAUUGCUGUAUAGCAUGGAUCUCAAGGUAUAACACGAAACACGAACAAGUUUGUGUUGAACGGAAGGCAAUAAAGUGGUUGAUGAUAAUACAAAUCAUCGAGGGCAAGGAUGGUAUUUCUCUUCAUGAAUUCAAUUGAUAUCCUGGAAGAGCUCAAAAUGUUGAUGAUGAUCACGACACAAUUGUCGAGAGAUUUCACGAAGAAGCAAUCAAACAGCGAUGACAUCAAGAAAAAAAACAAUGGUGAAGCGAAGGGUCAUCGGAACCACUGAUACGACACACACUUGGAAUCAAGCUUGAUGUUUAAGGCGGAAUGAUAAGACGAGGAAGAUCGACGUAAGCUUGGCUCAUCGUCAAAAGUUGUGCUCCGGGAAUAAGGACUAGGUAGCACAAUUAAAAUUUAGCAUGAUAAUGAUAUAGCCGAUUAGGAUUGGGAUGACUUGAAGGAUUAUUAAACUCGUAAGCAAUGAAAAUUACUUAGAGUUAUUGAAUCAGAUUGCGGAAUCGGUUCACUUACCGGUGUUCUUGAGCGACUAACUCAGAACCCAUGAAAAAUUGGAAUCAGUGAGAAAUAAUAGCUGAUGGAGACUCAUAAGAUGCAACACAGUUCUUAGAUAUUCUCGAGAUACCAGAGGGUAAAACUCGACGGUAGAUCAAGGUAGAGGUUGGACUGGUGUAUUGACUUGCAAAAGACAAGUGUUUUAACUUGUCCGAGAAAUGGGAUCAACGAGAAAAUAUGGCCGGAACCACGAUUGCAUAGGAUCAGUUCAUAGAUACCAGAUGAUAUUAUAUCAACGAAAUAGUUAUUAUUACAAGAAGCUUCUAUGGUAGGAUCUACAUCGUGUCCAUGGGCAUGAACACAAAGUUCAAGGUCGACUCCUACUUCUUCAAUGUAUAACCUUCCAUUCACCUCUCACUUUCGAAGAAGUUGUGGUGUUGAAAUUUUAUCUAGAAAAACAGCAGAAGAGUAUGACUCGUGAAAACUUUCGAGUUCACACAUAUUAGGCAUAGGUUCAACCCGUCAGGGUAUCGUGGAAACAUAUACCACAAGCUUCAAUAGUAAAUAACACAAGCUCGAUAGUAGAGCAUGGUUGACAAAAACAGAGGAUACAAUUUACCUAAGGCAUUAGGUAUCAGGGAAAGAACUUCUCGAGGUUUUUGUAUACGAAGGACGAUGUCGGAUGAUAUUUCAACAAAUGAUCCGACGGUCCAUAGUGGAGCUGAUGUGAGCAUCGGCACACAACCAGAGGAAGAAACAAUGCGAAGGCAUUAGAUUAUAGAACCAAAUGACUAAUUCAAAGUUUAAUUGCCAUGGAAUUAUGAUUUCCAAAUCAAGGGAUCAGAAGCAAACGCUCUAAUUUAGGAUGGAUAAGCUGAGCCGGCUUAGGGGUACAAUCGACGGCAAUUUGAUUGGUCGAGAACUAGCUCCAGUUAAAAAUGACGGCUGAGCCGGAAAGAUAAUUUAUAAGGAUCAACUGAUGAUUGCGGACAUUCGCAACAUAUUGAAUCAAGGAACUCAAAAUGAUAAUGACAAAGGAUGACAAUUAGAUUACCAGACUUAUGGUAAACCAUAUUGCAAGCAAGAAUUUGAAGAGCAAUAGGCUGUUGGGGAUUUUCGGAAAAUCGAAUGGCAUUUCAAAAACAUUUGUGAAAUACAGGAAUCAACUGUGGAUGAACGGAUACUCGAUAAGUGUGAGGAAUUAUCCGUAGGGGUAUUCAAAUGGUGAAGAACUGCAAGGCAGUAAACUCAGAGAAUUCUCGGGACAACAGAGAGUAUUUCGGGGCAUCUUGUAAUAACAAGAUCAACGGGGAAUGAUUGUAUGAAUGGCAAGUGUAUGCAGUUUUCAUAGGGGUUGACGGUGGAAGGAAAUCGCAAAUGCGAUGGCACAAAGACUCGAGAGCACAUCGUAGAGUAUCUUCGGAAUCUUCUGGUGCAGCAGGCGGUUAUCGGUAACAAGGGGCUCUCCGGGUGGAAGUGAUCAUGGGAUCCUAAUGUUCGAGUUAGCAAAAUUCAUUUAACCCGAAUAGAAGAGAGAUUAGAGUCCCAGAGUAUAGACAAGGAGUAAAAGAUCCUAAUACCACCCAAUGGCGACGUGGGCCCAUAAGGCACACAACCAUGUUAGUAAAAACAAUUUUCAUCGACUAGACUCGACUUCGGCCAAGGAGUGUGGAAGGGGGAUUCCUACAGGCAGUCGGCUCUGAUACCAACUUGUGACGCCCCCGAUUCAAUCGUACACUAAUCAUACACGCAAACGUGUACGAUCAAGAUCAGGGACUCACGGGAAGAUAUCACAACACAACUCUAAAAAUAAAAUAAGUCAUACAAGCAUCAUAAUACAAGCCAGGGGCCUCGAGGGCUCGAAUGCAAGUGCUCGAUCAUAGAUGAGUCAGCGGAAGCAACAAUAUCUGAGUACAAACAUAAGUAAACAAGUUGCCAUAAGAUGGCUAGCACAAACUGGGAUACAGAUCGAAAGAGGCGCAUGCCUCCUGCCUAGGAUCCUCCUAAACUACUCCCGGUCGCCGUCAGCGGCCUGCACGUAGUAGUAGGCACCUCCGGUGUAGUAGGAGUCGUCGUCGAUGGUGGCGUCUGGCUCCUGGGCUCCAGCAUCUGGUUGCGACAACCAGGUAGAAGGGAAAGGGGGAAAAGAGGGAGAAAAGCAACCGUGAGUACUCAUCCAAAGUACUCGCAAGCAAGGAUCUACACUACAUAUGCAUGGGUAUAUGUGUAAAGGGGCCAUAUCGGUGGACUGGACUGCAGAAUGCCGGAAUAAGAGGGGGAUAGCUAGUCCUGUCGAAGACUACUCUUCUGGCAGCCUCCAUCUUGCAGCAUGUAUAAGAGAGUAGAUGGUAAGUUCACCAAGUAUCAUCGUAUAGCAUAAUCCUACCCGGCGAUCCCCUCCUCGUCGCCCUGUUAGAGAGCGAUCACCGGGUUAUAUCUGGCACUUGGAAGGGUGUGUUUUAUUAAGUAUCCAGUUCUAGUUGUCAUAAGGUCAAGGUACAACUCCAAGUCGUCCUGUUACCGAAGAUCACGGCUAUUCGAAUAGAUAAACUUCCCUGCAGGGGUGCACCACAUAACCCAACACGCUCGAUCCCAUUUGGCCGGACACACUUUCCUGGGUCAUGCCCGGCCUCGGAAGAUCAACAUGUCGCAGCCCCACCUAGGCACAACAGAGAGGUCAGCACGCCGGUCUAAAUCCUAUGGCGCAGGGGUCUGGGCCCAUCGCCCAUUGCACACCUGCACGUUGCGAGGGCGGCCGGAAGCAGACUUAGCCUAGCAGGCGUUCCAGUCUAAUCCGGCGCGCGCCGCUCAGUCGCUGACGUCACGAAGGCUUCGGCUGAUACCACGAGUCGAGUGCCCAUAACUGUUCCCGCGUAGUUGGUUAGUGCGUAUAGACCAAAUGGCCAGACUCAGAUCAAAUACCAAGAACUCGUUAAGCGUGUUAUUUUGAAGUAACCACGGACGCCGACCAGGGCCAGGCCCACCUCUCUCCUAGGUGGUCUCAACCUGCCCUGUCGCUCCGCCACAAAGUAACAGUCGGGGGCCGUCGGGAACCCAGGCCCACCUCUACCAGGAUGGAGCCACCUGCCCCUUCAGCCCCCAUCUCCGAACAGUAUCAUAAGUAAUAAUGUAACAGUAUAAAGUAUAUAGCAUAUGCCCGUGAUCACCUCCUGAAGUGAUCACGGCCCAGUAGUAUAGCAUGGCAGACGGACAAGAGUGUGGGGCCACUGAUGGAAUACUAGCAUCCUAUACUAAGCAUUUAGGAUUGCAGGUAAGGGUAACAACUGUAGCAACAAUGACAGGCUAUGCAGCAGAAUAGGAUUAACGGAAAGCAGUAACAUGCUACACUACUCUAAUGCAAGCAGUAUAGAGAAGAAUAGGCGAUAUCUGGUGAUCACGGGGGGCUUGCCUGGUUGCUCUGGCAAGAAGGAGGGGUCGUCAACACCAUAGUCGUACUGGGUAGCAGCGGCGUCGGUCUCGGGGUCUACCGGAGAAGAAGAGGGGGAAGAAACAGUAAAUACGGAGCAAACAAAGCAUCACAAAACAUAACGAGGCAAUACGCGGUGCUAGGUAUGCCCUAACGUGGUACUAGGCGAUGCCGGCGAAGGGGGGAAACAUCCGGGAAAGUAUUCCCGGUGUUUCACGUUUUUGGACAGAUGAACCGGAGGGGGAAAGUUGCGAGUUUGCUAUGCUAGGGAUAUGUGACAGACGAAACGGGCUGCGUAUCCGGAUUCGUGUCGUCGUUCUGAGCAACUUUCAUGUACACAGUUUUUUCAUCCGAGCUACGGAUUAUUUUAUAUGUUUUUUCAAAGUUUCUAAAAGUUUUUCUAAUUUCUGGAUUUAGUUUAAUUCGAAAUUAAGUUAGUAUUUAAAUGCUAUGGGUACACAUAAAGUGUACCCAGAAGUGUGCACAUGAGGCUGACAGGUGGGGACAGUUGACUAAGUCAACUGCCCAGUCAGUAGAAGCUGACAGGUGGGGCAGGGGGUGCUGACUCAGCGGUCAAUAGGUCAACAUUGACCAGUCAAACUGGCAGGUGGGGACCACCUAUCAGUGACACAUGUAUUUAGCAGGUAUUUAUUUUAAAUUUUCUCUAAUUAGUUGCCCGGGCCCACAUGUCAUACUCCAGUUUAUUAAUACGUUUGUUUUGAAAGUAGGGUUAGUUUAGCGGGUGGGCCCCUGACGCCAGUGAAUGUUUAAGGCAGAUUAGUGACUAACGACAGCCACGUCACCGGAUUAGCGCCGGCGACGAGCUACAGAACGGUAGCGGCAUAGGAGCUCGCUGGAAAUGGCGUACGGGGAGCCGUUCACGGCGCGGAUGGUUCCAUUCGAACACCUACGCGACGGCGUAUCGCGUGGUGGUAGUGGCACAGCCAGGGGUGGUCGGUGUCGACCGAUACGACGGCGGCCGGCGGCAACAGAAGGCGGGCGAGACAGGAAGCAGCGGGCCAAGGUACGCGCGCGUGAGCGAGGCCCGACAUGGCUGAGUGCAUGCGCGCGAGGCAGGACGCGGGGUGGUGGCCGGGCGCGGAUGCGGAGCAGCAGCGGUCAGUGCGGGAGCGAGGCAAGUGGUGCUGCCGUGCGGCGUGGCAUGGCCAGGGAAUGCGGGCGCGGGACGCGGUCUUCACGGGGGCGAGGUAGCGGAGAGGGGAUGAGGAGGCCGAGGGCCUCACCGCGGGCCGUAGGGGAAUGGCAGCGAUUGUCGGGAAGGAAGACUGGGACGACGGGCGACGGGACGGCGCCUGUGCGGUGGCUCCGAAGACGGCGAGCGGUGAUGGGGCACAGCGUGGCUCGGGGAGGCCGUCGGGGAGGAGGUCGAGGAGGUCCGGCGUGGGGAGGAGACGGGGAGGCGACGGCGGAGACGAGCGACGCCGGCGACGGGGCGUCAAGGCGAUGGGGGAGUCCGGCGACGGGGUCGGGGCACUGGCGUCGUGGGAGGGUCUGAGCGGGUUCGUCACCGAUCCAGAUCGGAUCGGUAGGGGGAGAGGAGANNNNNNNNNNNNNNNNNNNNNNNNNNNNNNNNNNNNNNNNNNNNNNNNNNNNNNNNNNNNNNNNNNNNNNNNNNNNNNNNNNNNNNNNNNNNNNNNNNNNNNNNNNNNNNNNNNNNNNNNNNNNNNNNNNNNNNNNNNNNNNNNNNNNNNNNNNNNNNNNNNNNNNNNNNNNNNNNNNNNNNNNNNNNNNNNNNNNNNNNNNNNNNNNNNNNNNNNNGUGGGGAGUGGGGGGGAGUGUGCGGUCGUGGGGGGGUUAGGGUUUUCCCCUGGUGGGGAUAGGGAGGGGGGUUGGGCCGGUUGGUGGGCUGGCCGGCUGGGCCGUCUGGCCCAGUUGGCCAGGGGGGUUCUUUUAUUUUGUUUUUGCUUUCUGUUUUGUUCCUUUUCCUUUUAUUUAUAUUAACUUUUCUGUUAUAGUUUUGUUUCCUAUUAUUUUAGUUUUAGUAAAAUAUAUACUUAGUAUCUAAAUAGUAUUUCAACUUAGUCCAUAGUCAAAAAAGUCUAGUCCUCAAAUAAAUUAGUUUGACAUUUUACUAAUUAUAAAAGGUAUUUAAAUAUUUGUUUUGUUGUUGUUUUAUUCAUCUCAUAGUACUUAAAUAUUUUAUAAAGGUGUGGUUUCUCCACCAUAAUUAUCUAUGUAAUAUUUGGUUCACUCCGAACAUUUUAGUUUUAAUUUUUGAAAACCUUUACUGUUGACUUGAUUUUUGAAUUUGAAUUUGAAUCGAUGCCGAAUCAACGCGGGUUUAUCAACAGUAACUGAGGUGACGUGGCAUCAUUAGCAUGGGAUUACUGUAGCUUAAUUAUCCGGGCAUCACAAAGCAAUUCACGAAUAAUUUGUAUAAGGAAGAGAACUUUCACAUGCACAUACACUAUCCUGGAAAUCUUUUGUGAUUGUGAGCCCCCAUCAAAAUAUUAUAUGCCAAAAUUGUUGACGUUGGACAAGGAAGACAACAUAAUGAUUUAUGUUUGCUCAUAUUCACAUAGAAGUCAUAUUGUCAUAGAUCCUUCAACAUUUGGUGUUUGCCCCCCAUCUUUGCUAGCCAAAAAUUCCGCACCAAGUAGAGAUACUACUUGUGCAUCCAAAAACCCUUAAACCCAAAUCUUAUUUUCAAGAGUCCACCAUACCUACCUAUAUGCAGUAUUUCCGUGCCGUUCUAAGCAAAUUUGUAUGUGCCAUCUCUAAUUUACAAAAAAUAAAUUUCUCUUUUGUGUGCUCGUACCGCUCGCGAGGCGGUGAGGGGUGGCCAAUAUUAUCCAUGCUAGACGUGUUAUUCUUACGAUGAGUGUUUAUUCACUUGUCAUUGCACGAGAGUAAGGUAAAGGUUUUAGGGAUGCCCAGUCCCGAAAUUAAAAAUGAAUUUACUUUAUGUUGUCAAAUAACAAAUUCCUUGGAAAGUGUUGGUAUGGAGGGCACCCGUGGAUACGGCUAGCCAUGGAAAGUGAAAGUAUGGUGAAAAAAGGAAUACACUUUAUUUUCUGUUUGGGAACCGCCUAUGACAUAUCUAGCAUGGAAAUUGUUGGGAGCUCUAAGUCGCUUUCGUUGGUGGGAAAAGUAUACCUCUCAAAAUGUUUUUAUCUCUCAAUUUUUGCUUUGAGCUCUGGCACCUCUACAGAUCCCUACUUCCCCCUGCGAAGGGCCUAUCUUUUACUUUUAUGUAUUUACUUUCAUGCAAGAGUCAAAGUUAUUCUCUCUAUUCCUUUUUAUUUUUCUCUUUGGGCAAGCAUCAUGUGCUGAGGAAAGAUCUAGGCACACAUGUCCGGUUGAAUAUGGGUAGCAUGAGUUAUUAUUGUUGACAUCACCCUUGAGGUGAAUACGUUGGGAGGCAAAACAAUAAGCCCCUAUCUUUCUAUGUGUCCGGUUGAAACGUUUUGCUCAUGUGUAUGCGGUGAGUGUUAGCAAUCAUAGAAGACUAUAUGAUGGUUGAGUAUGUGGAGCUCUAACUUAAACUCUGUUGAAUAAGUUGAAUUGCAAUUGCUUGGUGACUGUGAACAUAGGUUGUUGGGUUUCAAGAGAGUUCAUUGUUUAAACCUUAACAUGUGAAUUGGUUGCCACUACAACAUGAGAAAUUUUAUGAGAAAUAAUUACUGUUAUGAUGCUAGGAAAAGUGAGUGAAAUUAUUAUUGAUUAAACUUAUGCACUUUGCUAGCAUUCACACUUCAUAAAUUAUUUGUUUUAUCAUUUACCUUCUCGAGCACGAGCAGGAAUUAAGCCUUGGGAUGCUGAUACGUCUCCAACGUAUCUAUAAUUUAUGAAGUAUUCAUGCUAUUAUUUUAUCAUUCUUGGAUCUUUUACAAUCAUUUUAUAGCAACUUUAUAUCAUUUUUUGGGACUAACCUAUUGUCCCAGUGCCCAGUGCCAGUUGCUGUUUUUUGCUUGUUUUUUACAUCGCAGGAAAUCAAUAUCAAACGGAGUCCAAACACCGCGAAACUUUUUAGAGAUUUUUUUGGGCCAGAAGACAUCCAUUGGGCCAAAGAAGCACCUCGAGGGUGCCCCGAGGGGGGCACAACCCACCAGGGCGCGCCAGGACCCCUGGCACGCCCAGGUGGGUUGUGCCCACCUCGGUGGUCUCCCGCACCCCUUCUUUGUAGUAUAAAUUCCCAAAUAUUCCAAAACCCAUCGGGGUUACCCUAGAUCAGAAGUUCCGCCGCCGCAAGGUCUCUGUAUCCGCGAAAACCAAUCUAGACCCCGUUCCGGCACCCUACCGGAGGGGGAAUAAUCUCCGGUGGCCAUCUUCAUCAUCCAGGCGGCCACCACGAUGAGGAGGGAGUAGUCCACCCUCGGGGCUGAGGGUUUGUACCAGUAGCUAUGUGUUUAAUCUCUCUAUCUCUCUCGUGAUCUAUAUCAUGGGCUUUGUUAAUAUAGUCGGAUCAUAUGAUGUUUCUACCCUCUAUACUCUUGUUAUGAUGAAUUGAAUCUUUACCCUUCAAAGUUUUGUCUUGUCGGUUUGAAUAUUCAGAGAUGAGAACACAUGAUAUAUGUCUUGCAAUAUGAAUACUUGAGGUGACAAUGGGGUAUCAUAUUUAUUCACUUGAUGUAUGUUAUGGCACUCAACUUGCAGAUUCCCGAGGUGACAUUGGGGUAAUCUAUGCAUAGGGGUUGAUGCACGUUUUUAUUAUCUUUUCUCCGAUAGAAACUUUGGGGUCUCUUUGUAGUUCUUUGUGUGGAUGGAGUAUUAUGAAUAUGAAUUUGCUUUGGCGUUAUUUUAGUAUGAACUCUUGAUUAGAUAGAUCGGAAAUAAUAGCUUGUGUUAUUUUAGUAUGAACUAUAGGAUAGAUUGAUCGGAAAGAAUAGCUUCGAGGUGGUUUCGUACCCUACAAACAAUUUCUAUCUUUUGUUCUCCGCUAAUAGGAACUCGGGAGUGAUUCUUUAUUGCACUUUGAGGGAUAAUCAUAUGAUCCAACUAUGUUAGCACUGUUGAGAGGUUGCACUAGUGAAAGUACGGACCCUAGGCCUCGUUUUCAAGCAUUGCAAUACCCUUUUUGUGCCCGUUUACUAUUUGCUACCUUGCUGUUUUUAUUUAUUCAGAUUAUAAAAAUAUAUUUCUACCAUCAAUAUUACACUUUGAUCACCAUCUCUUCGCCGAACUAGUGCACCUAUACAAUUUACCAUUGUAUUGGGUGUGUUGGGGACGCAAGAGAUUUUUUAUAUUUGGUUGUAGGGUCGUUUGAGAGAGACCAUCUUCAUCCUACGCCUCCCACGGAUUGAUAAACCUUAGGCCAUCAACUUGAGGGAAAAUUGCUACUGUCCAACAAAACUCUGCGCUUGGAGGCCCAACACGUGUCUAAUAGAAUAAAGUUGCGUAGUAGACAUCAAUGAGCAGUUAGCCGCAAUAAAUAUUUUUCAUAACACUCCUUGGUAUGCUGAUUAUGCUAAUUAUAUUGUUGCUAUUUACCACCUAGCUUUACAUACCAACAAAAGAAAAAAAUGUUUUAUUAUUUAAGACAUUACUUUUGGGAUGACCCACAUCUUUAUAAAGAAGGAGUAGAUGGUAUUAUUAGACGAUGUGUAGCUGAGCAUGAACAGGGACAAAUCCUACGGAAAUGUCACUCCGAAGCUUGUGGAGGGCAUCAUGCUGGAUAUAGAACUACUCAUAAGGUAUUGCAAUCUGGAUUUUAUUGGCCCACUCUCUUCAAGGAUGCCCGUAAGUUUGUCUUAUCUUGUGAUGAAUGUCAAAGAAUAGGUAAUAUGAGUAAGCGUCAAGAAAUGCCUAUGAAUUAUUCACUUGUUGUUGAACCAUUUGAUGUUUGGGGAUUUGAAUACAAUGGGACCUUUUCCUUCCUCUAAUGGGUAUACACAUAUUUUGGUUGAUGUUGAUUAUGUUACUAAGUGGGUAGAAGCUAUCCCAACCAGUAGUGCUGAUCACAAAACCUCUAUUAAAAUGCUUAAGGAAGUUGUUUUCCCAAGGUUUGGAGUCCCUAGAUAUUUAAUGACUGAUGGUGGUUUACACUUUAUUCAUGGCGCUUUACGCAAAAUGCUUGCCAAGUAUGAUGUUAACCAUAGAAUUGCAUCACCUUAUCAUCCUUAGUCUAGUGGUCAAGUUGAACUUAGCAAUAGAGAAAUAAAUUUAAUUUUACAAAAGACUGUCAAUAGGUCUAGGAAGAAUUGGUCUAAGCAAUUAGAUGAUGCACUUUGGGCUUAUAGCACAACAUAUAAAAAUCCUAUGGGUAUGUCUCCUUAUAAAAUGGUUUAUGGAAAAGCUUGUCAUUUGCCUCUUGAGUUAGAACAUAAAGCAUAUUGGGCAAUCAAAGAACUCAACUAUGAUUUCAAACUUGCCGGUGAAAAGAGGUUAUUUGAUAUUAGCUCAUUAGAUGAAUGGAGAACCCAAGCUUAUGAAAAUGCCAAGUUAUUCAAAGAGAAAGUUAAAAGAUGGCAUGAUAAAAGAAUCCAAAAGCGUGAGUUUAAAGUUGGAGAAUUUGUUCUUUUGUACAACUCUCGUUUCAGAUUUUUUGCAGGAAAACUCCUCUCUAAAUGGGAAGGACCCUAUGUUAUCGAGGAGGUUUAUCGGUCUGGAACUAUCACAAUAAAUAAUGCCGAAGGUACUAACCUAAAGGUUGUCAAUGGGAAGCAAAUAAAACAUUAUAUCUCAGGUACGCCCAUUAAUGUUGAAAGUAAUAUUAUCCAAACAAUGUUACCGGAGGAACACAUAAAAGAGUCCUUCCAGAACACUCCAGAAUCAUGAAAAUAAGGAGGUACGUGAUACGGUACAUAAACGGACUCCAAAAAAUUCGCAAAAUAAUUUUUGUCAGUUUUGGAAUAUUUAGAAAAUUUGGAAAAUAAGAAACACUGGGAAAGUGACCUUGGUGGGCACAAGACACCAUGGCGCGCCUGGCUGCCAGGCGUGCCCAGGUGGGUUGUGCCCACCUGGGGCACCUUACGGACUCUGUUUUUCUCUUGUUUGCUUGUUUCCCAAGAUAAAAAUCUUUAUAUACCCCUAGAACCUAUUGACCAUCGUAUCGUGGAGAAAUCUUCUAUCUUCUUUUCUUGCUGUUUCUCUGAUAGAUCUGAAAAUAUGUCAUCACAAGACUUUGAGGGAGAGAGCUAUGUUGCCGAUUUCAUUGCAAACCCCAAGUAUUAUGGGGAUGUGGGGCACUAUUGCUGGACCUCCGAAGAGGAUGAAAAUGAACCAGUUCCUCCCUAUUUCAAAAACGAAAGCAUGGAGGCAUUAUGCAAGAGGAUAAUAAAGCUCGAGAUGGAGAACGAUGAGUUGAGAGUAGAUAACUUUAUCCUUUGGAGUAAGCUAGAGGAAAAGAAGGGAAAACCCUCUACUUCUUCAUCACCACCACCUCCUUCUUCAUCACCAAAAGAAAAUUGAGUAUCGGGUAUGGGCACUCCCCUUGGCUUCCAUCAAGCUUGGGGGAGGUGCCCCGGUAUCGUAUCAUCCCCACUAUCUUUUGUCUUUACUUAUUUUAGUUUGAUCUUUUGCUUUAGAUGAAUAAAAGUUUAGUUCGAUCCUUUCUUUUCGAGAGCUUGCUUAAUGAUCUAUCCUUGUAAUUGUGUGCAAGAUAUAUAAUACAGUUUAGUUUGAGUUUUUGCUUUCUUUACUUUCAUGUUGCAAUAAAAAGAAAGGAAAUAAAUGAAAAGAUCAUAUGCUAAUCUUAUGAUAGGUGAUGAUACCACAUAAGGAAAAGUGUAAGUAGGAAAUUUUAUUAGAGAUUGACAAACAUAGCAUUGGUCAAUGAUGCAACUCAUGAAAGAAUUAAAAAGGAAAGAGAAGAUUCACAUAUAAAUACACUAUCCUAAAAAUCUUUUGUGAUUGUGACCCCCCAUCAAAAUAUUAUAUGCCAAAAUUUUUGACGUUGGACAAGGAAGACAACAUAAUGAUUUAUGUUUGUUCUUAUUCACAUAGAAGUUAUAUUGUCAUAGAUCCUUCAAUAUGUGGUGCUUGCCCCUAUCUUUGCUAGCCAAAAAUUCCGCACUAAGUAGAGAUACUACUUGUGCAUCCAAAAACCCAUAAACCCAAAUCUUAUUUUCAAGAGUCCACCAUACCUACCUAGGGAUUGAGCAAGAUCCCUCAAGUAAGUUUUCAUCAGUGCAAUAAGGCAAUAAAAAUUGCUUCUAAAAGUGUGAGAUCAUUUAGUGUAAGAGAAAAUUGAGCGUUGUACGAACUUGUGAUGGUGAAGAAUAAAAGCGACAGACUGCAUAACAAAGGUUGCUAUCACAAGGGGCAAUACAACAUGACGUUCUUUUGCACUAAGGCGUUGAGCAUACAAACAAAUAAGCGCUUGGCAACCUCUUCUUCCCUAUGCGAAGGGCCUAUCUUUUACUUUUAUGUAUUUACUUUUAUGCAAGAGUCAAAGUUUUCCUCUCUAUUCCUUUUAUUUUUCUCCUUUGGCAAGCAUCAUGUGGUGAGGAAAGAUCUAGGCACAUAUGUCCAGUUGAAUAUGGGUGGCAUGAGUUAUUAUUUUUGACAUCACCCUUGAGGUGAAUAUGUUGGGAGGCGAAACUAUAAGCCCCUAUUUUUCUAUGUGUCCGAUUGAAACGUUUUGCUCAUGUGUAUGCAGUGAGUGUCCGGUUGAAACUAUAUGAUGGUUGAUUAUGUGGACUUGCCUAAAGGCUCCGAUACAUGACCCUUCUUGAAAAGGUAAUGAAUUGUAGUUGCAAAGCUGACUGAAAACAUAGUUUGUUGGUUUCUAUGCUUUAUACUUCAAUUGUGUGAUGAACUGUUACUUAUUCAUGAGAAGUUUAUGACAAAAGCUCUAUGAUAAAAGUCUUAUGUUCAAAUUUGUUGCUGUUGUAAUAAUCUACAUGAUGCUUCUAUGUCCUUAUUUUAUUUUUAACGACACCUCUCUCUCUCUCUCUCUCUAAGCAUGUGGACAUGUUUUUCGAUUUUGGUUUUUGCUUGAGGACAAGCGAGGUCUAAGCUUGGGGGAGUUGAUACGUCCAUUUCGCAUCAUGUUUUCCUAUUGUUAUUUAUGAUGUUUUUAUGCAUAAUAAUGCUUUUUGGAGUAAUUCUAAUGCCUUUUCUCUCAUAAUAUGCAAGUACAAAAAAGGGAGAAUUCCGGCAGCUGGAUAUCGGGACCUGGAAAAGCUACGACAGGCCACCUAUUCUGCACAACUCCAAACAAGCUGAAACUUCACGGAGAUUUUUAUGGAAUAUUUGAAGAAUAUUGGAGCAAAUAAGUACCAGAGGGGGCCCACCAGGUGGGCACAACCCACCUUGGCGUGCCAGGGAGCCCUGGCGCGCCCUGGUGGGUUGUGCUCACCCAGGCCCACCUCCGAUGCCCAUCUUCUAGUAUAUAAGUCAUUUUGACCUAGAAAAAAAAA